rnacentral:lncRNA from 1 species
ACCACGCCGCCAGGAGGCGUCUGGCAGGACGACUACAAGGUUGAUGCUAACGGCAACCCAGUGAAGGAGCCGCACAUGGCGGGCACCUCUAUCAUGGCCCACAUCCAACGGAUCGCCUACGGACAGUUCAUGAUCUUCCACCCACUGGCCUUCCUGUCCUCCCUUAGCAUCAUCCUGCUCCUUUUGAGUAGGCUUCCAAUAAAGCGGCGACGCUGGGUGUGGACCCAGAUGGUGAUCAUGUGGCUAGCGAUCACGGGGCAGGUGAUCACCUACUUCAUAGCGCUGCACAACAUAUCGCUGGCUAACACGUGGGAUGCUGAAGGACGUGACAGACGGUUUCAGUGGUGUGAUGGAUGUGCCUAGUGGGGGUGGUGUUCAUGGGGAAUGUGGUGAGGCUAUGUGUGUGGGUGCUAAGGAAGUGGGGUUACUUGAAGAAGAAAGAGAAGAAUGAUUCAAAUGAAGAUGAUGAAAACAAGUACGAGGAAGUGUGACGGUUUGUGUGACAAUCGAGUAAAUUGAACGGUCCUUAUUCUGUGAUAGCAACGACAUGUUCAAUAUGUGUAAAAUUUGUGAAUCUGAUGAGCGGGUUGAUGAUGGGUUUUGAGGUGCUCUGUUUUCUUCUACUUCAAUUUGAUAAGAGAGUAUUUGUCCUACAAAGAAGUUAAGACGGAUUCUGCUAGAGAAAUCUUUGGAUGGUAAACGAUUGAAGAGACUAAUAUGGCGCUUGGAGCAAUCGUGCAUGAUCUCCCUCUGUAAUUUGUACAAAAUCGGGACAAAACACGGUUAUAGUUGCCGCGAUUUCUUCUAUAUACAAUGUUGAAAAUGACAGACGAAGAGAGCUUCAGCCAGUUCGGCCAGGUCUGCUCAGGAAUGGCUCAGUCCUCAACUCGGCCAUCUUUGCUCGGCAUUGAAGAAAUAUGGACAUUGGUCCUCAAUUGAGAUUCAAGGUAGCUAGAAAUAAAUUAGUAGUGCGGGAUGGGAGUUCAUGCAAUCAUUAUAUAAUUGUUUCCUUUGUUUGAAUAUUAUUUGAUGCUGAGAUUAGAAAUGUUUGUCUCAGUUUUCUAUUUCCUGUAAGACAUAAAAAAACAAAUGCGAAAGCCAGGAUCGAUUAUAGACAAACCUCCAGCCAUUGUUCUUGUUCUUGUUCUUGUUCGUCGAAAAAUCCUGAAAAUCAAAGAAAUAUUGGGCACACACUACUAACCCAAUUUUCUCACAUAUACUGAUGGUAUAUUCCAAAUGAGAGGGUCUGUGUUAGACCUUGUGAUCACCCGUCAGAAAUGAACGAUCGUUCCUUUUAAACAUCGUCUCCCAUUAAGACAGUUAUCAAAAUGGGCAGUUGUCAUGAAAAUGUACAAAAUGUGGAAAAACUACAUGUCAAAUAACCGCCACUUUAAAGAGAAAAUAUGGAUCUAAAAUGUGGGAUCACAAAAUAAAAAUAACAUUCUCCCACUUGAUCCCAUCACUUUCAUCAUACAGAUUAUCCAACCAUUUCCACGAAAAACUUUAUGCUUCAAGAAAAGAAACAAAACACAUGGAUCAUGGCGACAUGUCCUCUAAGAGUGAGUAAUAUCUUCCAUGCAUCACAAUGCAUCUUAUUUCUUUAAUGUCAGCCUAUAUGUGACAACAUAUCUUAAUGAAUAAACCCUUAUUUAUUCUAGAACCAAGGAUAAAUAUUAUUCUCAUAAACAACAAAAUGUAUACACCAAAGUUGAGAAUCAACAUUACAACAUAAUAAGAGUUUUAUACAACAAAAAUCGUCCAUAUGACGACAAAUUACAAGAUGGGACCUAUUCUCAUAUUAGUUACAUGAUCCUUAUACUUCAUUGGUGGCAUGCCUUAGUUAAAGGAUUAACUAUCAUCAAUUCAAUGCUAACGUGUUCAAUGACCACUUUAUUCUCCUUAACACGUUCCCUUAUGCCUAAAUACUUGAUGUCGAUAUGCUUACUUCAACUGCCACUUUUGGCAUUUUUAGCCAUAAAAACUAUAGCUAAAUUGUUACAAUAUAUAUAUAUAUAUAUAUAUAGGUAAGAAUAUAUUGAUUUAAACCAAACAAAACAACUCGGAAUUUGGCAUAAAAAACUUAUACUCAACGAGGUAACAAGCCAGGUCGAGUGGAAGGAUGCCAGGAAAAGGAAGCCAAAAGCUACUAAGGUAGCAACAGGAGGCCAAACGGCAUCCACGAAAGAGCCAAAUAGAAAGAAAAGCUACAAGAAAAUACAACCAGACAAGCGAAAACAACCAAAAGGAGCCAACGAACAAGAACAACACCAACCCCCCAAAAGAAAAGGCAAUGAGACCUUGACACGCUGAUAGGCGACGAAACAGCAAAGGCCGAAGCACUUAGUCCGCAAAGAUGGCCGGGUCAAUACCCCAAAUUCGUUGAGUUCUUCUAUUUCUCGGAGUAUCUGUCACUUGGCUAAAGGAGAUGGCUUUGUCCCUCACAACUUUAAGUAGGCGGUUCUUCAUGAUAGGCACAGCAAGAGUCUUGCCCCGAAAGAGAAUGCCAUUCCUAGUUUUCCAAAUAAGAUGGCAAAGUGUAGCGAAGGAAAAUCUAGCAAUCGCCUGAGAGAGCUUUAAGGGCCCAAGAGAUAAUAUCUUGCCAUGGUUUGGUACCAUGCCAUAUAAGGUUGCAUUUAGAAGCCUAAAACGAAGCCAAGCCAGUAGUAAUUGGGCACCCAAAGAAGAGAUGAUUAAUGGAAUCCGGUCUAGAGUUACAAAAAACAUAAGCACCAUCAGGAAUCCUACCAAAGGAAAGAAGAAAGACCUAAGUGGGAAGACGGUUCCUUGUGAUGAGCCACAAAUGGAAUUAGUGUCUCGGGGUAAUAGAUUUACUCCACACAAAGGAAUGCCGAGGAACCACAUUACAGUUCGCACGAAUAGCCUCCCAUGCCGAGGCAAUAGAAAAAAAACGCCUGAGGUAGUCUCAAGCCAUGAAAACCGAUCCGAGGACUAGAACAACAAAGGCAGCGUGUGACUCCACUCUUCAAUAAUACGCUUAGUCGCCAGGCCUGGAGCGGAGUAUAAAUCAGCAACCGAAGCUUGCCUAGACAGACCCGAUCGGUAAAUGUACAUGUCAGAGAAGACCAAGUUGAAGGGGCCUUGUGGUAACCAAGGAUCAAACCAGAGAGAAACCGCUUUGACAUCCCCUAUAUGCCAUAGAAAGAAUCGCUGAAAGUCCUUUCUCAGAGCAAGGAGUUUCCUCCAAGUCCAAGAGCAAACCAUAUGCGUCGGCACAACCCAGUAAUAAAACUCUUCAACAAUAUAUUCUUAAUGGCCUAGAAAUAAAAUCAACAAUUCUAAGCCCAGUAAUGAAACUCUUCAACCAUACACCAUGUGAGGUAGCCUCAAAAUAAAAAACGAACUCAGCCUCCAUAAUGGAAAUAGCAGUCAAAGUCUGCUUGGCACUUCUCCAUGACACGGCUCCGCCAGCUAACAUAAACAUGUAUCAAGAUGUUGAUUUUUGUGAAUCAACGCAACCCGCGAAGUCUGCAUCCGAAUAACCGACUACUUCCAGGUUGUCAGUCCGUUUAUACAAAAUCAUAUAGCCUUUGGUACCUUGAAGGUAUCUCAUCACUUUCUUUGCAGCUCUCCAGUGGUCAAGACCUGGAUUACUCUGAUAUCUUCCCAACAUUCCCAUGGCAAAAGCGAUGUCAGGUCCAGUGCAAACCUGAACAUACAUCAAGCUUUCGACAGCAAAAGCAUAUGGACUGUUGUACAUUUGUUCCCUUUCUAGAUCAUUCUUUGGGCAUUGGUUCAAAUUGAAGCUAUCACCCUUCACAAUGGGUGCUAUACUUGAUGAACAAUCUUUCAUCUGAAAUCUCUCUAGGACCUUAUUGAUAUAGGUUUCUUGAGAUAGUUCUAAAAUUCCUCGAGAUCUAUCUAUAUGGAUCUUAAUGCCAAUAACAUAAUAUGCCUCACCCAUAUCCUUCAUAUCAAAACUCUUAGAAAGAAAUUAUUUCACCUCAUGUAACAAUCCAUUAUCGUUGGUUGCAAGUAGAAUAUCAUCCACAUAUAGCACAAGGAAACAAAUUUUGCUCCCAUUGAUCUUCUGAUAUAUACAUUGAUCCAUGAUAUUCUCUACAAAACCGAAAGAAGAGAUAACAUCAUUGAACCUUAAGUACCAUUGGCGGGAUGCUUUUUUUAGGCCAUAUAUAGAUUUCUUAAGCUUGCACACCAAAUACUCACCUUUACUAGAGGAGAAUCCUUCAAGUUGUUUCAUGUAAACCUCCUCCUCUAGUUCUCCAUUGAGGAAUGCCCGUUUUCACAUCCAUCUGAUGUAAUUCCAUAUCAAAAUGGGCAACAAUGCCAAAACAAUACGAAAAGAAUCUUUCUUAGAUACAGGAGAAAAAAGUCUCCGGGUAAUUGAUUCCUUCCUUUUGAAUAAAUCAUUUGGCAACGAGUCUAGCUUUAUAUCUUUCAAUAUUACCCAAUAAAUCUUUUUUAGUUUUGAAGACCCAUUUACAACCAAUGGCCUCCUUCGAACUAUUAGGUAACUCAACUAAAUCCCAGACCUCAUUAGAUGUCAUAGAACUCAUCUCUUCCUUCAUGGCAUUAUACCACAAAUUGGAUUUAUUACUAUCCAUGGCUUGUGAAAACGUUUCGGGACCAUUCUCAGCUCCAAUAUUAUAGUCAGAUUCUUGUAAAUACACAAUAUAAUCACUAGGAAUAGCCGAUUUCCUUACUCUAGCGAAUCUUCUCAAUGUUGCAUCAACAUUCUCUUGAGGAGCGUGUUGCUCAUCUAGUUCUUCAACAGUUUCUGGUAAUUGCUAAACAACUGGAUCUACUAGAUCAAUAUCAGCAGGUUGUGGAACUUCAACGAUUGGUUGUUCAAUAGCCGACUGAACUGAAUGGGGCAUUAUGAGCAACAACCAACCUUAAACUUGAGGUGAAAGGUUAAGUGUCUGAAUGAUCUUUCCUAGAAACAAGGUCCUUUGAUCGAUUGCUCCUACUAAUUAAGUCAUUUUCAAGAAAUUUAGCGUUCAUUGAUUCCACAAUCCUAGUGGUGUGAGAUGGACAAUAAAACCUGUAUCUCUUGGACCUUUCGGCAUAUCCAAUAAAAUACCCACCUAUGGUCCUUGGGUCCAACUUCUUUUCUUGUGGAUUGUAAACUCUCACUUCAGACGGGUAUCCCCAAACGCGUACAUGUUGCAAACUCGUUUUACAACCUUUAAAUAACUCAAAAGGUGUCAUUAGGAUAGCCUUGGUCGGAACUCGAUUUAAUAUGUAUACUACCGUCUUAAGUGCUUUAGUCCACAAUGACUUAGGAAGUUUGGAGCCGCUAAGCAUACUCCACACCAUGUCCAAUAAAGUUCGGUUUCUUUUUUCCGCUACACCGUUUUGGUUUAGAGAAUCAAGCAUAGUAUAUUGGGCAACUAUCCCAUGCUCUUGAAGAAACUUUGCAAAUGGACCAGGUGCUUGUCCAUCUUCAAUAUAUCUACCAUAGAAUUCUCCACCUCUAUCUGAUCUCACGAUCUUAAUUUGUUUACCACAUCAUUUCUCUACUUCUCCCUUAAAUACCUUAAAGGCAUCUAAUGCUUCAUGCUUAUUAUGAAGCAAGUAAAGAUAAAUGUAACGAGAGUAAUCAUAUAUGAAAGAGAUGAAGUAUUUCUAACCACACGAGUCCAUAUCCGGACUACAAAUAUCCCUAUGUAUAAUUUCUAAUAUUUAUGUUCUCCUCUUGGCACAUUUCUUUGUUUUGUUGAUCUGCUUUCCCUUUAUGCAGUCUACACAAGUAUCACAAUCAGUAAAAUCUAAAUUACUGAGCACUCCAUCAUUUACCAAUCGCUUAAUUCUUUCUAUGGAGAUAUGUCUCAAUUUCCGGUGCCAUAACAUAGAGGAAUGUUCUUUCACAACACAUCAUUUUAUACCAGCGUUAUCAUGAACAUGCAUCGCAUUAUAAUAGGCAUUGUCUUGUAAAUUAAUUCGAAAAAAAAACCAUCAGACAAAGUAUCACUCCCAACAAUUUCAGAUUUAAACUAUAAACAGAAGUUUGAAUCUGAAAAUUUAAAAGAGUAACCCAAAGGUACAAGUCUUGAAACUAAAAUUAAGUUUCUAGAGAAACUAGGAACAUAAAAGGUCAUUUCCAAAUUCAAAACAAAGCCACUAUUGAGAACUAGUCUACAUGUUCCAAUAGCUUCCACAUGCGAACGCAUCUUGUUUCCUGAAUAGAUGCUUUGUUCACUUCCCACUGACUUCCUGUGGUUUUGAAAACUCCGCAAGGAAUUCGAAAUGUGAAUUGUAGAUCCAGAAUCAAUCCACCAAGUGUUGUGACUUACAUUAGCCAUAUUAGAUUCAUAACAAAUACGAGAUAUUGGAUUACCUUUCUUCUCAAGCCAUGCCUUAAAUCUAACGCAAUCCUUCCUUAUAUGCCCCUUCUUUUUAUAGAAGAAACAUUUGAAUUCUUUCUUAAUGUCAGGUUGGGGAGGUAUUUUACAUUUUCCCUUAUACUUGCCAUGACCCUUAUUCUUUCCUUGUGUUACCAAAUAAGCACUUUCUCCCAAUUCCAUAAUCAAUCUUUCUUCCUCUUGAACACACAUGGUCAUGAGUUCAUUAACCCAUUUAUUCUUAUGUGUGUUGUAAGAGAUCUUGAAAGGUGCAUACUGUUGCGGGAGUGUUCAGAAUAUAAUACACAAGGAAUGAUUCAAAUAUCUUAACCUCAAGGUUCUUAAGCUAAGCCACAAUAUCCCUCAUUUGCAUGAUGUGCUCACGCACACCUUUAACACUAGUAAGCUUCAAUGAUGAAAACUUUAUAAUUAGGGUCAUGGCAUGCGCAUUCUCAGAACUCUCAAACUAUGCAUCUAUCGCCUCCAAUAAAGCCUUAGCAUUGUUAUGUUGAGCAACUGAACCACGAAUACUAAGAGAUAUCUUAGCCCUUAUAAACAUGGUACAAAUGCGAUUGGACCGCUCCCAUUGGUUAUAAAGAACUAUCUCAGCUGCAUUGCUCGAAUCAGUUGGAGCAGGUGGUUCGUCUUUCCUUAUAGCAUAGUCAAUGUCCAUCCACCCUAAUUGAAGAAGAACUAACUCCUUCCAAACUUUAUAGUUCUCACCAUUCAAUAUGGGAACAUCACACUUAAAUUCAGAUAAAUUCACAAGUUGCAAAACUACAUAUCAAAUAAUCAUGCUUAUGUCACAAAAUUUGAGGCAAAAUAUACAUAAAUCAUGUUUACCAAUGUAAACAUGUCACAAAUAUGAAUCACAUAACAUAAAAACUACAUGUGGCCUAAGUUUUUAUAUUCAAUAGAUUCAUAAUUACAUUAUUAUAAAACUACCAUAUUAUAUACAUUUUCGUAAUCCCUGUGGGUAAAUUAAGAAAAAUAAUAUGAUAUUUCAUCCUAAUUAAUCAUAUUAAUAUAAUGAAAAUUCAUGUGGGAUAAAAUUCAUCAUAUUGGUAUAAUUGAUUACAAUUAAUGUCCAUUUCUAAAUAUGAUCUGGAGGCUCUUAAUAUAUAUUUUAAUUAAUUAAACAUGCUGUGGCUACUCUCUAAUUAAUUAAAUAUAUGGCUCAUUUGACAUUUAAUUUCGUGCAUAAAAUAUUCAUAAAAAUGCAUGAAAUGGCAAAAUAGUAAAUAAAUGCAUCAAUGGGGGCAGAAUAGUAAAAUAAAUUGGCCAAGGGCAAGAUUGUAAAAUUGCAAGAAGGGCAAAAUGGGAAUUUAAAAAAUGGCAUAGGGGCAAAGAAGUAAAAAGGCACGCCGCGGCACAUCAGGCGUGUGCCAAGCACGGGCCUGCUUCCUCGGCGAGCGCAUGGCUUGCAUACGUGCCAUCCGCCACACAGGCACGUGCAUUCCUAGCAACGGCUAGGGCAGUUCGGCGCACGUGGGCACCACGCGCCAGCGGUUGGCGUGCACGCACACAGCGGUUGCGCACGCGUGACGGCGCGUGGCGCGUGGAUUCCAUGCACCUGCAACUGUAGCGCGCACAUGGAGCCCACGCACCUUCUUCCCCACACGACAGAGGCGUUUUCUUCGUCAUUUUUCGUUGUUCCACCACGGUUUCGCCGCGGUUUCUUCUUCGGCAGCCCAUCUUUGACACAACUAAAUAAUGGGUUUUGGAGAGCAUGCUGGCACGACCACAUAGGUCCAAGUUUCGGUGAAAAUGAGCAAGAAAUUAGCUCCAAAUCAAAAGAAAAUUUCCCAAAACACAAAUCCUCAACCACCGUGACUUCCGCCGCCCAAUUAGCCUCCAGCGAACACCGAUAUACUGGAAAAACUUAUGGCUAAUGUUCCUCAUGGCAGUGCGACUGUACGGGUCCGAAAUUGAGGGGUGGGUCACCGGAAUUUGCCCAAAAUCGGCGAGUUUCUUUCUCGGCCUUAAAAUUCCGAAUUACUGUUCAUUUUCAAAAAUGCCCGAAAAUACACCAAAAAUUCGACAAAAACAAAGUAGAAACACUAAACAUACUCUGAUACCAAAUGUAAGACAUAAAAAUCAAAUGUGAAAGCUAGGAUCAAUUAUAGACAAACCUCCAGCCAUUGUUCUUGUUCUCGUUCCUCGAAAAAUCCUGAAAAUCAAAGAAAUAUUGGGCACACACUACUAACUCAAUUCGCUCACGUAUAUUGAUGGUGUAUUCCAAAUAAGAGAGUUUGUGUUAGACCUUGUGAUCACCCGUCAGAAAUGAACGAUCGUUCCUUUUAUACACCGUCUCCCAUCAAGACAGUUACCAAAAUGGGCGGUUGUCACGAAAAGGUACAAAAUGUGGAAAAACUACAUGUCGAAUAACCGCCACUUUAAAGAGAAAAUAUGGUCUAAAAUGUGAAAUCACAAAAUAAAAAAUAACAUUUCCUUCCCUUCCCAGCUGCUGUUAAACAUCUAUCUUGCCAGACGUUUCUGCUAUGGAGGAUCAACUAAGCUGCCAUCUCAAGCCUCUGUUGCACGAGAUCGAACCUCAUGCAAGUUAGAGUGUAUCUACUGUCUAUGACUUGAGAAUUCCAUGUCAAUUAAACUGUACGAAUUCAUGCACAUUUGAUGAUUAGAAGCACGACUCUGUUUAAGCAUGGUACCCUAUAACUUCUCACCGCCAGACAUAAUAAUUUUUGCUCAAAUCUCUGCUAAACUCAAUUCAUUAGACUAUUCAAAACAAUAUUUCGAGCGAUCGGACUAGCAUGAAAUGAAAGAGAGAGCCAACUCAAAUGAUUGUCAUAGAGGAUGACACUUUAUGAAAGCAUGAACUUAUUCCACACGGAACAAAACAAUUUGUUCUGUCUUUCGCCAUAAAAACUGUUCAACUCUCAUUCAUAUGGAAAAUACAGCACUAUUACAUCAAGGCGGUCUACCUCCAACAUCAGCAUCAAAUAAAAACUGCAGAUAUAAGGGAACAUUAGAACUGUAACUCUCACUACAAACAUGGCCUCUAGCCUGAGUAGCUGCUACCCAGUUUUCUGAUGGAUUAGUUGCUCAACUGACCCAAAUCCACUGGACAUCUUCAAAGCUCGAGGCUUUCUGUCCUGCAUUGUUGUCGGUUAUAGAAAUCCUAUCGAGUCGCUACCUUUGAUCUUUUAUUAGAUCUUCAACAAGCUCUAAAUAGUUCGUGCCAAUACCCCUCCUCUCUUUUAUAAGGGAACAUUAGAACUGUAACUCUCACUACAAACUUAGUCUCUAGCCUGAGUAGCUGCUACCCAGUUUUCUAAUGGAUUAGUUCCUCAACUGACCCAAAUCCACUGGACAUCUUCAAAGCUCGAGGCUUUCUGUCCUGCAUUGUUGUCGAUUAUAGAAAUCCUAUCGAGUCGCUACCUUUGAUCUUUUAUUAGAUCUUCAACAAGCUCUAAAUAGUUCUUGCCAAUACCCCUCCUCUCUAUAGUUUUCGUUCCUUGCUCAUAUCUCCUCGCCGAGGCAUCCACACAAAGGUCUUCCGUUCGACGUGAUCUAAAUCUCUCAAACGACCUCCUCUCAUAUUAUCCUCGAUUGGUUGGCAGUCCCUAAUUUUACCUGUAUUAAUUGAUUUCAAAUCUUGCCUUUUCUCUCGAAUGUCAUGUCCUACGAAGCAUUCUCAAGGUGUCGUCGGCAUGAUCUCCAGUUUUGUCAAAUUAGAUCGAAGUUAAUGGAAGGAUUCAUUCCUCAGUACUCCAUGAUGUUCAAUUUUCCCGAGGUUUCGUUGAGUUCCUAUAAUUCCUAGACUUACACCCCAAGGUUUACGAAGUUUCCCUUCGAAGUUCAGGUUUCUGGUUAGCUACAGCAUGGGUUUCACCUACCAACAUUACAUAAUCUACAGAGAAAAUACACCAAUUGAAAUCGUCUUGAAUUUGUCUUGUCACCAUUGGGGCAAUGGAGGCACCUUCCCCCUUGAAGCUUCCAAUAAAUUAAAAUGGAAACUACCAUAAGUUGCAAUCAUUUUGCAAAUUUGCCCCACGAAAAUACAAGUGUGUACUUAUGAGUGUUGAUUCAACAUGGGAAGAAAGGAGAUUGCAAAAUAUUUAAGUCAUUCAUUUGAUUUUGCUAGAGUCUUUUCUAAUCAAUCAUAUCAGUAAGGCGUUUUGGGUGUUUAAGUUUUACUUACCAAAGAUGAGCUUUCUUGUCAUAGAAAAAGCAAGUGUCGGAAGAAUUAAUAAAAAGGAAAAUGUUGAAGAGUAAGGAUAUUGGUUAAAUUUCAUUAUUUGACAUCUUUUUUUCUCAGAGUUAAUACGAUACUUCUUUAAUUUUGAUCAAGUAAUUCAGGUAAUAAAGAUGUUAUAAGGGUCUUGUUAAUAAAAUACCUCAGAGGCACUAGUUAAAACUAGGGGUGAGCAUCGGUCCAAGGGCAACCUUGGACCAACCCUGGAUCGGCCCAACCCUGCCGGUCCUGGUUCGGUUCCCACGAAGACCGGGUCGGUCCUUGGUCCUAGAAUUCCUGGACCAGCACUGUGCGGGUCAGUUCUCAGUCCUGAGAGUUCCGGGUCGGUCCAAUCCUGACCAAUCCUAACUAUAUAUAUAAAAUAUAUUAUUUAUAAUUUUUUUAUAUAGAGAAAACUUUAAAAUAAAUAGCGUCAACAACAUUAAAUAGCUCUUUAUUGAGGAGUUCAAAUGAUUUUACAUUAUUCUUUAAUAACUUAGAUUUUUAAUGUCUUUUACAGUGUCAAUAAUCAUAAUUUAUGAAAGAGGAAAAUGUUUUUGUGAGGAGUCCUCAUGGCGUCCAAAAAUGCAUAAACAGCUCCUUAUGGCAUCCUCCUCUACUAUUCGUUUUCUUCUGUCUUAUUUGUCCUCUUAGUCUUCACUUUGCCAAAAUCGAAAGAAACAACUUUCCCACUGGCCACUUAACACUCACCUCGCUCGCUUUGGGUCAUUCGUGCCGUUCGCCGCUCGAUGUUCACUUGGCUUGUUGCUCCCCGCUCGACAUUCGAUGCUCAUUCUGUUCGAUGCUCACCCCACUUGACCCUCACCGCUUGCCUUUCUUAGUUGACCUUGCGCGUCAUCGAACCCAUUGGGUCGGUACGGUCCUCAGGUGCCCUUUCAAGGAGCACAAAAAAUGAAAUAAAAAAUUAUUGGUUGGUCCUGGGUUGACCUAGAAACCAGACCGAACCAAUUGGGUCAAUCCGGUCCUGAAUUGCUUUUUUAAGGACUACAAAAAAUGAAAUAAAAAAUUAUCGGUUGGUCCCGAGUUGACCCUGGAACCGAACCGAACCGAACCUAUUGGGUCGAUCCGGUCCUCGGUCCCAAGCUCAAUAGGGUUGGUCCUCAGUCCUAAAAAUUGAGGACCAGUACUAUGCGGGUUAGUCCUAGAGUUAGGAGGUGGACCGGCCCAACCCAGACCAUGCUCACCCCUAGUUAAAACCACUAAAAAUAAAGCGUAUCAGCAUAUGCUGAAAAUUGAGCAACCCUAAAUUUCGAAAAAAGCCACUUACUUCAAUUAUGCAAUUUUAUUUUUCCAAAGCAAAAUUAAUGAGGCCCAACAAGUACCCUAACUACAUUCUUUAACAUUUUCCUUUUUAUUAAUUAUUCUAACACUCGAUUUCUAUGAGAAAAUCUCAUCUUAAAUAAGUAAACCUUGAACCUCUAAAAUACCCCAUCAAUACUAAGGACUGAGUAAGAUGCGAACCCAAAUCUCCACAAUGGCAUUUUAGCCAUAAGAGUCCUUAUCAGGGGAUGAACAUUCUUUGUGCCUAUGAAAGUAUGUAGAUGGAAAUUCUACAUUCCCUUAGUGCCUUCUAAUCUUUAGCUAAAUGGGUCGAACAAUAACAUGACAUGCCAUCAACCUGAAAUUUGAACAUGUAAAGGAUUAGUGUCCAAACGGUACCCAUAAUAUCAACAUCGGUGUAAGGAUGAGAUCCCCUAUCAUCUUAUUAGUGUUUCCAUUUGAUGUCGUAUUCAUCCAAACCAUUAAUCCGCGCGAAUAAAAAGGAAGCGGAUCCUUUCCCAUCGGUGCAGGCAUCGCUUUGGCGAGUUCAAGUUAUUGAAGAUGGGCGGGAGUGCAAAAGACAAGAAAGAAAUAAGCAGUCAAUAAAUCAAUCUCGCGCUACCAGAAAAGGCAAGCUCUACAUAACGUGUGAAACCUCAUUUGAGGUUAGGUGGCAUUGCGCAGUCCUCGCAUUCCAUUGAGGAUGCAGCGGCGAUUUCCUAAAGGUUUACAAUAGGGAGAAGUAUUUAAAAAGUCAUAUUUUUUUUUAUAUCUGUAUCAAUUUAGUCCUAAACUAUUUUCUAGUGUUGAUUUAAUCCUAAACCUUUUUACUUUGUGCCAAUUCAGUCUUUUCCGGUCAAUUUUGGCUAGAUUUUGCUAAUUGAAUGCUAGUCGACUGAUGUGGCCUGAUUGGAGCUGACGUAGACAACUUUUAAUAAAAUUUUUAUUUUCUUUAUUUUCUUUUUCUUUUUUUCCUUCUCCUCCACCUUCCUCCAACCAGUUGACGGUCGAUGACCGGGUAGAGGCGACGGUCGGCGAGGUUGAGGUCAACCUCACUGGCCACCAUGGGUGAGGCUCGACCUCGCCAAAUCUGGCAAGAGCGAGCCUUGCCGCCAAGCACGAGGCCAACUCAAGGCUGCCCACCUCAUGCUGAGCUAGCGAGAUCGAGCCUCGCCCACGAAAGUGAGGCUAGACCCUUGCCUAAUCCGACAAGGGCGAGCCUCACCGCCCAAUGUGAGGCCAACUCGAGGCCGCCCAAGCCGCGAGGGUGAGCCUCGCCAGCCUAGCGUGAGGCCGGCCUGGGUGGCCUCGAGCUGGCCUGGAGCUAGGCAGCCAAGCUCGCCUUCGCCACCCAAGUUGACCUCACCCAUGGUUAGCGAGGCUCAACCCUUGCCAGCCCGGUGCAAGGCCACCCUUGUGGCCACUAGCGAGGUGGCUGGCGACCGACUGGAGGGAGGGGGAGAAGAAGAAAAACAUAAACAAAAAAUGAAUAAAAUAUAUUAAAAUAUUAUUAAAAAUUGUCCACGUCAGCACUGAUUGGGCCACGUCAGCCGACCAACGCCUAGUCAGCAAAAUCUGGCCAAAAUUGACUAGAAAUGACUGAAUUGGACUAAGUAAAAAGGUUUAGGACUAAAUUGGUACUAAAAAUGGUUUAGGAUUAAAUUGGAACAAAUACAAAAGAUUUAUGACUUUUUUAACACUUCUCCUGUUUACACUAUUAGUCAUGCUUAACAGAUAUGUAUAUUGGUUUUGACAUCAUUGGCUUGGUGAUUGCCUAGUUCUUUCGACUUCAUUUUAUUUAAAGUUCAAUGCUUUAACUAAAUUACAAUAGAAAAGUUGGAGCAUUGCGCCCACCCCUGGAUGAAACAUUAGCACACUCCCACGCUUAAUCACAAGCUUCCCACUUGAGAAAGUAGAGAUAAUGCUACAUAACAUAAUGGAUCUAAAAUUAGUAAAAUCAGCAGAAUUUGGUUUGGAGCUUUUGACUAAAUCAACAAAUGGUCAACUAUAAAAGUCUUCUCACAUCCGCACGUGUGUCUUUAUAGUUUCCCGAAAUAUCACCAUUUCACUUAUAGUGUCAAGAUGCAUGUGUAAGGAUAUCAUGUGAAAGAGACCUCUCAUUCAGAAUGUAAUGUAAGGUGGACAAGUCAAUAUUAUUCUAGUUGGUUCAUGAAUCAUUAAUUUCAAAUUCUAAGUGAAGGUGAGUUAUUGUUGAGCUUGGGUUUAAGCUUGAACCUAGCAGUCUCCCUAGGUAAAGGUUUUGGCCUUCUGUUGCACCACUUUGCCGAUUAUCUCAAUGAAGUGGGCCCAACAUGUGUGAAUUGAUGUGUGGUGAAUAUCUCAAGGAAAGAAACCUCAUGUGACUCCUAAUCAAGAUGACCAACAGUGUGAUCUGCUGAGGUUGGCCAAACCAAGGCAAUGGAGGAGUCAAGGCAAAUUUUGUGUUCCUACUGAGUUGGGCCGAGGUAGAGAUUUGAAAUGAUGCUGGUGUGGUAUUAAAGGGAGCAAGCUUAAUAUAGAUGGCCCACACAUGAAGUAUAGAUUUGUUGAGGUGCACGUGUGAGGGUGUUAUGAGGAAGAAGUCCCACAUUAGGGAGCGAUGUAAAGUGGAGAUGUUGUUGAUAUAAUCUUAGUAGGUCCAACUAAAUGUGUUCACGGACUCAAACUUAACAUCUCCCUAAGUGAAUAUAUCAAGCUUCCGCUAUGUCUCCCGACAGUUAGAAUCUUUUCAUGCAAAGCAUAUAUAUGUCAUGUUAAAGCAAUGUGUAUGUGUUUCUAUAAAUAUAAAUAUAUUUAAUACAAAUUCAAACACAGAAAAUCUUCACAGAUGUGUCAUUGCAUCCAACGAACUGAAGAUAGGGAUUUACAUAAACAGAUCAAAUUCAGCACCAAAUAAUUUUUUUAUCAAAUCAUUCUUAAAGCCAGUAUAUCACAUUCCACGCUAUUUACCUUUCCAACGUUGCGGAAGCAGGCAGGAAUGUUCUUUAAUCCCGCGUGUUUGGGUCACUGUUUUGCUUUUUCCAACAUGCAGAUGCUUUUACAACAGUAAUGUUUUAGCUUGGAUGUAAUUAGCAAUCUCAGCCUUUAACAUUUCAACUCCCGGACGACAUAUGUUGUUUCCGGGGGCAUUCCUUAAAUGAUCCAAGAUACCUGAGCCAUUGGGCUCGGACUCCCGUGCUUUUAUUUUUGUUAAGUGCUAUGAUCUCCUUUCUACCCCAAAACAGAAAAUAAUGAAACGACCUAGAUAAAUUUAUUAAACAGUUGAUGAUUUGUCAAAUCUUGGAUCUUUGCAUUCCCAUUUUACAAUUUAAUAGCGGUCUCAUGAAGCCUUACGGAUGUUAGUCAAGCUUAACAGAUAAAUAAACUAGGUGUAUAUUAUGGGUGUACAUUAUUGGUGGGAAAAUUGUUCCGAAAGUCUUAAAUUUAUUGCACUUUUGUAAUUUAAUCAUAAACUUUUCAAUUUUGUCAAUUCAGUUCUAAACAUUUUCAUAUUUUGCCAAUUUAGUCCUAAAUAUUUUCAUUUCUUAUCAAUUAAGUCCAUCCAUCUAGUUUUGGCUAGAAAUUGCUGACUUGGAUGGCCGGCAUUGAUGUGACGAUUUUUUAAUAAUAUUUUGAAUUUUAUAUGGUUUUUCUCUUCUUCUUUUUGGUACUCUUUUUAUUUUUAUUUUUUUGAGCUAGGGUCAGCCAGGUUACCGGCAGACCUUCGCCGGCCACAGGACAAAUUUUAAAGAAUGGAGGGUAGGACGGAGGGUUUGAGAAUAAAAAAGAGGCUAGACCAGAGAAAUUAUGGCAAGGAAAGUUGUAAAUAAUGGCGGAUAUAACAAAGGGUUUUCACCACCAAUGAUUUGUCUUUUUAUUUUUAUGUUGGUCCCUUUCGUGGACAAUUACAAGAAAAUUUGUAAAGAAGGACGAACGCACGGGAGGUCAAGAAAUUUUGAUAAGUAACCAGAGAAGGUGCCUCCAUGUUUCCACCGCCGUUGCUUUGUCGUUUUUCUCCAUGUUUCAUGCGCUCGAACACUGUUUCGACUGACAUGCACAUUUUGUCAAGCACCUGGCCGGCCCUGUCACGCUUCCCGACAAGUGGUAUCAAACCAAUGCUUUAAACAAGUUGGGCCCAAAAUAUGUGCAUUGUAGUCGGGUGAAUGUUUCGAGGAAAGAAAUCCAAUGCGACUUCCAAUCGAGGUGGUGGUAGAUAGUGUUUUCCUGUUGAGCUUCGCAUUGAGGAGUCAAGGCAAAAGUUGUACUUCUGCCAAACUUGGUUGGGCCAAGGUGGAGAUUUGAGUUGAGAUAAUAUCAGUGUGAAAGAAUACCUAGAUUAAAGAAGAACAAGACUGACAUAAAAAGCUCAUACAUAGGGGAAAGAUUUGUCGAGGUGCGCAUGCGAGAUUGUAAUGCAAAAGAAGUCCCACAUUGGUGAUGUGGUGUAAAGUAAAGCAGCCAAUAUUAUUCAAGAGGGUUCAAUCAGAUAUACCGAAGGAUUCAGAUUACAACUUUCCCUCGGUGAUCUCCAUUAGUAAAAAUAUCAUACUUUCACUGUGCCUUCCAACAAUUAGAAGGGUAUAUCUUUGAUAAGCAACGUAUGGACAGCAUCAAAUAACAAUAUAUCACAUUAACAAUUUCGUUGUUCACAUCAUUCUUAAAGCAAGUACAUCACAUUCAAUUUUAGUGGUAAAAAAAACCCCGGUCCACAUGUCAUUUCUACGUGACAUGUUUGACACUGAAGUGAUUAUUUUGAAUAAAUUUUGACACUCAAACAAUUACUUUAAACAAAAUUUGGCACUUAAAUUAUCACUAUUUACAACCUUUUGACGACGUCAUUUGAGGGUUAUAUACUGACUAGGCACGCUAGCGAACCACGUAAGACUGAGAAAUUAAUAAAAUAUGACCACGUUGGAUUUUCAACGAUCCAAACUAGAGUUAGCACUUAAAUGAUCGUCUUUUUUAAAAAGCGGCACUGAAGUAAUCCGAAGAAAGAAAAAAUGGCACUAAAAUGAGCGUUGUAUAUAACUUUUGAGAUUUUUAGCGUACUUAUCCCCAUGUUUGUAUCACCGUUCUGCUCUUGCCAAUAUGUAAAUGCUUAUAUAAGACUCAUGUUUUAGCAUCUUAUAUAUAGUUAACAAUCUCAACCUCUAACAUUCCAACUCCAAGAGAAGUCUAGUGAAAGAAAAAGAGAGAUCGUGUACCUCACGAGAGGAGCAGAAUCACUUCAAGUGAUUAACCCGAGCGAUUUUGAGUUCACCCACAAGCUGGGAACAAUGCCAUCGAUUGCAAGCCCGAGAAGAAGGUCGCUGUCUCUGCCAUCACAUCAACAAGCUUCCUUAGCAUUUGAAAGAAGACACCAAGAGAGGAGGCUCUAUGAAGCGUCGCUUGGCGGGUGCACCGAGUCGUUAGCUCAGUUGCUGCAAGAAGACCGACUCAUCCUGGCUCGGGCUUCGGUUACUUGCUUUGAUGAGACACCAUUGCAUGUGGCCUGCAUGCUCGGUCAUGUACACUUUGCCAAGGCUCUUUUGGCUCAUAAAAAGGAUUUGGCUAUGGAGUUGGACUCGCAGGUAAGUCAAAGCGAAAACCUUGGUUGUGUUUGUUUGAUAUCCUUUUGUCAGAUCAAACUGCACCCAGUCAUCCUAGCGAACCGGAUAAUCGAUGGAACGGCAACUGUUUUGAUUCGGUUUUUGCAAGCUCUAGGCUUUUAGCCAUGUGCAACAUAAUUUAUUGACUAUAGUUCGAUGGAAUAUCUCUACAUAGAUCAGACAAUCUUGCUUGUCAAAUAAGACUUUGUAAAUGUACUAUCGCAUUUUGUUUUCCUGUUUCCAUGAUCUGUGAGAAAUCAAACCCAUCAUAUAUGACAAGGAAAUUAACAAAAUUCAGACAGAAAUCAAGUCAUAGAUUUCCAAAUUAAUUCAGCCUAAAAGAUCUUACAGACACCAGUGAAUUUGAGUAGCUCGGUCUGACAUAUAUAUAAAUAUAUAUAAUACAAUAUAUAAUAUAUAAUGUGAACAUCUCCCUCAAUAAGAAUGCUCCUAGCUAAGCACCUUUUUUCGCAGGGACGUACACCUCUUCACUUGGCAUUUGUGAAUGGAUACGUAGAAAUAGUGAGCGAAUUGUUACAAUCGGAACCCCUUGCAUGCCUUGUCCAUGACGAAGAUGGGAGGACCCCACUUCAUCUGGCCAUGAUGAAGGGCCGAAUUAACAUCGUGAUAGAGUUGGUCAAGGUGAGACCGAAGGCGGCCGAGUACAGGCUAAGCCACGGUGAAACCGCUCUCCAUCUGGGAGUAAAGCAUAAUCGUUUGGAGACUCUGAAAGUUCUGGUGGAGAUGGUGACGGAUGGGGAUUUGGUGAAUGCUCAAGAUGAUGAGGGUAAUACCAUUUUGCAUUUGGCCGCUACAAACAAGCAAAUGGAGGUAACCCUUUUUGCUUUGAAUUGCUUCGAAAUUGCAAUGAUGUCAAACAUCGCAUUCCAAUUGAACAUUUUGUGAAGAUAAAAUUUGGCUCUUUCUCAUUUUUCUGUAGACUCAAGCUUUCUACAUUCGAACUUCAGUGGAUAUAUCGAUUGAACAAACUUACAAGAAAUAUCUUUGUCUCUUGUUUCUUUUAUAAUUUACAAGAAGCCCAUCUUUUUGUACAGACAGUGAAACAUCUGCUUCAAAGAAGUGAAGUGGAUGUGAACACUGUAACGACUGGGGCCCCACUGUGUAAUAUUGUCCGCUUUGAACACUGAGUCCUCAUGGACUUAAAACGCGUCACACAGGUUAAAGGGACCCAAGCCUUAUAAACUAGCCCAGGACUCCCCCCUAAGCGAUGUGGGACUAGAGAGGACCCCUCCCCUUCCUUGGCUGUCAAGCUCUCCACCCCAAACUAGCCCAGGACUCCCCCCUAAGCGAUGUGGGACUAGAGAGGACCCCUCCCCUUCCUUGGCUGUCAAGCUCUCCACCCCUUAAGAGCACAGUGUCCUCGCUGUGACCCCCACACGCGGUCGGGAGUCGGCUCUGAUACCAUUUGUAACGAUCCGGGCCCCACUGUGUAAUAUUGUCCGCUUUGGACACUGAGUCCUCACGGCUUUAAAAUGCGUCACACAGGUUAAAGGGACCCUAAGCUUUAUAAACUAGCCCAAGACUCCUCCCCUAAGCGAUGUGGGACUAGAGAGGACCUCUCCCCUUCCUUGGGCUGUCACAAACAUAGUGAACAGAAAUGGCUUCUCUGCUCUGGAUAUAGUGGAACAUUUUCCAAAGGAUUUCAAAGUCACCGAAUUGAGAGAACUAUUAGUACAUGCUGGAGCUUUGCGAGCCGUAAGAUUUUAUGCAUCAACAACUCACCAAGCAGUUGUUGAUAACACAAAUGAGAAGAAUUCAACUGUUGAAGUUGACAUCACAUCGUAGCACCUCCUCUGGGUAAGGCAGCUCCGCCACCGUCUUUCUUGGGUGAAAUUAGGAAGCAAAAGGAAGACAAACACGAGAAAUGGAUCAAGAAGAAGCGUGAUUCUCUGAUGGUAAUGCUUUAACUAGAUAUCUUGGAGUAGCAUUUGCUGAUAAGUUAGAUCAGAUUAGUCAUGUUAUUGCAAUUAACACCAUAGCUCACAGUUGGUUAAUUUAAACUCUCUAUUUGUUUCCUAAAACAUGGAUGAUUCAGAAAAUGCUUUUUCCUAAAAAUGAUCAUUUAUAUCGCUUAAAAUAAAUAAUUAUGCUUUCUCAAAAAUGUUUUCUACACAUGUAGUACAUGUGCUCAUAAUUAAAUAGUUAUGUACGUAAAGAAGGCGAGCAGUUAUAUUAAUAGAUGGCUUAUUAUUUAAAAAAAUGAGGGUAAUAUAAGAAAUCUAAUAUUGAUAAGAGAUUAAACGAGUGGAUGAUUAUUUAAGAAAUUAAUGGUAAUUUAGAAAUCUAAAUGUGAAGCAGUUGGGUGAUUUUCUUUAAAUAUCUGUGUUAAUACAUAAAGUAAAGAGGAUUUUUAUGCGACUCAAUCUUUUCUCUUCUCCAAAUAUUCUCAACUACUUAUUAGAUAUAUAUUGUAUCAANNNNNNNNNNNNNNNNNNNNNNNNNNNNNNNNNNNNNNNNNNNNNNNNNNNNNNNNNNNNNNNNNNNNNNNNNNNNNNNNNNNNNNNNNNNNNNNNNNNNNNNNNNNNNNNNNNNNNNNNNNNNNNNNNNNNNNNNNNNNNNNNNNNNNNNNNNNNNNNNNNNNNNNNNNNNNNNNNNNNNNNNNNNNNNNNNUCUCUAUUUAUGUAGAGAGCUCGCCACAAUUUCCUUGUAUUUCGAUGAAUAUAGGAAAAGCCAUCAAUUGAAUUUGUGUAUUUGUUGAAAUGACUAACUUUGACUCGAUGAUCUUCAUAUUUUCAAAUAUAGGUGAAACACUAUUUCUUCAUUCGCAAGUUUAAAACUUUCUUUCACGUCACGACAGAUAACUGCCACCGUGAUCGCAGCCAUGGCUUACCAAGCAGGCCUUAGCCCUACCGGCGGCUUGUGGAACGACAAUCAGAAAGCAAAAGACGACACCAUCUUAUACUACGCAGGAAAAUCGAUAAUGGCUGCAAACCAUCCAGAGGGUUUACCACGGUUCUGGAUAUGCAACACCGUCUCUUUUCUUGCAUCCCUUAGCACGAUCUUGUUGCUCAUGAGUGGCUUGCCCUUGGGGAAGAAGGUUCUGAUGUGGAUUCUGGCGGCCACAAUGUGGGUGACCAUCACUUUCAUGGCGCUGACUUACCUCUAUUCCAUGACGGCCAUCUCGUUCGUACAGAGGGAUCCUGAACAUGUGAGGCCGACCACAGAGGUUUGGUAAUCCGAAGAUAGGGGGACGAUCAUGGUGAUUACGUACUCCUUGAUUGUUUGGCUCGGCAUUGUAGCCAUUGUUUUUUAAGUUCACACCGUUCGAUUCCUCACGAUCAUCCUCCAGAAUGCGAAGAAAAAUUCGCAAAAGCUCAAGAAGUGGAUAUCGGCGUGUGUGAGUUGGUGCAGAUCUAGGGGCAACAUCAAGAUCUAGUGUAUUCAUCUGGUGGGACAAAGGAUUACUGCAUAGUCUUGAUGCCUGUGUUCUUUCUAACUUAAUCCCUAUGUCAUAAGAUCAUUCUGAGUACUGCUAGUUGUGCAACGAUUUAAUGAGACUACUAAACCAAACGCAGGGUCCAUCUUGCAUUAUUCUCGAGCUCUCCUCAUUAGAGAUGUCUCGCCCUAAUAGCCGAAUCUUUCUAAAGAGAAUGGGAAGGCCUGGCUAAAAGUAAUCUGAUCUACUCCUAUGUAUGCCGCAAAUUAGUAGUAAAGCACACUGGGCCAUUCUAUGAUUUGUCUCGCACAGCUUCACCAUUCUCUUUCCAAUCACACCAAACAACCGAACCCACCUUCCUCAAAAGCAUCCGCACUUCUUUUAUGCUUCCUUCAUAUUCUUCUCCAUUGCUGAUAGAUGUCCAAAAGCCAUCUGAUCAAAGCUAGUGAGCCUCUCUGUCUGAUCAAUUUCAACCCCAUGGCACCAAACCAUAAUGCAGUCGCACCAUUUUCAUUAACUUCCUACACUAUUUCCUGCCUAAUUUUAAGGAAGUGAUACACUGAAUUUAGAGAAAAUACUCCAUGAUUAUUCGCAGGCCGUGCAAGCUGAUCCUCCCUCAAAGGUCGGAAUCGAAGCAGUGCUAGUUUCAUAUGUAAUGUUCACAUACCAGAACGUGUGCUUCUUCCAAAACAACAUUCAAACUCUGAUAUUAUGACUUCUUGCCGAACAAUCUUUUCAUCUUUAUAUAGACAAGUAGAGGAGGGACAAGGUAGAAACGGAACCCAAAAUCUCAUGGACCGAUCUGUUGUUCCUUAUCACAAGACAAAGGAUUGGUAGCGUAUCAUCCCAAACAAAACACAACAAAUUACUGUUCAUAUGCAAACUGAUUACAGGGGAUGGAAGAACAGAGAGAUGAAAACAAUUGCAUAGACAGAUCUUUUGUCCCUUAGACUGGUGAUAAUCAGUCCAUAACAAUUGGGAAGGUAAGAGAGUUCUCAAAGGCAGGAGCCAGCACUUUCAUCUGUCUUAGACAACCACAUUGUGUGGUUUCGAUCAGCAAGCCCACAACUAAGGCAGCUCAUAAACUUCCCUCAACCCAGCUUGGCAAACCAAGCCUCUUUCAAGAAGUUCCGUUUCACAACCCCAACUUAACGCAACCUGACGGUUUCGUUUGGGAGAAUAAUAUUGGGAUUGCGUAUGUGUGGGUUAAGAGCCGCCAAUUCCUUCCAUUUAGCACCAGUUCCAUGAACACGGGAUGAGAUGCUCCACAAUGUGUCACCAGGCUGUGCCUUAGUUGUUGCUGGGGCAGUAGAUUUAGAAGAAGCAGUCUUCGACUUCAGGAACGGAUGCUUAUUGCUCUUUCCCAUUCCAUUAGCGAGCAACCAACGGGAACCAGAUUGUUGCUGGUUUGAACUUCCCCAGACCUUUCUCUUCCCAGGAUCAAAUAUGUUUAAUUAAUUCUAGAUUAUAAUUAUUUUACGCAUGGUUGUGAUACCCAUGCCGUGCAUCUACGACGACAUGGGAUUUAUAGAUUUUAAAUGAGAUGAGAGCUUAGAAGAGUUUAAGAUUAAACCAUCAUCUUCUAAUAAUUUAGAUAUGUCAAAAUGGGACAUAGACUCAAUUUUUAACCAUAUUUGAUGGGUUGAGUUAUUAUAUGAACUAGUUAUAUUCACUAUGGGUUCAGAAUGGUAAAACUUAUAAUAAUAUAAGUGUUAAAUAGAUUCACAACUUAUUUAGAUCUAUUUCAUCUCUAUGACCUUUCUCUUCAUUCUCUCGUCCUCACUUGAUCUCACGCUCGCUCACUCUUUACUCUCACUUCAGUUUGUGUAUGAUUUUUUUUUUAAAUUGAUUAAAUAUAAAAGUGUUUUAGCAAUACAUGUUGUGUUGUUCAUAGGUCACUAGAUUGUAUUACACGAAAAUAUGUCAAAAUAUGUUAAAUAAAUCAAUUUAAAUUGGAUCAUUUUUUACCCUACUCAUUAUUUUGAUGGGUCUGUAAUAAUUUAAGGUUUUGCAUGGUUCACAUGCAAUGUUUAACUAAUUGUGGAUUAAAGUCGAUUUUACGCAUGGUUUACACAUGCCGUGCGUCCACAAUGACGUGAGAUCUACAAAAAUUUAUAAACAGGGUGAGAGGAGUUAUAGAAGAAGUUAAGGAUUAAACCGUUCGUCUUGGAUUAUUUGUUCGUACGUAAACGAAAAUGGCCAAGUUGUAAGGUCAACGCGAUCUUGCGGAAACACGGGAAAAGGUCGAGACCGUUGACCGGGUAACGAAACCGCGCCCCCGCUUCGUUUUUUAACCGCCGGAGGGGAUCGUACGACAGCCAGCGAGACCAAACCCGCGCAUGGCCCCACUCGCUGAGCAGUCCCCCUAAGUUGAAAUAAUAGAAAUAUUAUUUUACUAAUAAUAUUAAAUCUUUAAUUAAAUAUUUUUGUGAACAAUAAAAAUACAUUUUAAUUUAUUCAUUUUUAUAAAUGAAACGAAUAAUUAUUUUUAAGAAAAUAUUUUUCAAACUGUCCAUUUUCUACGAAAUAAUUAGGAAGCUAAAUACAUUAUGUCAAAUCCCCAUAUAUGCAAACGCCCGAGGUCUCAAGUUUGUCCGAGCAUAUCGUGCUUCUAGAGAUGACGGCAAGCUGCAGCGCAGCUCAAAGGUGGGACAAUUUGCCAUUGGCAAGAACAGGGGCAAGCACGAAAGUUGGGUUCGGAGGUGGCUGUACAUAGAGAAGGAUGGAGGGAACCAAAAAAAAAAAAGUUGGCCCUAAUUAGGGUUUCGUAAUAUUUCAGAUUGAAUGCGGUUGCGAUUAGAGUUAAGUGGACACAUGUCGCAAUCUCAAUUCGAAGACUUCGAGCGUAUGCACAGUAGGAGGCAGCAAAUCUCCGAUCCGCCUACAACUCGCAAACUCGCAGCAACCGGUUGGCACGCCGUCGACUUUGACGACGUGUUCUUUACGGGAGUCGCUGGGAAUCUCUUUUGCUUUCGGCAGAUCCGCACAGCUAAUCGCGAGCUUAAAAUAUAAUAGAAGGUACGAGUCCCAUGCAUUGGUUUAUAUAAAAGAGUAAAACCCAUGCAAGUGAAAAGCACUUCUCCCAAUCGAUUCACACGUCUUUGCUCGUUCACGUGCAAAAAGGGGUGUGCCCGCCCUCCUUUUCGAUCCGAGUCUUGCGGGAUAAGAUGACAUUCUCGAGAAACGCAUACAAUAUUAUCCAAAUAAUAAUUUAUUUAUUUUUUUGGGUUGAACGCGUGGAAUAUAACGAGGCAAUAUUUUAAAAGGGUAAAAAAGAAAUACAACCUUUUUUUUUUAAUAUUAUGAUCUCAAGAAGGUCAUUUGUGUUUUAAAUUUGAAAUUAUAUCCUAAAAGUACGGAAUUAUAAAAGGAAACUUACUUAUUUAGUAUUCACUUUAAUAGAAAACUUCAUUACUACUUCAAGCAAUUGACUUGAUUGUAAGAAUUUCUUCCACACCAUGUGAAUAGUGCAUAUAAACCGAUUAAACAUAACCAAAGUUAAGUAAUCGUAAAGAAGAUAUACUUUUCCUAUUUCCCUAUAUAUGGUCUACUAAAGCUAUAUUUGGGAAAAGUGCCAAAAAAGUCCUAAACCUUUUGCCUUUGUACCGAUUUAGUCCUAAACCUUUUUUUUGUGCCAAUUCAGUCCGACCAUCACAUACAUUCUUAUUCUUUUCACCUAUUCUUUCCAAGGACUAAAUCAAUAGAAGAACACAGAACUUUGAUCUUCUUGCAUUUGCAUGUGGAUUCUCGUUCCCUUAUCCUCUUUCAUCAAUUUAUGUACCUUCAGUGACGGAAUGAAAGACUACAGGUACAGUUCAGAGUCUGAUCUGCCAGGAGAUUUAUUCAAAGAUAAUCUCAUGAAUUUAGUGCACAGCUUUGUGCUUAAGUAGCUAAGCUUUUAUCUCUCCCCGACAGGUCGGUUACUCCAGUUUGUAUUCUGCAGGGAGUGUUCAUCGAUGUCGGUCAUAUCGCCUCUAUAGAAAACAAUCACAAACCCGUUAGACACUGCCAAGAAAGGCCAGACGAUGGCCAUUAGGAUACGCUGUUUUCUAUCUUUGUAGUAUUGGUUUGUGGUUAUUCAAGGAAGACAUUCUUACCUGAUUGGAUGCUGCUCUUCUUUCCAGAUUGUCGGCCCGAAUGCAGAAUAGCCAGGGAAAGAUAUCCGGCAGGCAUUUUGACUCAGAAGAGGAGCUUGUCAGUCACAUUUCGAAGAGGUUUCUAAGACGAAUACCGGGUAGAUAAAUCUUAAUUAAUUAGUAAUGGCUUCACAGUUCUUUAAGCUGAAUUUGAAACAUGACUACAUAACUUAGCUCCUAUAUAUGCAGGGUAGCUUGACUAUGGAAGAGUGGAAGCCGGAGGCUAAGCUGAAGACCCUCUUCAAAACCCACCGAAUCCAUCUGCCAACAGCCUGUGCACAGUACCAUCUUCUAAUGCAACUUCUCGAGUCUUUGUCAUCUACAACUACGUAGACCAAGAAGUCUCAAACUCAAAGAUUCUCGACCUUUUUCCAGUGAAGAAAAUCGACUGCUUUAGCACUGAACUUUCUCAUUGGAUUCAAGAGGAGCACGAUCCUCGUUGCUUACACACCAGAGAGCGUUUGCCACAUCUGAUGAGGCCCACAGCGACAUUGGUUAACGCCCAAUAAUCACGUCGAAGGGAAUGUUUAGAUGAAUAGUCAUCUUUAGACUCAUCUAAUCCUUUGACCAUGAGAAAGAGAGACUCAACUGCUCCACAAUGUUACUCUUUUUCAAAUAGAUUAUUAGGAGACCUUCCAACAAAACUAAAUCUUUGAUAAUUGAGGUUACGACUGGUAGUAGUUAUAAUAAGCUUCUACUUUUAUCGUUGGUAAUAGCAAAAAUGAAUUGUGCCUUUGCACUCGAGUCUUGGAUUAUGAAAGAACUUAUUUUAAGAAAGAUUUAAUUUUCUAUCGGGUCAAAUUUUAAGAAAGUUUAGCUUCAUUCUAUAGAUGGAGAGCAUACUCAGGCAAAUUACAUGCACUCAAGUGAUCUUCGAUCCAAGUCACCUAUGCCAACAACCUCUAAUCAUGUCUUUCAGAAAUUGUGCAAAAAUCUUUAUUAACUAUUUUAGGGUUGGUAUAGUUAAAUGGGAUAUCGAGAGAAUUCGGGUUUCGAAACUAGAGAUCUCUUAUUCCAGUCUUACCAAUUAUGUAUGACACGUUCUAGAUCGAGGUCACAUAAACACACCUUCUUAAUCGAUUUAUGGUCUGACCCGAAGAAAAAAAAAAAACCGACUUAUGUGCUUGAAAGGUAUUUCCUAACUAGAAUUCAGGUAGAAAAGUCUCCUCACACGUGUCUCUGGAUUAUUAAAGAAAUUAUAUGAAAAAAUUAUAAUAUUGUGAUAAAGAUGAAAAUUUACAUCAAACAUUCGGAUGCAAAUAAGGGCGGACCAAAUUUUGAUCUCCACCGCUCAACGAAUCUGGUCGAAUUUCUUCGUUCUUUCGUCCUAAUAAACUGGUAGCUUGUCGGCAUUUCUUCCAUCGCAGCCAUUAAAUAAUGAGUACGAUGACCCAGGAAGAGGAACAGGAAGUCAACAAGUCAACUCCACGCGGGAAUCUUCUGAAUCAUGUGACUUUUUGACUUUUUAACCCCGCAUAUUACGGUAACACCACUUGUGAGUGGAGUGUAAUCACUUCUAAUGAUAAAUUCCAGCGACUUCGAGUUCAACCCCAAGCUGGGAACAAUGCCAUCGAUCACGAGCCCAAGAAGGACGUCGCCAUCCCCACCAUCGCAUCAACAACCUUCCUUAGCAUUUGAAAGAAGACAACGAGAGAGGAGGCUCUAUGAAGCGUCGCAUGACGGGUGCGUCGAGUCGUUAGCUCAGUUGCUGCAAGAAGACCGACUCAUCCUGGCUCGGGCUUCUGUCACUUGCUUUGACGAGACACCAUUGCAUGUGGCCUGUAUGCAAGGUCAUGUACAGUUUGCCAAGGAUCUUUUGGCCCAUAAAAGGGAUUGGGCUAUGGAGUUGGACUCACAGGUAUGUUGAAGCGAAAACCUUGGUUGUGGUUGUUUGAUAUCCUUUUGUCAAUUAAACUGAACCCAGUCAUCCUCACGAACCAGAUAAUCGGAGAAAUCGCAACUCUUUUGAUUAGGUUUUUGCAAGUUUUAGGCUUUUAGCCAUGUAUAUAGUAAUUUAUAAACUAUAUUUCCAUGGAAUAUCUCUACAUAGAUCAAACUAUCUUGCUUGUCAAAUUAGAUUUUGUACAUGUAAUGUAGCAUUUUGUUUUCCAGUUUUCAUGAUCUGUGCGAAAUCAAACCCAUCAUAUAUCUCAAGGAAAUUAACAAAAUUUAGACAGAAAUAAAGUCAUAGAUUUCCUAGUUAAUUCAGCCUGAAAGAUCUUACAAACACCAGUGAAUUUGAGUAUCUUGGUUUAUUUAAUUCAAAAAUGCGAUAUAUAUAAAUCAUAUGAACGUGUCCCUCACUGGGCAUCUGCGAAUGGAUACGUCGAAAUAGCGAGGGAAUUGUUACAAUCAGACCCCCUUGCAUGCCUUGUCCAUGACGAAGAUGGGCGGACCCCACUUCAUCUAGCCACAAUGAAGGGUCAAAGCAACAUCAUGAUAGAGCUGGUGAAGGCGAGACCGGAGGCAGCUAAGCAUAGGCUGAGCCACAACCAAACCGCUCUCCAUCUAGGAGUGAGUCAUAAUCGUUUGGAGGCUCUAAAAGUCCUGGUGGAGACGGUGAGAGAUGGUGAUUUGGUGAAAGCUCAAGAUGAUGAGGGUAAUACCAUUUUGCAUUUGGCCACAGCAAACAAGCAAAUAGAGGUAACCCUUUUUGCUUCAAAUUGCUUCAAAAUUGUGACGACCUCAGAUAUCACGUUCCAAUUGAACAUUUUGUGCAGAUAAAAUCCAACUCAUUCUCAUUUUUCUAUAGACUCAAGCUUUAUGCAUUCAAACUUCAGUGGAUUUAUCAAUUGAAGUAACUUACAGGAAAUAUCUUUGUUUGUUGUUUCUUUUAUAAUAGAUAAGAAGCUCAUCUUUUUGUGUAGACAGUGAAAUAUCUACUUCAAAGAAGCGAAGUGGGUAUGAACACAAUGAAUAGAAAUGGCUUCUCUGCUCUGGAUAUAGUGGAAUAUUUUCCAAAUGAUUUUAAAGUCAUUGAAUUAAGAGAACUGUUAGUACAUGCUGGAGCUCUAAGAUCCAUAAGAUUCCCUGCAUCGACAACUCACCAAGCAGUUGUUCAUAACAGAAAUGAGGAUAAUUCAACUCUUGUAGUUGACCUAGCAUCUGCAGCACUUCCCUCCACCAAUACUCCUCCAGUAAAGGCGGUUCCGCCACCAUCUUUCUCUAGUAAAAUCAAGAAGCAGAAGGGAGACAAACAUGAGAAAUGGAUCAAGAAGAAGCGCGAUUCUCUGAUGGUAAUGCUUUAGCUAGAUGUCUUGGAGUAGCAUUUGCUGAAAACUUAGAUCAGAUCGGUUAUGUUAUUGCAAUUAACAUCAUAGCUCACAGCUAGUUAAUUUAAAAUCUCUAUUUGUUUCAUGAAAAAUGGAUGAUUCAGAAAAUAUUUUCAUAAAAAUAAUCAUUUGUAUCGCUUAAAGUAAAUAGUUAUGCUUUCUUAAAAAUGUUUUCUACGUAUGUACUAAAUUGUUCAUAAUUAAAUAGCUAUGUACAAAAAGAAGAUCAGUAGUUACAAUAAUAGAUGGCUUAAUGAUUAAAAAAAAAAAAAACAGAGGGUAAUAUAAGAAAUCCAAUAGUGAGAAGAGACGAAGCAAGUUGAUGAAUAUUUAAGAAAGUAAUGGUACUUAAUCUAAAUGUGAAGCAGUUGGGUGAUUUUCUUUAAAUAUCUAUACUAUUACAUAAAGUAAAGAGGAUUUCUAAAAAACUCUAUCUUUUGUCUUCUCCAAAUAUUCUCAAUGACUCGGGGUCUAUUUGGUAACCAUUAUCUUCCCGGGAACAUUUUUUGCUUAAAAAUGAUUUUUAUUUUAUUUUGUUCCCUAGACAGUUUUUAGAGGCAUUUUGUAACUAUCCAAAAUUUCUAUUCUCAGAAUAGAAAUGCGUUUGAUAAGUAUUUUAUAUUUUCAUCUUUUUUUUUUCUUUUUUCCUUUUCUUUUUCUCCUUCUUCUUCUUGCCGACAAUCGGCCAAAUGAGGGCCGGCAACCUCUUAAGAGUGUUACCAGCCCAUGGCAAAGCCGAGCCUUGCCAAUCGAGCCUCCUUGGUGGCUAGGCGAGGCUUGGUUGGGCGAGCUCGGCCUUGCCCAUGGCUAGGCGACGCAAGCCUUGCCGGUGGCCCGAUGAGGGUGAGCCUUGCCAAUAGCGAGAAUAUAAGUGUGUUUUAUUUUCCACACAUUUAGUUAUUAGAUUUUGAUUUUCUUUCUAACGACAACAGCAACCAUCAUAAAAAGACGUUCAAACUUUGAAAUAUCAACAUUUUUUUUCUUCAUAUAUGCGUAUAUUCAUACACUUAGUUUUUUCAUGAUUUAUUCCAUGACCUCUAUUUACGUAGAGAGCUCGCCACAAUUUCCUUGUAUUUUGAUAACUAUAGGAAAAGCCAUCAAUUGAAUUUGUGUAUUUGUUGAAUGACUAACUUUGACUCGAUGAUCUUCAUAUUUUCAAAUAUAGGUGAAACACUUUCUUCAUUCGCAAUUUUAAAACUUUCUUUCACGUCACAGCAGAUAAUUGCCAACGUGAUCGCAGCCAUGGCUUACCAAGCCGGCCUUAGCCCUCCCUGCGGCCUGUGGGACAACGAUCAGAAAGACGACAAAGGCACCAUCUUAUACUACGCAGGAACAUCGAUACUGGCUGCAAACAAUCCAGAGGGUUACCCAUUGUUCUGGCUAUGCAACACCGUCUCUUUUCUUGCAUCCCUUAGCACGAUCUUCUUGCUCAUGAGUGGCUUGCCCUUGGGGAAGAAGGUUUUGAUGAGGGUUCUGACGGGCGCAAUGUGGGUGACCAUCACUUUCAUGGCAAUGACUUACCUCGAAUCCAUGAUGGCCAUCUCGUUCGUACACAGGGAACCUAAACAUGUGAGCCCGUUCACAGAGGAAUGGUACUCCGAGGAUGGGGGGUCGAUUACAGUGGUUAUGUACUCCUUGUUUGUUUGGCUCGGCAUUGUAGCCAUUGUUUUUCUAGUUCACACUGUUCGAUUCCUUGCGUUCGUCUUCCAGAAUGUGAAAGAUCCGCAAAAGCUCAAGAAGUGGAUAUCAGGGCGUGUGAGUUGGUGCAGAUCUAGGGGCAAUAUCAAGAUCUAGUGUAUUCAUCUGGUGGGACAAAGGAUUACUGCAUAUUCUCGAUCCCUAUGUUCUUUCUAACUUAAUCCCUAUGUCAUAAGAUCAUUCUGAGUACCGCUACUUGUGCAAACGAUUUAAUGUGACUACCAAACCAAACGCAGAGUCCAUCUCGCAUUAUUCUCGAGCUCUCCUCAUCAGAGAUGUCUCGCCCAUGUAGCCGAAUCUUUCUAAAGAGAAUGGGAAGGCCUGGCCACAAAGUAAUCUGAUCUACUCCUAUGUAUGCCGCAAAUUAGUAGGUAAAAGCAACAUUGGGCCAUUCCAUGAUUUGUCUCCCACAGCUUCACCAUUCUCUUUCCAAUCACACCAAACAACCGAACCCACCUUCCUCAAAAGCAUCCGCACUUCUUUUAUGCUUCCUUCAUAUUCUUCUCCAAUGCUGAUAGAUGUCCAAAAGCCAUCUGAUCAAAGCUAGUGAGCCUCUCUGUCUGAUUAAUUUCAACCCCAUGGCUCCAAACCAUAAUGCAGUCACACCAUUUACAUGAACUUCCUACACUAUCUUCCCUGCCUAAUUUUAAGGAAGUGAUACACAGACUUCACAGAAAACACUCCAUUAUUAUUCGCAGGCUGUGCAAGCUGAUGCUCCCUCAAAGGUCGGAAUCGAAGCAGCGCUAGUUUCAUAUGUAAUGUUCACAUACCAGAAAGUGUGAUUCUUCCAAAACAACAUUCAAGCUCUGAUAUUAUGACUACUUGCCAAACGAUCUUUUCUUCUUUAUAUAGACAAGUAGAGGAGGGACAAGGCAGAAAUGCAACCUAAAAUCUCAUGGACCGAUCUGUUGUUCCUAAUCACAAGACAAAGGAUUGGUAGCAUAUCAUCCCACACAAAACACAGAAAAUUACUGUUCAUAUGCAAACUGAUUACAGGGGAUGGAAGAACCGAGAGACGAAAACAAUUGCAUAGACAAAUCUUUUGUACCUUAGACUGGUGAUAAUCAGUCCAUAACAAUUGGGAAGGUAAGAGAGCUUUCAAAGGCAGGAGCCAGUACUUUCAUCUGUCUUAGACGACCACAAUGUGUGGUUUCAAUCAGCAAGCCCACAACUAACGCAGCGCAUAAACUUCACUCAACCCAGCUUGGCAAAACAAGCCUCUUUCAAGAAGUUCCGUUUCGCACCCCCAACUUAAUGCAACCUGACGGUUUUGUUCGGGAGAAUAAUAUGGGGGCUGCGUAUGUGUGGGUUAAGAGCCGCCAAUUCCUUCCAUUUAGCACCAGUUCCAUGAACACGGGAUGAGAUGCUCCACAAUGUGUCACCAGGCUGUGCCUUAGUUGUUGCUGAGGCAGUAGAUAUAGAAGAAGCAGUCUUUGACUUCAGAAACGGAUGCUUAUUGCUCUUUCCCAUUCCAUUAGCGAGCAACCAACGGGAACCAGAUUGUUGCUGGUUUGAACUUCCCCGGACCUUUCUCUUCCCAGGAUCAGUCUUGAGGCCAGCAACAUGGACUUCAGUAAUCUUGCACUGGGGAAUUUAUCCCCAAAAUUUUUUGUGCAGAUGAUAAAAGUUCUUGCUUACAAUCCCAGGACUCGAGGUGAACACACCAAACUCAAGUGGCCUCAUAGCACUAGACAUUCUUGAGCAGGGUCCAGGAGGCUCGAGAGUUCUUGAAAUUGAGACAUCCCUUCAAAGUUCAGGAGCUUCACUCUCCAGAGACAUCCAAUCAGUCCCAUAUCGCUAUGAUCCAGUUCUUCACCCACCACCAAGAAUGACCUCCUACAACACCACCUCAAGAUCACCUAAAAACUCCCCAUCACUCUCCACCAAGAAAGCCCCGUCAAAGAAACGGAGUACUUUAAGGAAACCCCUAUCAAAGAAACUGAGUGCUCUAAGAAGACCCCCGGUGGAAGCCGAUUGACUGAGCCAGGAGAGAUUCACUAAUGGUGGUCGCUUCGCUGCUAGUGACGGUGGCGUUCCAAGCUGCGACCAUGCCGCCGGGAGGCGUCUGGCAGGAAGACUACAAGGUUGAUGCCAACGGCAACCCAGUGAAGGAACCGCACAUGCCGGGCACCUCUAUCAUGGCCCACAUCCAGCGGAUCGCCUACGGACAGUUCAUGAUCUUCAACCCACUGGCCUUCCUGUCCUCCCUCAGCAUCAUCCUGCUCCUCUUGAGCGGGCUUCCAAUAAAGCGGCGACGCUGGAUGUGGACCCAGAUGGUGAUCAUGUGGCUAGCAAUCACGGGGCAGGCGAUCACCUACUUCAUAGCGCUGCGCAACAUAUCGAUGGCUGACACGUGGGGGAUGCUGAAGGACCUGACGGACGUGUUGGUGUUGUGCUGGCUGUGCCUGAUGGGGGUGGUGUUCAUGGGGAAUGUGGUGAGGCUAUGAGUGUGGGUGCUGAGGAAGUGGGGUUACUUGAAGAAGAAAGAGAAGAAGGAUUCAGAUGAAGACGAUGAAGACGAGCAUGAGGAAGUGUGACGGUCUGUGUGACAAUCGACUAAAUUGAAUGGUCUUUGUUCUAUGAUGGCGGCAGCAUGUUCAAUAUGUGUAAAAUUUGUGAUUCUGAUGAGCGGGUUCAUGAUGGGUUUUAAGGUGCUCUGUUUUCUUCUACUUCUGUUAGAUAACAGAGUAUUUGUCCUAAAGAGAGGGUAAGACGGAUUCUGCUAGAGAAAUCUUUGGAUGGUAAACGAUUGAAGAGACUAAUGUGGCGCUUGGAGCAAUCGUGCAUGAUCUCCCUCUGUAAUUUGUACAAAAUCAGGACAAUACGCGGUUAUAGUUGUCGCAAUUUCUUCUCUAUACAAUGUUGAACAUGACUGUUGGACGAGGAGAGCUUCAGCCAGUUCGGCCAGGUCUGCUCAGGAACGGCUCAGUCCUCAACUCGGCCAUCUUCGCUUGGCAUUGAAGUAUUCUGGACUUUGGUCCUCAGUUGAGAUUCAGGGUGGCUAGAAAUAAAUUAGUAGUGCAGGACGGGAUUUCCUGCAAUUAUUAUAUAAUUGUUUCCUUUGUUUGAAUAUUAUUUGAGGCUGAGAUUAGAAAUGUUUGUCCAGGUUUUCUAUUUCCUUCCCUUCCUAGCUGCUGUUAAACAUCUAUCUUGCCAGAAGUUUCUGCUAUGGAGGGAUAAAUUAAGCUGCCAUCUCAAGCCUCUGUUGCACGAGACCGAACCUCAAGCAGGUUAGAGUGUAUCUACUGUCUAUGACUUGAGAAUUCCUGAUGCAGCCCACAUUGAAGACCGGCUCUCUCGACCAAGAAGAUCGGCCCGCAUUAAAGCUCGACGAAACCGAGAAGCCAUAACGACAUCUUGAGUCCAUCUCGGAAGUUGGAAAGACACAUUGCCACGAAGACGUUAUGCUUUUACUAUUUAUGCUAAUUUUAAUGUUCUGUCUUUAUUUCUCCUAGUUUCAAUGCUCCGUCUUUAUUUCUUUGACGAUAUAAGCCCAAUUUCUUGUAGAAGACGAACAGCUUUUGAUGAAUGAAAAACUUUGCUUGAAGCAAGUAUCGUGAACCUUGUAGAGUUCAACCCUUGAAAACCUAGAAGAGUUUUCACUUCGUCCUUGAAGAGUCGGAGCUUUUGAAAUCUGCAUCCUUGAAGAGUUGCAGUCAUCGAUCUUGAAGAAUCGGUGCCCCCUCAACUUCCUUGGAGGCCUAGAAGAACAACCAACGGAGUUUCUAUCUUUUCAUAUUCUGUUCGUUAUUUCCAACCCAAUUUCGACUAUCCUACCGUGCUUAUUUCAGAAAACCCAAAACAGAGAAAUUGUAGAUCCAGAAGUCUUUGUUCAUUUGGCUUUGAAAUCAGGUCAAUCCGAUCUGUAUCGACAAAGAUACGACUGUUCUCCUGAGCUUGCACAGUGCUGAAAUUCCUGUUUGUUCUGUUUCCGUGUGCGAGUCACUCUCCCGAUCCUAUUGUUUGAGAAAGCCUACCCUAGGCUUGCAUCAUUUGGUAUCAGAGCUUUGGAGGAGAGGACAAUGCCUCCAAGACAAGCUAGGCGUCGUGGCGGCAAAACCCUUCCCCUCAAUGAAUUGCACACACUCGCUGAGAAUAUGCAACAACAAAUUGACGAAUUGACGCAAGAAGUUCAGCGAUUGAGGGCUGAAGCAAAUAAUUCUCCACCCCGUUCCAGGACUGAAGAUUCCCAUGGUGACUCUUCCUCUUCGGAGAGUGUUCAAUCUAUUCACGGUCGGAGGAAUGUUCGACAUCAUUUACAACAUAUUCAUGAGCCAGAUUGGGAAAAGGAAAUCAAGAAAGAUGUUCCAGAAUUUACAGGUAAUGAGUCUCUUGAUGAAAUUGUUGAUUGGCUAACACUUGUGAAUGAGGUGUUUGAGCAUCGAAAUGUUCCGGAGAAUCGUCGUGUUGGGAUCAUUGCUAUGCGAUUCCGAGGCAAGGCGAUUGCUUGGUGGAGACGUGAAAAACAAACUCGCCAAGCCAUUGGCAAAGCACAAGUCACUUCGUGGAGAAAGAUGGAGGGCAAGAUUCAAAAAUAUUUUCUUCCCAAAGGAUAUAAGAGAGAGCUCUACCAACGGUACCAAAAUCUAAAACAAGGUACGCGAACGGUGGACCAAUACACCAAUGAAUUCAAUGAGUUGGUGAUUCGUAACAAUAUCCAGGACCCAGAGGAUGUGCUUGUGAACAAAUACUUGAACGGUCUUCAAUUUUACAUUCAAGACGCCUUGGAAGUCCUCGACAUUUGGGACUUAGGAGAUGCACACCAACGGGCACUCAAAAUGGAGCACUCUCAUUCUUGGAGACAGCAAUCUGCUAGUAAGCCUUCUACUCAGCCCCAUGUUUCGAAGCAACCUGCUACAUCUGAAAUACGUUGCUAUUCUUGUGGGGAGUUGGGUCAUCGUGCUAGCAAUUGUCAAAUCAAUAAGAAUCGACCAGCCAGUAAAGCUUUUUGAUGAAUGAAAAACUUUGCUUGAAGCAAGUAUCGUGAACCUUGUAGAGUUCAACCCUUGAAAACCUAGAAGAGUUUUCACUUCGUCCUUGAAGAGUCGGAGCUUUUGAAAUCUGCAUCCUUGAAGAGUUGCAGUCAUCGAUCUAGAAGAAUCGGUGCCCCCUCAACUUCCUUGGAGGCCUAGAAGAGCAACCAACGGAGUUUCUAUCUUUUCCUAUUUUGUUCGUUACUUCCAACCCAAUUUCGACUACCCUACAGUGCUUAUUUCAGAAAACCCAAAACAUAGAAAUUGUAGAUCCAGAAGUCUUUGUUCAUUUGGCUUUGGAAUCAGGUCGAUCCGAUCUGUAUCGAUAAAGAUACGACUGUUCUCCUGAGCUUGCGCAGUGCUGAAAUUACUGUUCGUCCCAUUUCUUGUGCGCGAGUCACUCUCCCGAUCCUAUUGUUUGAGAAAGCCUCCCCUAGGCUUGCAUCAUUUGGUAUCAGAGCCUUGUUAAUCUAUCCAUUGGUGCUGAAAUUACUGUUCUACUGUUUCAAAAUGAUGCCUUGUUAAUCUAUCCAUUGGUUCUGUUUAUAGUGCCAAAAUAUGGUGUGAUGUUCUGCCGAUGGAUGCUAGUCACGUUAUUCUUGGUCGACCAUGGCAAUUCGAUAAGAGGACUAUGCAUGAUGGUUAUCGAAAUACAUAUUCUUUUGAAUUUGGAGGCAAGAAGAUUAAGUUGGCACCUAGUAGGGUGGGAGAUUCUUUUGAUGAUGAUGGCAAGAAUUCGAGGACGAAUUCUUUUAACGAUGGGGAGGAUGAUGCAGCCCACAUUGAAGACCGGCUCUCUCGACCAAGAAGAUCGGCCCGCAUUAAAGCUCGACAAAACCGAGAAGCCAUAACGACAUCUUGAGUCCAUCUCGGAAGUUGGAAAGACACCUUGCCACGAAGACGUUAUGCUUUUACUAUUUCUGCUAAUUUUAAUGUUCUGUCUUUAUUUCUCCUAGUUUCAAUGCUCCAUCUUUAUUUCUUUGACGAUAUAAGCCCAAUUUCUUGUAGAAGACGAACAGCUUUUGAUGAAUGAAAAACUUUGCUUGAAGCAAGUAUCGUGAACCUUGUAGAGUUCAACCCUUGAAAACCUAGAAGAGUUUUCACUUCGUCCUUGAAGAGUCGGAGCUUUUGAAAUCUGCAUCCUUGAAGAGUUGCAGUCAUCGAUCUUGAAGAAUCGGUGCCCCCUCAACUUCCUUGGAGGCCUAGAAGAGCAACCAACGGAGUUUCUAUCUUUUCAUAUUCUGUUCGUUAUUUCCAACCCAAUUUCGACUAUCCUACAGUGCUUAUUUCAGAAAACCCAAAACAGAGAAAUUGUAGAUCCAGAAGUCUUUGUUCAUUUGGCUUUGAAAUCAGGUCAAUCCGAUCUGUAUCGACAAAGAUACGACUGUUCUCCUGAGCUUGCGCAGUGCUGAAAUUCCUGUUUGUUCUGUUUCCGUGUGCGAGUCACUCUCCCGAUCCUAUUGUUUGAGAAAGCCUACCCUAGGCUUGCAUCAAUUCCAUGUCAAUUAAACUGUACAAAUUCAUGCACAUUUGAUGAUUAGAAGCACGACUCUGUUUAAGCAUGGUACCCUGUAACUUCGUACCGCCAGACAUAACAAUUUUCGCAGAAAUCUCUGCUAGACUUGAUUCAUUAGACUAUUCAAAUCAAUAUUUCGACCGAUCGGCUAGCAUGAAAUGAAAGAGAGAGCCAACUCAAAUGAUUGUCAUAGAGGAUGACAUUUGAGAUAGCUAGUAUAAUCACCUAGAGGGGGGUGAAUAGGUGCACAAACAAAUUUUCGAGAUACGGAAGCGAUUUUAGGCAAUCGAUAGAAAGGAAAAUAUGAUCAAGGUAAAGUAAAUGAUAGGGAAGAGAGAAAUGAACACAAGAUUUAUAGUGGUUCGGCUUAUUCCAAGCCUACGUCCACUCUUCCGCACUGAUAGCCCACCGGCUGGAUUUCACUAUGAACAAAAGAGAAAUUACGGCACAGCUUUUCCUUGAUUCCACAGUGUAGAUGUUCUAUCACAUUUCCUCAAGGUUUCUCACGAAUAUAGACUCUCUUUUGUUUACACGAUUAUGCUCAACAAAUGAAUUGACUAGAAACAAGGAGUUUCAGACUUUGGAAUUCUUCUCUUGUACAUCUACUCGAACGACUAGAAAGUCUUCCUUAUAUACUCCUUCAUGCCAUCAUACCCGUUGGCACUUACCAAAGGAAUUCCUCCAAUCUACCCGUUGGACGGAAUCAAUUAGGAAGAUCAUUCGAGCUAUUAAAGGAACAUGUCGAUAGCCCAUCAAUCCUGUUCGCCCAUACAAUCAGGAUCUCAGUUUCAAUAAGUAGAACCUUCCAAGUAAACUUUGCCGCCAAUCAUCGAAUCCUUAAUAUUCGAAUCAAUUGUGAUCAAAUAAGGAAUUUCGUUAUGUCAUAUCCAGCCAAGAGAUCUUCUCCAGUCGAUAAGGCCACAUCCUUAAUGAAACAUCCAGUUCUGGAUAGCCUUUCUUCAACGGAUUAGAGACUGUCAAUGAGGAUAGACUUUGAGUCUUGAGUCUGGCUGUCCGGAGGUCUUCAAACUUUAAAUAGUAGAGUUUGCAAUACUUCAGACUAGACUGAUGGAAACGUUUUGUCAACUUCAAAACACUUCAAGAGGAAUUUCUCCAACAAUCUCCCCAUUUUUGAUGGUGACAAAACUUUCCUGCAGAUUUGGAAAACUUUGACCUGCAAAACAUUUCUCAAGCACAUAUGCAUAUCUUAUAGAUUAAAAUGGCUUAAAUGAAUAACACUAGAAUCUGCAACCACAGAAAAUAGGUUAGUCCAGUAUGCAGUAAAACCAUCCAUAAGACAUCAAUAGUAGUUAAUAAUAAGCAGUCAAAUCCAAAUCCCAAAUUUAGUCCACAUCCAGACACAAGUCAAGUCAAAACAAACCACAAUCCAAACAAGCCAAAAGUUUAAGUUCAAAGUUUUUCAAGUUGCGACUAAACUCUCCCCAUUUUUGUCAGCAUAAAAAGAUUGAGAUGAAAAUGAAGUCAAGUAUUCUUGGGAAUACGAACAAGCUGAAAAUCUCACAUCGACUGAACGAUGCCUUCUAGCCUUUUAAAGUCUUCCUUCAGCUGAGCAACAUCCUCACCCUUAGCAUUAGCCUGAAUCUGAAGAGAAAGGGCUUGGAUUUGAUCAUUUAAUGAACCCGAAGAGACUUGUCCUGCAUUCUGCAAGUUCUAAACUUCACAUCCUAGUGCAUAUAUUUGACCUUGCAUUUCCAAGAGAAUAUCCAUCACUCUGCGAAAGUCUACUGAAUUUUCGGUCUGAGUACUGGCAUUAGCACGAUCUGAUGGAGUAAAUGCAGACGAUGGUAGAUCAGCAUAAUCACGCAGAUUUGGCGAAGAAACCUCAUGACCUUCCUCAGGAAACUGAGAGGCAAAAACCUCCUCUGGAUCUGCUGGGGAUCGAUUGACUCCCUCACUGGUUGCAGGAUUUGAGGUCAUUCCUCUUUUCUCUUGGUCUCCCCCUGUGUCUAUGCCUUCAGGUGGAGAGCGCUCCUCAUGUUCUCCUUCUUCUUGAUCUCUUUUCUCUUCUUCUUCUUUUUCAACUCUCUCUUGCUCAGCAUUUCUUUCUUCUUCUUCUUCUCUUUCCUCUGUUUCUUUUUCCUUUGCCUCUUUUUCUGCUCUUUCUUCUGUCUGCUGUUCUGACUCUUUCUCUGGAACAGAUUGACUGAGAUUCUUCAAAGCAGAGAUAGUGAUGUUAUCCUCAUCAUCUUCAUCCUCAACGAGGAGAGCUCUUUUUCUCUUAGAUGGAGCAUCCAUGGGCUCCUUCCCUUUCCUUUUUCCUGCAAAAGAGAAUUGAUGAGUUUUGACUGGAGUCUUCUCCUUAAAUUUCUCCAAUGCCUUGCUUAGUUCCUUCAGACGCAUCUAGGUCACCAUUUUCAGUCCUACCACCUUAUGAUCGCACGAUCGAGCACAAAGAAUUUGUGGAGGCUGAAUGUUUAGAUGUCUGAAUAACUUUGUUACAAGACCUGGAUAAGGAAGUUGUCCUCUGUCCUUCAUCACAACUCUAUACAUAUGGAACAUAACAAUGUGAGGAAGUGAAAACCUUUUCCCAGUGAUGAUGGCAUACAUUAGCUUUGCCUCUGAACUUGAGACAUCAGUCUUGGAAGUUGAUUUCGGUCUGAGGCAAUUAAUUACAAUUUUGUGUAGCAAGAUGUUAAAUGCACUCAUCCUUGAAUAGGAAAUCUUUCCCUCUGUUCUCCUGUCUUUAACAAGUUCCAAAGUAGUACGAGCAAUAGAAACUUUGAUCCGUUGAUACCUUCCUCUCUCAACUCCUAACACAUCUGCCAGCGUAUCCAUAUCCACAACAAAGUCUCGAUCUUUGACACUGAAAGAGAAUCUAUUCGCAUCCAAGAAACUAAGAUUUGAAUAGAAAUAUGUAGAUAGUUGAGGAUAGGCCUCUGUGGAGUCAGAGCAGAAUUUCUCAAGUUGAAGAUGACCAAACUUUUCCCUUAAGUUCACAUUUACAGCAUCCAGAAAGUCAAAAUCUACACUCCUAGGGUUUAUCACCCCACGCUUCAGCAAUUUUGAGUAUAGAUCCAUCUGUUCUUUUGAUCUAAACAACUCUCCCCUUUUUCCUCGAUUUUCCACCGCAAUUCCCAUUCUUGGCUGAAAUUCGCUGUAUAAUUUGUCAUCAUCAUUUCCAUCCACCGGAUUAACUCCCCAAUCACAAGGGUCACUUGGGAUAUUCGCAAGGGAUUCUUCUGCCACACCCUUACGAGCAAUUCCUAAACUUUCCAUUUUUCGCAAAAAGAUAUAUUCAUUUCCAUAUCCUUUGUCCUUAAGAAAAUCAUCCACAUAGUUCAACGGAGUACCAGUCCCUUUUAAAGCACGAUACAGCUUAUAAAUAAAAGAGGGCCUUUGAACUCUUACAGGGUCUGCAUCUUCAAUGAUUUCUUCAUUUUGAUGAUGAUCAACAUCUUGAGGAAUAGAUGGAGGAGAAUGACGCUGCUGAGAAUGUUGUGAGCUCUGCUGCUAAUUUGGAGACACUUCUUCUUCAGUGAGGUCGAAGUGCGUAGGCCCCUCACUCAUUCGCCGUGGUCCCCUGCUUGCGAUCCUCGAAGACUUUCUUGAAGACGACAUAUUUCUUAGUCUUUGAAAGAUUCCUUGCUUGACUUUCCCAAGAAAGAUGACAACUUUUUCGAAGAUUAAACAAGAGAAGAAAACAGGAAUGGAAGAUUGGUGCUUUUUAGGGUUUUGGAGUUAAGCGAGGAGAAACCGAUUAUAUAUAAGACAGUCGUAAGGAGGGGAUACCAACCGUCGUAAUGGUAAGUAAAAAAAAAUGCCUUUUAAAAAAAUAACUGCCUUUUUCGAAAAAAUAGUUACAUCAAAAUAACUUCUUUUUCUAAAGGAAAUGAUGCAAUAAUUUUGUCAAUUAAAGAUAGCGAUUGGGAUAAUCAACACGGUUGAUCAACGUACCUUUUCAAAAUGAGAUUAGAGAGAGAAUAACUUACAUUCAAAGUUUUAUAGUCUGAGUCUGAGAGUCUCUAGACUUUAACUUCUUCAAAGUUCAAAAUGUUGAGUCUUGAAUGGAUAAUUUCAAAUUGAUUUUUCUCCAGAGGCUUUGUAAAUAUAUCCGCCAGUUGGUUCUUUGAGUCAACAAACUAAAUCGAAAUUUCUCCAUUUUGAACAUGAUCUCUAAUGAAGUGAUGUCGAAUCUCUAUAUACUUUGCUCUUGAGUGAAGAAUUGGAUUUUUGGUGAGAUUGAUUGCGCUGGUGUUGUCACAUUUAAUCUCCGUGCAUGAAUCUUCAAUUCCGAAAUCUCUUAGCUGUUGUUUUAUCCACAGAAUUUGUGAACAGCAACUUCCAAGAGCUACAUAUUCUGCUUCUGCUGUAGAGAGAGCUACUAUACUUUGCUUUCUUGAAAACCAAGACACUACCCUGCCUCCAAGUAGUUGACAGGUACCUGAGGUGCUCUUUCUAUCAACUCUGCAUCAGGCUAAGUCUGCGUUUGAGUAUCCAAGAAGAGUAAAGUCUCCCCUUUUAGGAUACUAGAGACCGAAGCUUGAAGUUGAUGCAAUAUAUUUGAUAAUAUGCUUUGCAGCAGUUAAAUGUGAUUCUUUAGGGUCUGCUUGAAAUCUGGCACAAAUGCAAACACUAAAUAAAAUAUCAGGUCUAGAAGCAGUAAGAUAAAGAAGUGAACCAAUGAUACUCCUGUAUAACUUUUGGUCGACUUUCUUUCCUCCUUCGUCUUUAUCUAUCUUCAAGGAGCUUGACAUUGGUAUAUCAGACUUUUUGCAAUUGUUCAAUCCAAACUUCUUCACAAUAUCAUUAGCAUAUUUUUCUUGAUAAAUAAAAGUUCUUUCCUUCAAUUGUUUUACUUGAAGUCCAAGAAAGAAGGUUAACUCACCCAUCAUGCUCAUUUCAAAUUCAUCCUGCAUAGUCUUAGAGAAUUUCUUGCACAGACUUUCAUUAGAGGAUCCAAAAAUAAUAUCAUCGACAUAUAUUUGAACAAGUAGAAAACUCUUGCUUUCUCUUUUAAUGAAAAAAGUAGUGUCUACUUUACCUUUAACAAAUCCAUUUUCAAUUAAAAACUUACUCAGUCUGUGAGGAGCAAGCUCGAGGAGCUUGUUUCAAGCAAUAUAAAGCCUUUUUGAGUCUGAAUACUGAGUCUGGUUUCUUUGGGUCUUCAAACCCAGGUGGUUGUUCCACAUAGACUUCCUCUUGGAUGAAUCCAUUUAGGAAAGCACUUUUGACAUCAAUUUGGAAUAACCUGAAAUUCUUAUAACAAGCAAAAGCAAGUAAUAAUUGAAUUGCUUCUAACCUUGCUACUGGUGCGUAAGUCUCGUCAUAGUCUAUCCCUUCUUCUUGUGUAUAUCCCUUGGCCACGAGUCUUGCCUUGUUUCUUAUUACUUUUCCUUUCUCGUUCAUCUUGUUCCUGAAAACCCAUUUAGCUCCAAUAACAUAUUUACCUUUCGGUUUAGGAGUUAAUUCCCAGACAUCAUUAACUCUGAAUUGCCUGAGCUCUUCUUGCAUAGCUUCAAUCCAGCUUUCAUCAGAUAAAGCUUCUUCUAUGCUUUUGGGUUCUAUUUCAGAAAUAAGAGCCACAGCACUAGACUCUUCGCGCCUUUUGGAUCUUGUGCGAAUUCCUUCAUUGAUGUCGCCAAUAAUAAGAUCUUUGGGAUGACUAGACUUAUGUUUCCAGUUGCUGGUUAAUUUGUCUGAUUGAUGGUCACUUUCUUCACUUGAAUCUUUAACAGUCACUUGUUGCUGGUCCUUCAAAGUCUGAGCUAUUUUAGACUUUGUAAAGUCUGGAGUAGGUUCAAAUUCUUCAAGAUGAGUUUGAAUGGAUUCAUUUUGCAUAGAAUCCUGGAAUUUAACAUUCAUUGAUUCUUCCACUGUUUGAGUCUUCUUGUUGUAGACUCUGUACGCUUUGCUUGUGGUUGAAUAUCCAAGGAAGAUGCUUUCUUCUGAUUUUUCUUCAAACUUUCCAACUCGAUCAUUUGCAUUUUUCAGUAUAAAACAUUUGCAUCCAAAUACAUGAAAAUAUGAAACAAUAGGCUUCUUUUCUUUGAAUAGUUCAUAGGGAGUUUUUUCUAGAAUAUGCCUUAGAAAGACUCUAUUUAUAAUGUAACAUGCUGUAAAAACUGCUUCAGCCCAGAAAUGUGAAGAGAUGUUACUUUCAAUUAAAAGAGUUCUAGCCAUUUCUUGAAGAGAUCUAUUCUUUCUUUCCACAACUCCAUUUUGCUCUGGAGUAUAUGGAGAGGAGAAUACAUUCUUAAAGCCAGAUUCAUCACAAAAUUUUGUAAAGUCAUGAUUUUCAAACUCACCUCCAUGAUCUGUUCUUAUACUCGAUAUAACAUACCCUUUUUCAUUUUGAACCUUUUUAGCAAACUUUUCAAAGUGAGAGAAGGUUUCAGACUUACUUGCCAAGAAAUAUACCCAACUGAAUUGUGAGUAAUCAUCCACAAUUACCAGGCAGUAUUUCUUACCUCCAAUGCUUUGCGUUCUGGUUGGUCCAAAAAGAUCCAUAUGCAAAAGCUGCAGUACACGGUUAGUGGAAACUUGAUUUAUUGGUUAAAAUGAAUNNNNNNNNNNNNNNNNNNNNNNNNNNNNNNNNNNNNNNNNNNNNNNNNNNNNNNNNNNNNNNNNNNNNNNNNNNNNNNNNNNNNNNNNNNNNNNNNNNNNNNNNNNNNNNNNNNNNNNNNNNNNNNNNNNNNNNNNNNNNNNNNNNNNNNNNNNNNNNNNNNNNNNNNNNNNNNNNNNNNNNNNNNNNNNNNNNNNNNNNNNNNNNNNNNNNNNNNNNNNNNNNNNNNNNNNNNNNNNNNNNNNNNNNNNNNNNNNNNNNNNNNNNNNNNNNNNNNNNNNNNNNNNNNNNNNNNNNNNNNNNNNNNNNNNNNNNNNNNNNNNNNNNNNNNNNNNNNNNNNNNNNNNNNNNNNNNNNNNNNNNNNNNNNNNNNNNNNNNNNNNNNNNNNNNNNNNNNNNNNNNNNNNNNNNNNNNNNNNNNNNNNNNNNNNNNNNNNNNNNNNNNNNNNNNNNNNNNNNNNNNNNNNNNNNNNNNNNNNNNNNNNNNNNNNNNNNNNNNNNNNNNNNNNNNNNNNNNNNNNNNNNNNNNNNNNNNNNNNNNNNNNNNNNNNNNNNNNNNNNNNNNNNNNNNNNNNNNNNNNNNNNNNNNNNNNNNNNNNNNNNNNNNNNNNNNNNNNNNNNNNNNNNNNNNNNNNNNNNNNNNNNNNNNNNNNNNNNNNNNNNNNNNNNNNNNNNNNNNNNNNNNNNNNNNNNNNNNNNNNNNNNNNNNNNNNNNNNNNNNNNNNNNNNNNNNNNNNNNNNNNNNNNNNNNNNNNNNNNNNNNNNNNNNNNNNNNNNNNNNNNNNNNNNNNNNNNNNNNNNNNNNNNNNNNNNNNNNNNNNNNNNNNNNNNNNNNNNNNNNNNNNNNNNNNNNNNNNNNNNNNNNNNNNNNNNNNNNNNNNNNNNNNNNNNNNNNNNNNNNNNNNNNNNNNNNNNNNNNNNNNNNNNNNNNNNNNNNNNNNNNNNNNNNNNNNNNNNNNNNNNNNNNNNNNNNNNNNNUGAUUGCCAACUGCUGGGAAAGGAAAAUACGAUCAAAGUAAAGUAAAGGAUAGGGAAGAGAGAAAUGAACACAAGAUUUAUAGUGGUUCGGCUUAUUCCAAGCCUACGUCCACUCUUCCGCACUAACAGCCCACCGGCUGGAUUUCACUAUGAACAAAGAGAAGUUACAGCUCAGCUUUUCCUUGAUUCCACAGUGUAGAUGUUUUACCACGCUUCCUCAAGGUUUCUCACGAAUAUAGACUCUCUUUUGUUUACACGAUUAUACUCAACAAAUGAAUUGACUAGAAACAAGGAGCUUCAAACUUUGGAAUUCUUCUCUCGUACACCUUCUCGAACAACUAGAACGUCUUCCUUAUAUACUCCUUCAUGCCAUCAUACCCGUUGGCACUUACCAAAGGAAUUCCUCCAAUCUACCCGUUGGACGGAAUCAAUUAGGAAGAUCAUUCGAGCUAUUAAAGGAACAUACAAUCAGGAUCUCGGUUUCCAUAAGUAGAACCUUCCAAGUAAACUUUGCCAAUCAUCGGAUCCUUAAUAUUCGAAUCAAUUGUGAUCAAAUAAAGAAUUCCGUUAUGUCACAUCCAGCCAAGAGAUCUUCUCUAGUCGAUAAGGCCACAUCCUUAAUGAAACAUCCAGUUCUGGAUGGCCUUUCUUCAACGGAUUAGAGACUGUCAAUGAGGAUAGACUUUGAGUCUUGAGUCUAGCUGUCCGGAGGUCUUCAGACUUUAAAUAGUAGAGUCUGCAAUCCUUCAGACUAGACUGAUGGAAACGUUUUGUCAACUUCAAAACACUUCAAGAGGAAUUUCUCCAACAGAGAGCAGGUGGUCUUCGACGCAACCAAUUGAGAAGAAAACAGAAGCAGCUCGUCUAAGGGAAAAUGAAUGAAAUGGCUGGUAGAGAGAGAGGCAGCGACGGACAGAAGGAAAGGCAGCUGGAUUUCUUGCUCAAAGGGUUAGAACAAAGCUUAAAGUCCACAUCUUUAUCCCUCCCAUUAACUUCUUGUCCCCCUCUAAUACUUUCUUGAGUUAGAUUUUCCUUAAUUUAUCCAAAUUAAAGCCAUAAAUCCCAGCCCUUUGCCAAACCGAAUUUCACUCAAAUUGAACUUCAAUUUCCUCUCCAAUUAUCCAACUUGAGAUCCAAUUUCGCUGAAGAAAAUCCCAAACAAUUUUAUGUAAGUCCCUGACACUCAAAGGCUCGGCUUGGAAAUCCAAAUUUCCCUUAAUUUGGCCCAUCCAAAUUUUCGUUAAUUUUUCCGCAAUGUUCGAACGAUUUUCCGCAAAAAUCCUGAAAUCUCCGAAAAAUCUUUGGAGAAUGAGUCAACAUUCCCAAAAUAAAUUGUGACAUGACAAAACCUUCAAUUUCUGAGAUCGGGUUCAAAUUCACGGUUAAUUUCAUUAUGGCGUGCUUUUAGCGUGACCUAGUCUACCAUGUAACUUUUAGGAAUUUUUGGUGCAAUUGACCCGUAAUUGAUUUAUCUUGAAUCACAACGUACAUCUCCGACACAUUGGUAACUCUCGGUUAUUGUGAAAAUCUCAAGGUUUCAAUUACAGACAUAGGGUACCCAAAACGACAGAAAAUCAAUUUAGUCGAAUCGACCUAUCUUUGAUCUCUGAUUGAUUCUGACAGUGUCGUAAUGGCCCUUGCAAAUCAACACGGUCGAGCAGUUGAUUCUUGGUCGAAUUCUCAAGUCUAUUGCAUUUAGAUUCCUUUAAUUGCUUCCCAAAAUAUUCCAGUUAUCUCGUGAAUGAUCAACUCAAAGAAAUACACUAUUGGCAUGUCGACAAAAGGCCCGAUUUAUUUAAUUGAAAACAAAUUCUGAAAAUUCAGGCUAUCACAACUACAGUCGAGCAGUCGAUUCAUGGUUGAAUUCUCAAGUCCAUUGCAUUUAAAUUCCUUAAUUGCUUCCCUAGAUAGACCAGUUAUCUCGUGAGUGAUCAACUCAGAGAAUAGCACUAUCGGCGUGUCGACGAAAUGCCCGAUUUAUUUAAUCGAAAACAAAUUCUGAAAAUUCAGGUUGUCACAAGCAGAAUGACCUGUCUUUCACUUGAAAAAUGGGUAUAGUUCAACUCACCACCUUCUCAGGGGGGAUGGGGUGGGGACGCAUAAGUUUCAAGAGUGGGUUUCGACUCCCACGUCCUGCCAGAGGCAGGGCAAAAGUUUGAGAGUGAGUGUAGAGUAGGAGUAGAGUAGGACUGGCAAAAAAAAAAUUCAUUUCCUGAUCAAACCAAGAGAAAAGGCUCAAGCCUCAACUGAGCACAAGAGAUAUUACUAGGCAAAAGUAGAGCCCAAGUGCCAAUAUUUGGCACGAGGGACAUUUAAAUACUAAAAGUUUUGUAAUGUACACUUAAAUGUCACUUUCUUUGAAAAAUAGGACAUUUAAGCACUAACUCCUGCUAAAGGUGUCAAAAAUCNNNNNNNNNNNNNNNNNNNNNNNNNNNNNNNNNNNNNNNNNNNNNNNNNNNNNNNNNNNNNNNNNNNNNNNNNNNNNNNNNNNNNNNNNNNNNNNNNNNNNNNNNNNNNNNNNNNNNNNNNNNNNNNNNNNNNNNNNNNNNNNNNNNNNNNNNNNNNNNNNNNNNNNNNNNNNNNNNNNNNNNNNNNNNNNNNNNNNNNNNNNNNNNNNNNNNNNNNNNNNNNNNNNNNNNNNNNNNNNNNNNNNNNNNNNNNNNNNNNNNNNNNNNNNNNNNNNNNNNNNNNNNNNNNNNNNNNNNNNNNNNNNNNNNNNNNNNNNNNNNNNNNNNNNNNNNNNNNNNNNNNNNNNNNNNNNNNNNNNNNNNNNNNNNNNNNNNNNNNNNNNNNNNNNNNNNNNNNNNNNNNNNNNNNNNNNNNNNNNNNNNNNNNNNNNNNNNNNNNNNNNNNNNNNNNNNNNNNNNNNNNNNNNNNNNNNNNNNNNNNNNNNNNNNNNNNNNNNNNNNNNNNNNNNNNNNNNNNNNNNNNNNNNNNNNNNNNNNNNNNNNNNNNNNNNNNNNNNNNNNNNNNNNNNNNNNNNNNNNNNNNNNNNNNNNNNNNNNNNNNNNNNNNNNNNNNNNNNNNNNNNNNNNNNNNNNNNNNNNNNNNNNNNNNNNNNNNNNNNNNNNNNNNNNNNNNNNNNNNNNNNNNNNNNNNNNNNNNNNNNNNNNNNNNNNNNNNNNNNNNNNNNNNNNNNNNNNNNNNNNNNNNNNNNNNNNNNNNNNNNNNNNNNNNNNNNNNNNNNNNNNNNNNNNNNNNNNNNNNNNNNNNNNNNNNNNNNNNNNNNNNNNNNNNNNNNNNNNNNNNNNNNNNNNNNNNNNNNNNNNNNNNNNNNNNNNNNNNNNNNNNNNNNNNNNNNNNNNNNNNNNNNNNNNNNNNNNNNNNNNNNNNNNNNNNNNNNNNNNNNNNNNNNNNNNNNNNNNNNNNNNNNNNNNNNNNNNNNNNNNNNNNNNNNNNNNNNNNNNNNNNNNNNNNNNNNNNNNNNNNNNNNNNNNNNNNNNNNNNNNNNNNNNNNNNNNNNNNNNNNNNNNNNNNNNNNNNNNNNNNNNNNNNNNNNNNNNNNNNNNNNNNNNNNNNNNNNNNNNNNNNNNNNNNNNNNNNNNNNNNNNNNNNNNNNNNNNNNNNNNNNNNNNNNNNNNNNNNNNNNNNNNNNNNNNNNNNNNNNNNNNNNNNNNNNNNNNNNNNNNNNNNNNNNNNNNNNNNNNNNNNNNNNNNNNNNNNNNNNNNNNNNNNNNNNNNNNNNNNNNNNNNNNNNNNNNNNNNNNNNNNNNNNNNNNNNNNNNNNNNNNNNNNNNNNNNNNNNNNNNNNNNNNNNNNNNNNNNNNNNNNNNNNNNNNNNNNNNNNNNNNNNNNNNNNNNNNNNNNNNNNNNNNNNNNNNNNNNNNNNNNNNNNNNNNNNNNNNNNNNNNNNNNNNNNNNNNNNNNNNNNNNNNNNNNNNNNNNNNNNNNNNNNNNNNNNNNNNNNNNNNNNNNNNNNNNNNNNNNNNNNNNNNNNNNNNNNNNNNNNNNNNNNNNNNNNNNNNNNNNNNNNNNNNNNNNNNNNNNNNNNNNNNNNNNNNNNNNNNNNNNNNNNNNNNNNNNNNNNNNNNNNNNNNNNNNNNNNNNNNNNNNNNNNNNNNNNNNNNNNNNNNNNNNNNNNNNNNNNNNNNNNNNNNNNNNNNNNNNNNNNNNNNNNNNNNNNNNNNNNNNNNNNNNNNNNNNNNNNNNNNNNNNNNNNNNNNNNNNNNNNNNNNNNNNNNNNNNNNNNNNNNNNNNNNNNNNNNNNNNNNNNNNNNNNNNNNNNNNNNNNNNNNNNNNNNNNNNNNNNNNNNNNNNNNNNNNNNNNNNNNNNNNNNNNNNNNNNNNNNNNNNNNNNNNNNNNNNNNNNNNNNNNNNNNNNNNNNNNNNNNNNNNNNNNNNNNNNNNNNNNNNNNNNNNNNNNNNNNNNNNNNNNNNNNNNNNNNNNNNNNNNNNNNNNNNNNNNNNNNNNNNNNNNNNNNNNNNNNNNNNNNNNNNNNNNNNNNNNNNNNNNNNNNNNNNNNNNNNNNNNNNNNNNNNNNNNNNNNNNNNNNNNNNNNNNNNNNNNNNNNNNNNNNNNNNNNNNNNNNNNNNNNNNNNNNNNNNNNNNNNNNNNNNNNNNNNNNNNNNNNNNNNNNNNNNNNNNNNNNNNNNNNNNNNNNNNNNNNNNNNNNNNNNNNNNNNNNNNNNNNNNNNNNNNNNNNNNNNNNNNNNNNNNNNNNNNNNNNNNNNNNNNNNNNNNNNNNNNNNNNNNNNNNNNNNNNNNNNNNNNNNNNNNNNNNNNNNNNNNNNNNNNNNNNNNNNNNNNNNNNNNNNNNNNNNNNNNNNNNNNNNNNNNNNNNNNNNNNNNNNNNNNNNNNNNNNNNNNNNNNNNNNNNNNNNNNNNNNNNNNNNNNNNNNNNNNNNNNNNNNNNNNNNNNNNNNNNNNNNNNNNNNNNNNNNNNNNNNNNNNNNNNNNNNNNNNNNNNNNNNNNNNNNNNNNNNNNNNNNNNNNNNNNNNNNNNNNNNNNNNNNNNNNNNNNNNNNNNNNNNNNNNNNNNNNNNNNNNNNNNNNNNNNNNNNNNNNNNNNNNNNNNNNNNNNNNNNNNNNNNNNNNNNNNNNNNNNNNNNNNNNNNNNNNNNNNNNNNNNNNNNNNNNNNNNNNNNNNNNNNNNNNNNNNNNNNNNNNNNNNNNNNNNNNNNNNNNNNNNNNNNNNNNNNNNNNNNNNNNNNNNNNNNNNNNNNNNNNNNNNNNNNNCAUAAGCAGAACCUUCCAAUAAUAUUUAGGCAAUCACCGGAUCUUCAAUUAUAGAAUCAUUUUUCGAUCAAUCAAAGGACUAUGUUUAUGUCUUCUCCAGCCAUGAGAUCUUCUCCAGUUGAUAAGGUUAAAUCCUCAACGAAACAUCCAGUUCUGGAUAACCUUUCUUCAAUGGAUUAGUGACUGUCAAUGAGGAUAGACUUUGAGUCUUGAGUCUGGCUGUCUCAAGGUCUUCAGACUUUAAAUAGCAGAGUCUGCAAGCCUUCAGACUAGACUGAUAGAAACGAUUUGUCAACUUCAAAACACUUCAAGAAGAUUUCUCCAACAAUCUCCCCCUUUUUGAUGGUGACAAAACUUUCCUGCAGAUUUGGAUAUCUUUGACCUGCAAAACAUUUCUCAAACACAUAUGCAUAUCUUAUAGACGUAAAUGUCUUAACAGAAUAACACUAGAAUCUGCAACCACAUAAAAUAGGUUAGUACAGUAUAUGAUGAAGCCAUCCAUAAGAUAUCAAUAUUAGUUAAUAGAAGCAGUCAAGUCCAAGUCUAGUUCAGUUCUCAUCCAGACACAAACCAAAGUCAAACAGAUUCAAACCACAAAACAAUCCAACAAACAAUUAAAAGUUGAAUGAAAGGUUUUUGAUCAAAUCUUGCAUCUCUCCCCCUUUUUGUCAUCAUUAAAAAGGAUGAGAUGAAGUUAAGAUUGCUUGGGAACGCGGACAAGCUGGAAAUCUUCCAUAGACUGAACGAUGCCUUCCAGCCUUUUAAAGUCUUCCUUUAGCUGUGCAAUCUCCUCACUUUUGGCAUUGGCCUGAUUCUGAACAGAGAGGGCUUUCAUUUUAUCAUUCAAUGAACAGGAAGAAGCUUGACCUUCAUUCUUCAAGCUUUGAACUUCGCAUCCCAAGGCAUAAAUCUGACCUCGCAUCUCCAAAAGAAUAUCCAUGAGUCUGCGAAAAUCUGCUCCAUUAUCAGUUUGAGUACUUGCUUCGGCUCGAUCUGAUGGAGUAAAUGCAGAUGAUGGUAGAUCAGCAUAAUCUUGCAGGUUUGGCGAUGAAACUUCAUGACCUUCUUCUGGAAAUUGAGAUGCAUAAACAUCCUCUGGGUCUGCUGGUGAGCGACUGACUCCUUCACUUGCAUCAGGACAUGAAGACUUCACUCCUUUCUCCUGAUCUCCCCCUGUUUCCAUGCCUACAGGUGGAGAAGAGUGGUCUUCAGGUUCUCAUUCUUCUCUUCUUUCUUCUUCAGGUCUUUCCUCCUCUGUUUCUUUUUCAGCUUCUAUUUCUUCUUCUUCCUUCUCCUCUGCUUCUUUCGUCAUUUGCUCCGAUUCUUUCUGUGGAACAGGACGACUUAAAUUCUUCAAUGCCAAUGUAGAGAUGGUGAUGUCUUCCUCAUUAUCUUCAUCUUCAACAAGGAGAGCUCUUCUUCUCUUGGAUGGAGCAACCAUGGGCUCCUUCCCUUUUCUUUUAGCUGCAGAAGAUAUUUGAUGAGAUUUUGCAGGAGUCUUCUCCUUGAAUUUCUCCAACUACUUGCUCAGUUCCUUCAGACGCAUUUUGGUCACCAUUUUCAAACCUACCACCAUAUGAUCGCAUGGUCGAACACAAAAGAUUUGUGGAGGCUGAAUAUUCAGAUGUCUGAAUAACUUCGUAACAAGGCUUGGGUAAGGGAGUUGACCUCUGUCCUUCAUCAUUGCUCUAUACAUGUGAAACAUCACAGUGUGAGGGAGAGAAAACCUUUUUCCAAAGAGAAUAGCAUACAUCAGCUUGGCCUCUGAACUUGAAACAUCAGUCUUGGAAGUUGAUUUUGUUAGGGAAAUCCCUUAUGAUGUUUUGAAGAUGACAAAAUAAAUCAAAGGCUACUAACAUAUUUGAUGGUUGAGUAAUAGGCCAUGCAGAUGUUAGAACAUGUAGAGGAUAUUAUCAAAGUCUGAAGAAUGUCAGACUCAAGACUCAAAGUCUAAAGACUGUCAGACUCAAGACUCAAAGUCUGAAGACUGCUAGACUCAAGACUCAAAGUCUGAAGACUGCCAGACUUUAGUAUCAAAGUCUAUUCUACAUCAGAAGUCUGUUCACUCUGACUAAUUCCAGAUUGAACGUGAAUGAUAAACCAGAAGACAGACUCUAUGCUGAAGCUGAACCAGAAGACAGACUCUAUGCUGAAGCUGAACUGGGUACAGACUCAGAUUGUAAAGUCUACAGACUCAUAUUGUAAAGUCUACAGACCCAGAUUGUAAAGUCUCAAGACUCAUAUCGUAAAGUCUAAAGACUCAGACUUUACAUCCAGAUUCGAUGAAUCGUAACUCAAGCCCAAUCAUACAACGGCUAGUGAUCUGGUUUGGAUUCCACAUCAAGAUUGAUUUGAUUGAUUCAAUCUAAUUGAUUGAUGAUUGGAUCUUGAAGACAAGAACUUUCUAAACGAAGAAGCUUUACUUAUGGAAACCAAGAUUUCGUUUGUAUGGGCGAUCGGAAUCAAUUUGGGAUUUUACUUUUGUCACUCAACGGCUACCAAAUCUUCUAGAUACAGAGCUGUCCAAUGGGUAUAUUGGAAGACGAUUCUCCGGGAUACUGUCCAACGGUAGUUUGGAAGUGGAGGAGUAUUUAAGAAGAUGAAGGACCGAUGAGCAAGUAAGAGACGGAGCGUAGAAUUUAUAAUUCCAAAGUCUGAGCGACUUUAGAUCAUAUACUUGUCUCUUGAGAGCUUAAACGUUUGUAAUCGUGAGAGAAAUACCAAGAGAGUGACUUAGUGAGAUAGUGUGAUCUACUAAGUAUUUGCACUCGGAGUUGUAAUCUCUUGUUGAUUGCAUAGUGGAAUCCAGCCAAGAAGGCUGUUAUCGUGGGAGAGUGGACGUAGGCUUGGAUUAAGCCGAACCACUAUAAUUCUUGUGUUCUUAUUCUCUUCCCUAACUCCUUUAUUUUGUUCAUACUAGCUCUCUCAGAUUUCGGUCGGAGGCAAUUAAUCACAAUCUUGUGAAGCAAGAUGUUGAAUGCACCCAUCCUUAAGGAGGUGAUCUUUUCAUCUGUUCUCUUGUCUUUCACCAGUUCAAGAGUGGCCCGAGCAAUGGAAACUUUGAUUGGCUGAUAUCUUCCUCUUUUGACUUCUAACACAUCUGCCAGCAUAUUCAUAUCCACAACAUAAUCUUGGUCUUUAACGCUGAACGAGAAUCUAUUCGCAUCCAAAAAGCUUAGAUUUGAAUAGAAAUAUGCAGUUAAUUCAGCAUAGGCCUCUGUAGAGUCAGAGCAGAACUUUUUAAGUUGAAGAUAACUGAACUUUUCCCUCAAGUUCAUAUUCACAGCAUCCAGAAAAUCAAAAUCUACACUCCUAGGGUUUAUUACCCCACGCUUUAGCAAUUUCGAGUACAGAUCCUUUUGCUCCUUUGAUUUGAACAAAUCUCCCCUUUUUCCUUGAUUAUCAACCGCAACACCCAUUUUCGGUUGGAAUUGACUGUACAAUUUAUCAUCAUCAUUCCCAUCUACAGGAUUCGGCCCCCAAUCACGAGGAUCACUUGGGAUAUUUGCAAGGGUUUCCUCAGCCACCCCUUUUCGAGCAAUUCCCAAACUUUUCAUUUUUUUCAGAAAGAUAUAUCCGUUCCCAUGUCCUUUGUCUUUAAGAAAAUCAUCAAUGUAGUUCAAAGGAGUACGAAUUCCUUUUAGGGCACGAUAUAACUGGUAAAUAUAAGCGGGCUUUUGAACUCUUACAGGGUCUGCAUCCUCGAUGAUUUCUUCCUGUUGUUGAUGAUCAACGCCUUGAGGACUAGAUGGAGGAGAAUGACGCUGUUGAGAAUGUUGUGGGCUCGCUUGCUGUUCUGGAGUCACUUCAUCUUCAGCAAGAUCAAAGUGCGUAGGCCCCUCACUCAUCCGCCGUGGUCCCCUGCUUGCAAUUCUCGAAGACUUUCUUGAAGAUGACAUCUUUCUCAAUUUUUGGAAGAUUCCUUGCUUGACUUUCCCAGGAAAGAUGACAACUUUUUGAGGAUUAAACGAAGAAGACAAACGGGAAUGGAGGAUCGAUGCUUUCUAGGGUUUUUGAGAGAAAAGUGAAGAGGAAUCGACAGUUCAUGAUCGGUUAAAAAGAGGGAUAAACGAACCAUCAUAAAGGAAAUAAAAAUAUGCCUUUUCAAAAUAACUGUCUUUUUCCGCAAAAAUAGCCAUUUCAAAAAUAACUUCCCUUUUGAAAAUGAAACGAUGCAAUAUUUACGUCAAUUAAAUAUAGCAACAAUUUAAACAUAGUCUGACAAUCGUACCUUUUCAAGUUGAGAUUCAAGAGAGAAAGACUCACAGUCUGACGGACGUACCAAGACUGUCUUUCAGAUAAAGUCUUGUAAGUCUGAGUCUGAAAGUCUUUAGACUUUGAUAUCCUCAUACCUCAAAAUGUUGAGUCUGGAGCGUAUAGACUCAAAUUGAUUUUUCUCCAAAGGCUUUGUGAAUAUAUCCGCCAGUUGAUUCUUUGAGUCAACAAAUUGAAUUGAAACAUCUCCAUUUUGAACAUGGUCUCUUAUAAAGUGAUGUCGAAUCUCUAUAUGCUUUGCUCUUGAGUGGAGAAUUGGAUUUUUGGUGAGGUUGAUAGCGCUGGUGUUGUCACAAUUAAUCUUCGUGCAUGAGUCUUCAAUUUCAAAGUCUCUUAGCUGUUGUUUUAUCCAUAGAAUUUGCGAAUAGCAGCUUCCCAGGGCUACAUACUCUGCUUCUGUUGUUGAAAGAGACACAGUGCUUUGUUUCCUUGAAAACCAAGACAUUGUCUUGCUUCCAAGCAACUAGCAAGUUCCCGAAGUGCUCUUUCUAUCAACUCUGCAACCGGCCAGAUCUGCGUCUGAAUAUCCCAGAAGAUUAAAGUCUCCCUUCUUAGGAUACCAAAGACCGAUGCUUGAUGAUGAAGCAACGUAUUUAAUGAUGCGUUUCGCAGCACUGAGAUGGGAUUCUCUAGGAUCUGAUUGAAACCUAGCACAGAUGCAAACACUCAACAAGAUGUCAGGUCUAGAAGCAGUAAGAUAAAGGAGUGAACCAAUGAUGCUCAUGUACAGCUUUUGAUCAACUUUCUUCCCUUCUUCAUCUUUGUCUAUCUUCAAAGAACUUGACAUCGGUAUGUCGGUCUUUUUGCACUUUUCCAGUCCAAAUCUUUUGACAAGAUCAUUAUCAUAUUUUUCUUGAUAAAUAAAGGUUCAUUCCUUCAAUUGUUUUACUUGAAGACCAAGAAAGAAUGUUAACUCUCCCAUCAUACUCAUUUCAAAUUCAUCCUGCAUAGACUUAGAAAAUUUCUUGCACAUAUUUUCAUUAGAAGAUCCGAAAAUAAUGUCGUCCACAUAUAUUUGAACAAGUAAGAAACUUUUGUUCUCCUUUUUGAUAAAUAAAGUAGUAUCCACUUUACCUUUGACAAAACCAUUUUGUAUUAAAAACUUACUUAAUAUGUCGUACCAAGCUCAAGGUGCUUGCUUUAAACCAUACAGAGCCUUCUUCAAUCUGAAGAUUGAGUCUGGCUUCUUUGGGUCUUCAAACCCUGGUGGUUGUUCCACAUAAACUUCCUCUUGGAUGACUCCAUUUGGGAAGGCGCUUUUGACGUCCAUUUGGAAUAACCUGAAAUUCUUAUAACAAGCAAAUGCAAGUAAUAGUCGAAUAGCUUCUAACCUUGCUACUGGAGCGUAAGUCUCAUCAUAGUCUAUUCCUUCUUCUUGCGCAUAUCCCUUGGCCACGAGUCUUGCUUUGUUUCGUACGACUUUUCCUUUCUCAUUCAUCUUGUUUCUGAACACCCAUUUAGCUCCAAUAACAGUUUUACCUUUUGGUUUGGAUGUCAACUUCCAGACAUCAUUAAUGCUAAACUGUCUGAGCUCUUCUUGCAUAGCUUCAAUCCAGCUUUCAUCAGAUAAAGCUUCUUCUAUGCUUUUUGGUUCAAUUUUAGAAACGAGAGCCAGAGCACUAAACUCUUCUCGCCUUUUGGAUCUGGUGCGAAUUCCUUCAUUCAUUUCGCCGAUUAUAAGAUCUUUGGGAUGACUGGACUUAUGCUUCCAAUUACUCGUUGAUCUGUCUGGUUGAUGAUCUCUUUCUUUGUUUGGAUCUUCACGAACAUCUUGAAGCUGGUUUUCCAGAGUCUGAGAUACUUCUUGAGUUGUAAGCUUUGGAAGAUCUGGAGCAGGUUCAGACUCUUCUUGAUGAGUCUGACUUGAUUCAUCUUGCGUUGAGUCUUGAAAUUUGACAUUCAUUGACUCCUCCAUAGACUGGCUCUUCUUGUUAUAGACUCUGAAGGCUUUGCUUGAUGUAGAAUAUCCAAGGAAGAUACCUUCAUCUGAUCUUUCUUCAAACUUACCAACUCGAUCUUUUGCAUUUUUCAAUAUAAAACAUUUGCAACCAAAUACAUAAAAGUAUGAAACAAUAGGCUUCUUAUCUUUGAACAAUUCGUAAGGGGUUUUCUCUAGAAUAGGUCUUAAGAAGACUCUAUUGAUGAUAUAGCAUGCUGUUAAAACAGCUUCAGCCCAAAAUCGUGAAGAAAUCUUGCUUUCAAUUAAAAGAGUUCUAGCCAUUUCCUGAAGAGAUCUGUUCUUUCUUUCCACAACUCCAUUUUGCUGAGGAGUAUAUGGAGAGGAGAACACAUGAUUAAAGCCAGAUUCAUCACAAAAUUUUGUAAAAUCUUGAUUUUCAAAUUCACCUCCAUGAUAUGUUCUUAUACUUGAGAUAACACAUCCUUUUUUCAUUUUGAACCUUUUUAGCAAACUUUUCAAAAUACGAGAAGGUUUCAGACUUACUUGCAAGGAAAUAUACCCAAGUAAAACGGGAGUAAUCGUCCACAAUUACUAGGCAAUAUUUCUUACCUCCAAUACUCUGUGUUCUGGUUGGUCCGAAGAGAUCCAUAUGCAGUAACUGUAGUACAUGACUAGUAGAGACAUGAUUUAUUGACUAAAUGAAUUUCUUACCUGCUUUCCCAGAAUACAUGGAGUGCAUGGAUCAGUCUUUUGAUAAGGUAAUUUGGGUAGUCCUCGAACAAGCUGCUUUGAUGAGAUUUUGGCUAAUUGCUUCAUGUUGACAUGACCAAGCUUUCUGUGCCAUAAGCUUGCUUCGUUUUGAAUUGAGAUAAAACAUUGCGAUUCAUUUGGUUUCACAUCCAGAAGAUAAAUGUUUCCAUGUCUACGACCCAUGAAAGACUGAGUAGAGUCUUUACUGAUUCCAUAACAUAUUCCUUCUUGAAAAAAGAUCUUGAAACCGGUAUCACACAAUUGACUAAUGCUGAGAAGAUUGUAAUUGAGUCCUUCCACUAAGGAAACAUUACUUAUUGUGAGAUUUCCAAUUUUCACAGUUCCAAAUCCCACAAUACUCCCUUUGCUGUUUCCUCCAAAUGAAAAUUUUCCACCAUUUACUUGAGCAAUCUUUAUAAAACAAUUUGAGUCUCCUGUCAUGUGUCUUGAGCAUCCACUGUCAAGAUACCACUUUACCUUUUUCUUGACGGUGACCUGCAUUUAAAAAAAAGUCUCAAGCUUUCUUUGGUACCCAAACUUUCUUGGGUCCUUUGGUGUUAGUAACAUAAGCAGUAUUAGCCCAUAUUCUCUUAACAGGUUUCCAAACCAUAGGACACUCUUUUUCAAAGUGAUCCAGACUGUUGCAUUUUGAACAUUUUAGAGCAUUUCUACCUACAGAUUUUACAAAAACUUUCUUGAAGUGACUUUUGUAAAUCUCUCUCGAGAAUCUUUUCUUAAUUCUUUCUUUUACUUUAGGAAAAUCAAUCAGGGGAAUUGUUUCUUCUAUCAUACCUAGACCGGACUUAUUGAAGUAAGGUCUUUGAGCUGAAAGAAUUUUCUCAAGUUUUUCGGACCCUAUUGAAAAUUUCUUUGAGAUAUUUGAUAAGUCUGUUUUUAAAAAAGCAUUUUCUUUUAAAAGAUUAUCUUCAUUUUCUUUAAGAGUGGAAACAGUCAAGUCUAGACUUUUAACUCUUUCUACUAAAACAUUUUCCUUUUGUUUUAGAGCUGAGUUUUCCUUUUUUCAGUUCGGAAAUUCUUUUGAGAGAAGUCUUAAGACUAAAGCAUAAUUCAUCAAUAUAUUUAGAAACUUUGACAGGAAUUUUAAUAUUACUUGCCUCAAAUUCACUGUCUGAGUCUGAUCCAGAGUCUGAGUCUGAUUGUGCCAUCAGACAUAGAUUGGCAUAUUCAUUAUCACUUUCUUCACAUUCUGUGUCACUCCAGGUUUCGGCUUUGAGAGCUUUUCGAAAUCUUUCAGCUUUUCCUUUCUUCUUCUUCAGAAGAGGAUAGUUGGGUCUGAUGUGUCCAUUUUUCUUACAUUCAAAGUAGACUAUGUCUUUAUUUGGUUCCUCAUCAUCAACAGACUUGGUCUGCUGUCUUUGAAAGCUUUGUUUCUUUGAGUUGAACCUUCUUCCUUUUCUAUUCAGUUUUCUGAAUCUUCUUAUCAUGAGAGCAAGCUCCUCAUCGUCCAAAUCUUCUUCAGAAUAUGUAUCAUCAGAAUCAUCAUUUGAUUUUAAUGCAAUGGAUUUCUUACCUUUUGGAUCUUCAUCUUCAUUGAUCCGUUCCACUUCAUAAGACUAAAGAGUUCCAAUUAGCUCGUCGACAGAUAGUGGCAUAAUUCUUUGAGUCUCUCUUAUCGAAGUCUUUAUGUGAUUCCAAUCCCUGGAGAGUCCACGUAGUAGCUUGUUUACCUUCAUGGGAUUAGAAGUUGGUUGACCUUGAUUUUCAAGACCAUUCACAAUAUCUGUAAAACGACUAAACAUGUCAGAUAUAGAUUCUCCUGGUUUCAUUCUGAAGGCUUCGUAUUGACCGAGAAGAAUGUUGAUUCUAGUUUCCUUCACUCGAUCUGUUCCUUCAUAAGUGAUAUGCAAUCUGUCCCAAACUUCUUUUGCUGUACCACAAGAAGAUAUUCUAUUAUAUUCAGUUGGUGAUAAAGCACAAUAUAAGGAGUAAAUUGCUUUUGCAUCGAGUGCUUGUCUCUUGUUUAUUUCUUCCUGAGACAUUCCGCUGGUUUCAUCAGUUUCUUUUCCUCUUUCAGAGACUGAUGCAGUGGUAGGAGUAAUUCCUUUUUCUACAACGUCCCAUUCCAGAGGAUCCUUUGAUCGAAGGAAAGCUUUCAUCUUGUUCUUCCAGAUGUUGUAAUCCUUUCCAUCAAAGUAGGGUGGCCUGGUAUUGCUUUGCCCUUCCAUCAGCCCUGGUGCUAGCAUACUACCCAUGGAUCUUUUACUACGAAGUAAAACACUUCAAAUAAAGUAAGUACACAGGCUCUGAUACCAAUUGAUAUUGCUAGUAUGAGUACCUAGAGGGGGGUGAAUAGGUAUAUAAAGAAUUUUUCUCAAGCAAUUGCACAAUACUAGACAGUUGAAGGAAACGAUAAUCAAAGUAAGACUGAGAGAAGAGAAAAUUUAACACGCGGUUUAUAGUGGUUCGGCUUAUAUCAAGCCUACGUCCACUCUUCUUCACUGACAGCCUAUUGGCUGGAUUCCACUAUGAACAAGAGAGAGGUUACAGCACAGCUUUGCCUUGAUUCCACAGUGUAGAUGUUCUACCACACCUCCUCAAGAUUUCUCACAAAUAUAGACUCUCUCUUUCGUAUACAAGUAUUUGCUCAAAGUAUUUGUCUAAACGAAAAGGAGCUUCAGACUUUGGAAUUCUUCUAUCGCGCACACCUUGAACAACUAAGACAGUCUUCCUUAUAUACUCUUUUAUGCCAUCAUACCCGUUGGCACUUACCAAAGGAAUUCCUCCAAUCUACCCGUUGGAUGGAAUCAAUUAGGAAGAUUGUUCAAGCUAUUAAAGGAACGUGUUGAUAGCCCAUCAAUCCUGUUCGCCCAUACAAUCAGGAUCUCGGUUUCCAUAAGCAGAACCUUCCAAUAAUAUUUAGGCAAUCACCGGAUCUUCAAUUAUAGAAUCAAUCUUCGAUCAAUCAAAGGACUCUGUUUAUGUCUUCUCCAGCCAUGAGAUCUUCUCCAGUUGAUAAGGUUAAAUCCUCAACGAAACAUCCAGUUCUGGAUAACCUUUCUUCAACGGAUUAGUGACUGUCAAUGAGGAUAGACUUUGAGUCUUGAGUCUGGCUGUCUCAAGGUCUUCAGACUUUAAAUAGCAGAGUCUGCAAGCCUUCAGACUAGACUGAUAGAAACGAUUUGUCAACUUCAAAACACUUCAAGAAGAUUUCUCCAACACAUUAUUGGUGGGAAAAUUGUUCAAAAAAUCUUGAACUUAUUGCACUUUUGCAAUUCAGUCAUAAACCUUUCAAUUUUGUCAAUUUUGUCAUAAUCUUUUUAUCUUUUGCCAAUUCAGUCAUAAAUCUUUUCACUUCUUGUCAUUUGAGUUCAUCCAGCCAAUUUUGGCUAGAAAUUGCUGACUUGGAUAGCUGGCACUGACGUGAUAAUUUUUUAAUAAUAUUUUGAAUGUUAUAUGGUUUUUCUCUUCUUCUUCUUUCUUUUUAUUUUUAAGUAUUUUUUUUUUUUGAGCUAGGGUCAGCUAGGGUUGCCGGCAGACCUUCACUAGCAACAGGACAAAUUGUAAAGAAUGGUGAGCAAGGAUGGAGGGUUAGACAAUAAAUAAGUGGCUAGAGCAAAGAAUUUAUGGCAAGAAAAAUUGUAAAAAAUGGCGGACAUAAUAGAGGGUCUUUCUCUGUUAUAUGGUUGUAAAUUGCUGACUUGGACGGCCGACAUUGACAUGGUAAUUUUUUAUAAUAUUUUAAAUUUUAUAUGGUUUAUCUCUUCUUCUUUUUUUUUUCUUUUUUUUUUUUGAGCUAGGGUUAGCUAGGGUUAGCUAGGGUUGCCGACAGACCUUUGCAAGCUACAAGACAAAUUGUAAAGAAUGGUGUUAAGGAUGGAGGGUUUGACAUGGACGGCCGGCAUUGACGCGGUAAUUUUUUAAUAAUAUUUUAAAUUUUAUGAGGUUUUUCUUUUUCUUUUCUUUUCUUUUUUUACUAUUUUUGCCCAAUGACUUUUUUUUUUUUUUUGGUCCCUUUCAUGGACAAUUCAAGAAAAAUUGUAAAAUAAAACCAACGCACGAAAGGUCAAGAAAUUGUGAUAAAUAACCAGAGAAGGUUCCUCGAUGUUUCCACCACCGUUGCUUUGUCGUUUUUCUCCAUGUUUCAUGCGCCCGAACACUGUUUCGACUGACAUGGACACUUCGUCGAGCACCUGCCCAGCCUCGUCAAGCUUCCCGACAAGUGGUAUCAAACCAAUGGUUUAAACAGAUUGGGCCCAAAAUAUGUGGAUUGUAGUCGGGUGAAUGUUUCAAGGAAAGAAAUCCGGCGCGACUCCCAAUCGAGGUGGCAGAUGGUGUUUUCCUGUUGAGCUUCGCAUUGAGGAGUCAAGGCAGAAGUUGUAUUUCUGGCGAACUUGGUUGGGCCAAGGUGGAGAUAUGAGUGGAGAUGUUAUCAGUGUGAAAGGAUAACUUAUCAUAAAAAAAAAAACAAGUCCGACAUAGAAGGCUCAUACCUAGGGGGGAGAUUUAUCGAGGUGCACUUGUGAGAGUGUAAUGCAAAAGAAGUCCCACAUUGGUGAUAUGAUGCAAAGUGAAGCAGUCAAUAUUAUUCAAGUGGGUCCGAUAAAAUAUAUUGAAGGAUUCAAAUUUAAACUUUCCCUUGGCAAUCUCUAUAAGUAAAAAUAUCGUACUUUCAUUGCACAUUCCAACAACUAGAAAGGUAUAUCUUUCAUAAGCAACAUAUGAACAACAUCAAAUAACAAUUUAUCACAUUAACAAUUUCAUUGUUCACAUCAUUGUUAAAAGCACGUACAUCACAUUCAAUUUUAGCGAAAAAGAAAUAGUGCAUCAUAUUCAAAUUUUCAACUAAUAUAGUCUCCGAUAAAUUUGUAUAAACAUCAUAAGUUCUUUGCUUAUCUCUAGUAUCAUUCCACACUCUUUGCCUUUUCAACAUUGCGGAAGCAUGCAAAAAUGUUCUCACACGUGUUUGUAGGGAUAAAUAUACUAGAAGUGCCAAGAGUUAUGUACAACGCUCACUUUAGUAAAAAAAAAUUUCGCCAGCUCACUUAGAUGCUAAAUCGGAGAAAAAAUGAUCACUUACGUGCUAACGGCGAAAAAUUCCAACCAAAUUGAUUACUUGUCAUUUAUAAUUAAAAUUAUAAUAUAACUUGUCAAUUUUUUAAAAAAAUUCAGUCCACGUGAUAUUUCGACAUGGCAUGCUUGGCACUGAAGUGAUCGCUUUUUAACAACGACUAAUUUCAAGUGAUUAUUUUCAAUAAAAUUUAGGACUCAAAUGAUCACUUCAAAUAAAAUUUGGCACUUAAAUAAUCAUUAUUUAUAACUUUUUGACAACGUCGAUUGUGGAUUAUAUGCUUCCAUAUAUCUGGAUGUUCCAACCCUCAGACUUCCCACCUUUAAAAAGAUCCAGUGCCCCAUUUCUGACAUUAGAAGAAUUUACAAAUCCUCACAAUCGGUUUCGUCACAUCCUUAAGCUCAAAGAAGAACCCGCGCAACAGAAAAACCCUCUCUCCAGAAGCUAGAAGCUACAGCACAGGAAAAUUUUCAAAAUGGGCGCCUGAAAUUGUGGGUCCCACGCGCUCCCACGGCCUUCUUGUUUGUCUUUGGUCCUCUUGUCCGUUGUUCUCUUUUUCGCAGAGCGCAUGAGGGAAAGAGAGGGCGAGAGGGUUUUCGCUAGCUGUUGUUGACCUUGCUCCUCUUGUACGUUGUUCUCUUUUUGGCAGAACGCGUGAGGGAAAGAGAGGGCGAGGAAGAGAGGGUUUUCGCUAACUGUUGUUGUCCUUGGUCCUCCUGUACUUUGUUCUCUUUUUCGCAGAGCGCGUGAGGGAAAGAGAGGAAGAGAGGGUUUUCGCCAGGAGAAUGGUUACCUCUAGGACGAAGCACAGACCACAGCCGGUGUGGCCCUACACCCACACCCACUCGACGCGGACUCUAGGACGAAGCACAGACCACAGCCGGGGCCCUACGCCCUCGUGCUCCACACCCACUCAGACGCGGAAGUGGACGGAAUCGUGCAUGGACCCUCCCAACUUUUAUAUAGUUAACAAUCUCAAGCUUUGACACUCCAACUCCGAGGAAGUCUAGUGAAAGAAAAGGAGAGAUCGUGUAUGGACCAAAAGCUUCAGGCGAUCAACCCGAGCGAUUUCGAGUUCACCCCCAAGCUGGGAACAAUGCCAUCGAUCACAAGCCCCGGAAGGAGGUUGGUGUCCCCACCAUCGCAUCAACAAGCUUCCUCAGCAUUUGAAAGAAGCCACCGAGAGAGGAGGCUCUAUGAAGCGUCGCUUGCCGGGUGCAUCGAGGCGUUAGCUCAGUUGCUGCAAGAAGACGGACUCAUCCUGGCUCGGGCUCCUCUCACUUGCUUCGACGAGACUCCAUUGCAUGUGGCCUGUAUGCAAGGUCAUGUACAUUUUGCCAAGGUUCUUUUGGCUCAUAAAAGGGAUUUGGCUAUGGAGUUGGACUUGCAGGUAUGUUGAAGCGAAAACCUUGAUUGUGCUUGUUUGAUAUCCUUUUGUCAGAUCAAAUUGAACUCGGUCAUCCUCACAAACCAGAUAAUGGGAGGAAUCGCAACUCUUUUGAUUAGGUUUUUGCAAGUUUUAGGCUUUUAGCCAUGAGUAAAGCAAUUUAUAAACUAUAUAUUCAUGGAAUAUCUUGCUUGUCAAAUUAGAUUUUGCACAUGUAAUAGAGCAUUUUCUUUUCCAGUUUUCAUGAUCUUUGAGAAAUCAAACCCAUCAUAUAUCUCAAGGAAAUUAACAAAAUUCAGACAGAAAUCAAGUCAUAGAUUUCUAGGUUAAUUUAGCCUGAAAGAUCUUACAGACACCAGUGAAUUUGAGUAGCUUGGUCUAUUUGAUUUGAAAAUGUGAUAUAUAUAUAUAAAUCAUAUGAACGUGUCCCUCAAUAAGAAUGCUCCAUAGCUAAGCACUUCACUUUUGCAGGGACGUACGCCUCUUCACCGGGCAUCUGCAAACGGAUACGUCGAAAUAGCGAGGGAAUUGUUACAAUCAUACCCCCUUGCAUGCCUUGUCCAUGACGAAGAUGGGUGGACCCCACUUCAUCUAGCCAUGAUGAAGGGCCGAAGCAACAUCGUGAUAGAGCUGGUAAAGGCAAGACCGGAGGUGGCUAAGCACAGGCUGAGCCACGGCCAAACCGCUCUCCAUCUGGGAGUGAGUCAUAAUCGUUUGGAGGCUUUGAAAGUCUUGGUGGAGAUGGUGAGAGAUGGUGAUUUGGUGAAAGCUCAGGAUGAUGAGGGUAAUACCAUUUUGCAUUUGGCUGCAGCAAACAAGCAAAUAGAGGUAAACCUUUUUGCUUCGAAUUGCUUCGAAAUUGUGAUGACGUCAGAUAUCGCAUUCCAAUUGAACAUUUUGUGCAGAUAGAAUCCGGCUCAUUCUCAUUUCUCUAUAGACUCAAGCUUUCUGCAUUCAAACUUCAGUGGAUUUAUUGAUUGAAGUAACUCACAGGAAAUAUCUUUGUUUGUUGUUUCUUUUAUAAUUGAUGAGAAGCUCAUCUUUUUGUGCAGACAGUGAAAUAUCUGCUUCAAAGAAGCAAAGUGGAUGUGAACACAGUGAAUAGAAAUGGCUUCUCUGCUCUGGAUAUAGUGGAAUAUUUUCCAAAGGAUUUCAAAGUCAUUGAAUUGAGGGAACUGUUAGUACAUGCUGGAGCUCUGAGAGCCAUAAGAUUCCCUACAUCGACAACUCACCAAGUAGUUGUUGAUAACACGAAUGAGGAGAAUUCAACUAUUGUAGUUGACCGAGCCUCUGUAGCACAUCCCUCCACCAACACUCCUCCGGUAAAGGCGUUUCUGCCAGAGUCUUUCUCGGGUGAUAUCAAGAAGCAGAAGGAAGACAAACACGAGGAAUGGAUCGAGAAGAAGCGCAAUUCUCUAAUGGUAAUGCUUUAACUAGAUGUCUUGGAGUAGCAUUUGCUGAAAACUUAGAUCAAAUUGGGCAUGUUAUUGCAAUUAACAUCAUAACUCAUAGCUAGUUAAUUUAAACUCUGUGUUUGUUUCAUGAAAAAUGGAUGAUUCAGAAAAUACUUUUCUAAAAAUGACCGUUUGUGUUGCUUAAAAUAAAUAGUUAUGCUUUCUUAAAAAUGUUUUCUACAUAUGUACUAAAUUGCUUAUACUUAAAUAGCUAUGUACAGAAAGAAGAUCAGUAAUUACAAUAAUAGAUGGCUUAUGAUUAUUAAAAAAAAAAAAAACAGAGGGUAUUAUAAAAAUCUAAUAGUGAGAAGGAAGAAUCAAGUUGAUGAAUAUUUAAAAAAGUAAUGGUACUGAAAAAAAAUCUAACUGUGAACCAGUUGAAGGGAUUUUUCUUUAAAUAUCUAUUCUAAUAACUUAAAGUANNNNNNNNNNNNNNNNNNNNNNNNNNNNNNNNNNNNNNNNNNNNNNNNNNNNNNNNNNNNNNNNNNNNNNNNNNNNNNNNNNNNNNNNNNNNNNNNNNNNNNNNNNNNNNNNNNNNNNNNNNNNNNNNNNNNNNNNNNNNNNNNNNNNNNNNNNNNNNNNNNNNNNNNNNNNNNNNNNNNNNNNNNNNNNNNNNNNNNNNNNNNNNNNNNNNNNNNNNNNNNNNNNNNNNNNNNNNNNNAUUUUUAAAUAUUUUUCUCCUUUUCCUUUUCUUUUUCUUCUUCUUCCUCUUGCCGGCAACUGGCCAAAUAAAGGCCGGCAACCUUGCCGGAGCAUUGCUAGGGCCUUGCCGGUCGAGCCUCCCCAGCCAGGCUCGACCUCACCUUGGUUGGGCGAUCUCAGCCUCCCUCAAAUCUGAGCGAGGCCGAGCUCACCCACGGCAGGGCGACGCUAGCCUCGCCAACGGCGGGGAAUAUAAAUGUGUUUUAUUUUCCACACGUUUAGUUAUUAGAUUUUGAUUUUCUUUCUAACAACAAUAGCAACAUUUAUAAAAGGACAUUCAAAUUUCAAAGUAUCUUCAUUUUUUUCUCAUAUAUGUAUGUAUUCAUACACUCAGUUUUUUCAUAAUUUAAUCCAUGCACUCUAUUUCUGUAGAGAGCUUGCCACAAUUUUCUUGUAUUUCAAUAAAUACAGGAAAAGCGUUCAAUUGAAUUUGCGCAUUUGUUGAAAUGACUUACUUUGACUUGAUGAUCUUCAUAUUUGCAAAUAUAGGUGAAACACCAUUUCUUCAUUCGCAAUUUUAAAACUUUCUUUCACGUCACGACAGAUAAUUGCCACCGUGAUCGCAUCCAUGGCUUACCAAGCCGGCCUUAGCCCUCCCGGCGGCCUGUGGGACGACAAUCAGAAAGCAAAUAACGGCACCAUCUUAUACUACGCAGGAACACCGAUAAUGGCUGCAAACCAUCCAGAGGGUAUACUAACGUUCUGGAUAUACAACACCGUCUCUUUUCUUGCAUCCCUUAGCACGAUCUUCUUGCUCAUGAGUGGCUUGCCCUUGGGGUUCUUAUGAGGAUUCUGACGGCCGCAAUGUGGGUGACCAUCACUUUUAUGGCGCUGGCUUACCUCAAUUCCAUGACGGCCAUCUCGUUCGUACUCAGAAAACCUAAACAUGGGAGCCCGAUCACAGAGGAUGGGUCGUACUCCAUGGAUAUGGGGUCGAUUACAGUGGUUGUGUACUCCUUGUUUGUUUGGCUCGGCAUUGUAGCCAUUGUUUUUCUAGUUCACACUGUUCGAUUCCUUGCGUUCGUCUUCCGGAAUGUGAAAGAUCCGCAAAAGCUCAAGAAGUGGAUAUCGGGGCGUGUGAGUUGGUGCAGAUCUAGGGGCAAUAUCAAGAUCUAGUGUAUUCAUCUGGUGGGACAAAGGAUUACUGCAUAGUCUUGAUGCCUAUGUUCUUUCUAACUUAAUCCCUAUGUCAUAAGAUCAUUCUGAGUACCGCUACUUGUGCAAACGAUUUAAUGAGACUACUAAACCAAACGCAGAGUCCAUCUCGCAUUAUUCUCGAGCUCUCCUCAUCAGAGAUGUCUCCCCCGCGUAGCCGAAUGGGAAGGCCUGGCCCCAAAGUAAUCUGAUCUACAGCAACAUUGGGCCAUUCUAUGAUUUGUCUCACACAGCUUCACCACUCUCUUUCCAAUCACACCAAACAACCGAACCCAGCUACCUCAAAAGCAUCCACACUUCUUUUAUGCUUCCUUCAUAUUCUUCUCCAAUGCUGAUAGAUGUCCAAAAGCCAUCUGAUCAAAGCUAGUGAGCCUCUCUGUCUGAUCAAUUUCAACCCCAUGGCACCAAACCAUAAUGCAGUCGCACCAUUUACAUUAACUUCCUACACUAUUUCCUGCCUAAUUUUAAGGAAGUGAUACACAGAAUUUACAGAAAAUACUCCAUCAUUAUUCGCAGGCCAUGCAAGCUGAUCCUCCCUCAAAGGUCGGAAUCGAAGCAGCGCUAGUUUCAUAUGUAAUGUUCACAUACCAGAACGUGUGCUUCUUCCAAAACAACAUUCAAGCUCUGAUAUUAUGACUUCUUGCCAAACGAUCUUUUCUUCUUUGUCGAAUCCGGUAUUUCGGGGAUCAGUAAUUCCCUACACUAAUCAGAAGACAAAGGAUUGGUAGCGUAUCAUCCCACACAAAACACAGAAAAUUACUGCUCAUAUGCAAACUGAUUACAGGGGAUGGAAGAACAGAGAGAUGAAAACAAUUGCAUAGACAGAUCUUUGGUACCUUAGACUGGUGAUAAGCAGUCCAUAACAAUUGGGAAGGUAAGAGAGUUCUCAAAGGCAGGAGCCAGUACUUCCAUCUGUCUUAGACGACUUCAAUGUGUGGUUUCAAUCAGCAAGCCCACAACUAACGCAGCUCAUAAACUUCACUUAACCCAGCUUGUCAAAACAAGCCUCUGUCAAGAAGUUCUGUUUCGCACCCCCAACUUAAUGCAACCUGACAGUUUUGUUUGGGAGAAUAAUAUUGGGGUUGCGUAUGUGUGGGUUAAGAGCCGCCAAUUCCUUCCAUUUAGCACCAGUUCCAUGAACACGAGAUGAGAUGCUCCACAAUGUGUCACCAGGCUGUGCCUUAGUUGUUGCUGGGGCAGUAGAUAUAGAAGAAGCAGUCUUCGACUUCAGAAACGGAUGCUUAUUGCUCUUUCCCAUUCCAUUAGCGAGCAACCAACGGGAACCAGAUGGUUGCUGGUUUGAACUUCCCCGGACCUCUCUCUUCCCAGGAUCAGUCUUGAGACCAGCAGCAUGGACUUCAGUAAUCUUGCACUGGGGAAUUUAUCCCCACAAAUUUGUGUGCACAUGAUAAAAGUUCUUGCUUACAAUCCCAGGACUCGAGGUGAACACACCAAACUCAAGUGGCCUCACAGCACUAGACAUUCUUGAGCAGGUUCCCAGAGGCUCGGGAGUUCUUGAAAUUGAGACAUCCCUUCAAAGCUCAGGAGCUUCACUCUCCAUAGGCAUCCAAUCAGUCCCAUAUCACUAUGAUCCAGUUCUUGACCCACCACCAAGAAUGACCUCCCACACCACUACCUCAAGAUCACCUAAAAUCUCCCCAUCACUCUCCACCAAGAAAGCCCCGCCAAAGAAACGGAGUACUUUAAGGAAACCCCUAUCAAAGAAACUGAGUGCUCUAAGAAGACCCCCGGUGGAAGCCGAUUGGCUGAGCCAGGAGAAAUUCACUAAUGGUGGUUGCUUCGCUGCUAGCGACGGUGGCGUUCCAAGCUGCGACCACGCCGCCGGGAGGCGUCUGGCAGGACAACUACAAGGUCGAUGCCAGCGGCAACCCAGUGAAGGAGCGGCACAUGGCGGGCACCUCUAUCAUGGCCCACAUCCAGCGGAUGGCCUACGGACAGUUCAUGAUCUUCAACCCACUGGCCUUCCUGUCCUCCCUCAGCAUCAUCCUGCUCCUCUUGAGCGGGCUUCCAAUAAAGCAGCGACGCUGGAUGUGGACCCAGAUGGUGAUCACGGGGCAGGUGAUCACCUACUUCAUAGCGCUGCACAACAUAUCGCUGGCUGACACGUGGGGGAUGCUGAAGGACGUGAUGGACGUGUCGGUGGUGUGCUGGCUGUGCCUGAUGGGGGUGGUGCUCAUGGGGAAUGUGGUGAGGCUAUGUGUGUGGGUGCUGAGGAAGUGGGGUUACUUGAAGAAGAAAGAGAAGAAGGAUUCAGACGAAGACGAUGAAGACAAGCAUGAGGAAGUGUGACGGUCUGUGUGACAGUCGAGUAAAUUGAACGGUCUUUGUUCUAUGAUGGCAGCGGCAUGUUCAAUAUGUGUAAAAUUUGUGAUUCUGAUGAGCGGGUUGAUGAUGGGUUUGAGGUGCUCUGUUUUCUUCUGCUUCUGUUAGAUAACAGAGUAUUUGUCCUAAAGAGAGGGUAAGACGGAUUCUGCUAGAGAAAUCUUUGGAUGGUAAACGAUUGAAGAGACUAAUGUGGCGCUUGGAGCAAUCGUGCAUGAUCUCCCUCUGUAAUUUGUACAAAAUCAGGACAAUACGCAGUUAUAGUUGCCGCAAUUUAUUCUCUAUACAAUGUUGAACAUGAUUGUUGGACGAAGAGAGCUUCAGCCAGUUCGACCAGGUCUGCUCAGGAACGGCUCAGUCCUCAACUUGGCCAUCUUCGCUUGGCAUUGAAGUAUUCUGGACUUUGGUCCUCAGUUGAGAUGCAGGGUGGGUAGAAAUAAAUUAGUAGUGCAGGAUGGGAUUUCCUGCAAUCAUUAUAUAAUUGUUUCCUUUGUUUGAAUAGUAUUUGAUGCUGAGAUUAGAAAUGUUUGUCUAGGAUUAGAAAUGUUUGUCUAGGUUUUCUAUUUCCUUCCCUUCCUAGCUGCUGUUAAACAUCUAUCUUUCCAGAAGUUUCUGCUAUGGAGGGAUCAAUUAAGCUGCCAUCUCAAGCCUCUGUUGCACGAGACCGAACCUCAUGCAGGUUAGAGUGUAUCUACCGUCUAUGACUUGAGAAUUCCAUGUCAAUUAAACUGUACAAAUUCAUGCGCAUUUGAUGAUUAGAAGAACGACUCUGUUUAAGCAUGGUACCCUGUAACUUCUCACCACCGGACAUAAUAAUUUUCGCUGAAAUCUCUGCUAGACUCGAUUCAUUAGACUAUUCAAAACAAUAUUUCGAGCGAUCGUACUAGCAUGAAAUGAAAGAGAGAGCCGACUCAAAUGAUUGUUAUAGAGGAUGACACUUGAUGAAAGCAUGAACUUAUUCCACACGGAACAAAACAAUUUGUUCUGUCUUUCGCCAUAAAAACUGCAAUUCUCAUUCAUGUGGAAAAUACAGCGCUAUUACAUCAAGGCUGCAGAUAAAAGGUAACAUUAGAACUGUAACUCUCACUACAAACUCGGUCUCUAGCCUGAGUAGCUGCUAUCCAGUUGUCUGAUGGAUUAAUUGCUCAACUGACCCAAAUCCACUGGACAUCUUUAAAGCUUGAAGCUUUCUGUCCUGCUAUUGUUGUCAGGUUAUAGAAAUCCUAUCGAGUCGCUACCUUUGAUCUUUUAUUAGAUCUUCUACAAGCUCUAAAUAGUUCGUGCCAAUACCCCUCCUCUCUGUAGUUUUCGUUCCUUGCUCAUAUCUCCUCUCUGAGGCAUCCACCCAAAGGUCUUCCGUUUGACGUGAUCGAAACAUCUAAAACGACCUCCUCUCAUAUCAUCCUCGAUUGGGUGGCAGUCCCCACUUUUACCUGCAUUAAUUGAUUUCGAAUCUUGCCUCUUCUCUUGAAACUACGAAGCAUUCUCAAGGUGUCGUCGGUAUGAUCUCCAGGUUUGUCAAAUCAGAUCGAAGUGGAUGGAAGGAUUCAGUCCUCACUACUCCAUGAUGUCCAAUUUUCUCGAGAUUUCGUUGAGUUUCUAUAAUUUCUAGACUUACACCCUAGGGUUAACAAAGUUUUACUUCGAAGUUCAGGUUUCUGGUUAGCUCCAGCAUGGGUUUCACCUACCAACACCAUAUUAUCUACAGAGAAAAUACACCAAUUGACAUCAUCUUGAAUUUGUCUUGUCAGCAUGGACGGAUUCACCAUGGGGCCAAUGGAGGCACUUGCCCCCUUAAAGCUUCCUAUAAAUUGAAAUGGGAACUAUAAUUUUUCGUAAUCAUUUGGUGAACUUGCCCCACGAAAAUACAAGUGUGUACUUAUAAGUCUUGAUUCAACAUGGGAAGAAAGGAGACUGCAAAAUAUGCAAGUCAUUCAUUCGAUUUUGCUCGCAUCUUGCCGGAUCUAUCAAAUCAAUAAGGCAUUUUGGGUAUUCAAGGUUUACUUAACAAAGAUGAGCCUCUUUGUCAUAGGAAAAGCAAGUGUUGGAAGAAUUAAUAAAAAGGCAAAUGUUAAAGAGUAAGGAUAUUUGUUAAAUUUCAUUAUUCGACAUCCUUUUUUUCUCAGAGUUAAUACGAUACUUCUUUAAUUUUGAUCAAGUAAUUCGGAUAAUCUCCAUGUUAUAAGGGUCUUGUUAAUAAAAUACCUCAGAGGCACUAGUUAAAACCACUAACCAUAAAAAAUAAAGCGUAUCAGCAUAUGCCGAAAAUUGAGCAACGCGAAAUUUCGAAAAAGUCACUGACUUAAAAUAUACAAAUUUAUAUUUCCAUUGCAAAAUUAAUGAGGCCCAACAAGUACCCUAACUAAUUGAGAAAAAAAAAAGGUACCCUAACUACNNNNNNNNNNNNNNNNNNNNNNNNNNNNNNNNNNNNNNNNNNNNNNNNNNNNNNNNNNNNNNNNNNNNNNNNNNNNNNNNNNNNNNNNNNNNNNNNNNNNCUUUAUUUGAAUUUCAAUGCUUUAUCUAAAUUAUAAUAUAAAAGUUGGAGGCAUGUGCGUGGAUGAAAUAUUAACACACUCCCACGCGUAAUCAUAACCUUCCCACCUGAGAAAGUAUAUAUAUAGAUCUAACUUAGUAAAAUCAGCAGAUAAAUAAUUCGGUUAUGGGCUUUUGACUAAAUAAACAAAUGGCCCACUAUAAAAAUUGUUCGUAAAAUUCUAAACGCAAGUGAAUGUGUCAAACAAGUAAUAUAAUGAUGAAAAAGAGUAUCGUCCCACGGAGAUCGAUAAUUAAUAAACUAAUUAAAUACUAAAAUAGAUUAAUUCUAAAAUUUAUCUAACAUAUCAAAAUAUAAUUUAUAAUAGAUUAAAAACAAAAUUUGAAGACUAAAUGCAGUAAAUCAAGAUAGAUAUGUUAGAGCAUCCGAUUUCACCAUAACCACUAGAUAUGAAUUUCAAAUUAUUGUGGGUACAAGAUCGAUAUCAAACAUGUGAUAGCGGAAUUUCCUAAUUUAUUUACUAUCCUAUCUCUAGAUAUAGUAAACAUACUCAGUUUAAUAGUCCACUAUAUCUCUAUGUGAAUUAAAAUAAAUAUAAGUGCAUUAAAAACUAUGAAUAUUCCCGGGUUACAAUAGUUUUUUUUUAUCACCUUAUCACCAAAAGCUACACAAAUAACGCGGUAUAUCUCUAUCUAUGUUUAAUUCAUGGUUAUAUAUUAUAAUGAACAAUUACAUAUGAUCACUUUUCAAUCUCAAACAUGCACAUCAGAUCAUUCAAGUGGUGGCCAGUCACUCAAAAGCAUUAAGCACAAUAAUAUAUAACUUAUAUGAAUGAAAUCAAUUGUAAAACAUAAAAAUCAUGAAAUUUACAUCAUCAUAGUUAGGCUACAUUGUAGCCCUAACAAAAGAAAAUUAGAACAUAGUAGAAUAAGAAAUAAAAAUAUAAAGCCCCAUCUAUCCUCUGAGGAGAGGUUUGGUUUCAAAUCCGGUUCGUACAGAAGAAGUACGCCAUGCUAAUAUGCCUUGGAUGAUCCACAUCACCCGCGAGAGCAGGGGUGGACGAAGCAGAAGCAAGAAUGUCGGCUUGAGUAACACAAACAUUGGUGAGAAUCCAAUGCCCCGAAAACCUAAAGGUUCUUUCGCAAGGUUCGUCCAUGGAGGGUGAGUUAGGGCCUAAGAUCAGGCUGAAAGGCGUAGUCGAUGGACAAUAGGUGAAUAUUCAUGUACUACCCCUUGUUGGUUCCUUCUAUUCUCUCUUAGAGACAAAGCUAAGAGUUGGCUUUCUUCUCUUCCUGCAGGAUCAAUUACUACAUGGAAUGAUAUGGCUCAGAAAUUUUUUGGUAAGUUCUUUUCACUUGCAAAGUCUGCGAAGAUGCGUAACGAUAUUACUAAUUUUAUACAGAUGGAUAAUGAAUCAUUAUAUGAAGCAUGGGAAAGAUUCAAAGAAUUUCUUAGGAGAUGCCAAGAUCACAGACUACCCGUAUGGAUGCAGGUACAAACUUUUUAUAAUGGCUCUAGUACAAAUCAUUAACUACUAGUUUAAUUCAAAUUUUGAAAUCAAAAAAAUGUGUACUCGUUCUUUUCUUUUGAGUUUGACCAACUAAUAAAAAACUAAAGUAAUUUCAGUAAUUUGGAAUUUGUUAGGUAAGGAUUGGUUUUUUUUGAACUUUUUGGUGUAUUUUGUUACAUAUAUAAAUAUAGCACGACGAAAAUAGACAGAGAUAUAAAAAAAAGAAAAAAAAUGGAAUUGUUUGACCAAUAGAUGUCUUUCACAUUCAACUAGAGAAAUGAAUAAUUUUUUUUCAAAUUUUUAAUGGCAGUUCCAAAAAAAAGUACUGAUAUAUAACAAAAACGUAUUCGUAAAAACAUUUGGAAAAAGAAGGUAUAUUGGGCAGCGUUAAAAGCGUUUUUCUUAGCGAAGUCCCCGCCAUCGCAUCAACAAGCUUCCGUACCAUUUGAAAGAAGACAUCGAGAGAGGAGGCUCUAUGAAGUGUUGCUCGGCGGUUGUGUCAAGUCGUUAGCUCAGUUGCUGCAAGAAGACCGACUCAUCCUUGCAGAAGCCCUAAAUACUAUUUACACCUUUACAAUAUUAGAACCAAGGAGAAUGCUUUAAAAAAAAAAAAAGGACCGUUAUAGGGGGAGGGGUGAGAAUCGGAUGUGUUCCCAAUAAUACUCAAUUUGGCUUGAUCAGUACCAAAAAAAGAAAAAAAAAAGAAAAGAAAAAAGGAAACGAUCUUUAAUCUCCAGUUUCAAUAAUUUGAUUAAUUUAUGUUUCCUUUUUCCGUUUCAAUUAGUCGGCAGACGAAAAGGGUAUUCAAGAAAAGCUACGAAAAGAAGCAAAGCAGGGGAAAAAAAAAGGAAAGAGGAGGAGUUUGAGAAAAGGACGUAAUUGAGAAAAUCGCGAACAAAUCCUAGGUCACAUGCCGUGCCAUUUUUCACGAACGUGCUUAAGCGAAUCGCGAUCGAGCGCCUGUACGGUGGAAAUAAUUAAUCUUCCAGUGCGGCAACUGUUGUCCCUUUUGUGGAGAAUUCUGUCCACCGAAAAGCACGAAGAUUAGCAAAAACAGAGAAGACCGAAUGUGGGGGCAGGAAACAUCAAAUCUCUCGCCAACCCCGUUUCCACUUUGGGCUUAGAAGGGCGUAAUUGCAAUUUUAUUCGGAUUUUAUGCGGUGCUAAGUUUGCAACAAUUUAGGGUGAUAUAUCGUGCAUGGUAUUAUAGCACUCAAUCGCAAUUUUGUUUUAUCUUAUCUAUCGAUUCGAAUCGUAGAAAAAUAUAUAAUCUUGUCGUGCUAUUAUACUAUGUCUUAUAUGAUUAAAAACAGAAUGAAAUACACUUGAAUCCUUGCUUUUGAUCCUUUUCGGUUAGAGAGAGAGAGAGCUUGGUGCCAUAUGUUGGGAUAUUAUACGUGAAAAUGACAGGAUUUUGCAAUUUACGUCAACGCAAAAUCGCCAGAGAAAUAAAUGAGAAAAAUAAGGACACAAGAAAUUUAUGUGGUUCGGUUCGAGUAUCGGUACCUAUGUCCAUGGGGAGAGCCAGCAACAAAUAAUCCAUUAUAAUCGAAGUAUUAGAGUUUGUUUACAAUUGCUCAAAACGCUCAAGUAUUUCCCACACCUAAAUUUAACCCAAACCCAAAGUAUUUAUAAAUAAAUAACUCAUUUGGAUAUAAACUUAUGAUACACAAUUGUAAAAGCUAGUACGAGCACCUAGAGUGGGUGAAUAUGUGUAAAAAUAAUUUUCCAAGAUAAGUGUGCAACACUAAUCAACAAUAGAUGAUGAAAAGGAAGUUAGACUCUUGCAGACUAAAGGAAUUAUGAUCAAAGUAAAAGAGUGUAGAGAAGAGAAUAAGAACACAGAGUUUAUAGUGGUUCGGCUUGAUCCAAGCCUACGUCUACUCUUCUGCACUAACAGCCCACUAGCUGGAUUUCAUUAUGAAUCAAAAGAGUUGUUACAGUAAAGCUCUUCCUUGAUUCCACAGUAUAGAGACUCUGCUACACUUUCUCAAGGUCUCACAAAGAUACAGACUCUCUUUUGAGUACAAGAUUUCACUCAAUAAUUAAUUGACUAAGAAUAAAUAGCUUUAGACUUUGGAAUUCUUCUAUCGCACACACACUCAAACAACUGGAACGUCUUCGUUAUAUACUCCUUCAUGCCAUCACACCUGUUGGCACUUACCAAAGGAAUUCUUCCAAUCUACCCGUUGGACAGAAUUAAUUAGGAAGAUUUCGAGCUAUUUAAGGAAUAUGACGAUAGCUUACUAAUCCUACUCGCCCAUACAAUCAGGAUCUAGGUUUCCAUAAGUAGAACAUUACAAGUAUACUUCGCCAAUCAACGAAUCCAAAAUCCCUGAAUCAAUCUCAAUUUGAAUAACAUGUUGUAUCCAGCUAAGAGAUCUUCUCUAGUUGAUAGAAUCAAAUCCUUAACAAAACAUUCAGUUCUGGAUAAGUCUUUUUCGACGGUCUAGAAACUGUCAAUAAGGAUAGACUUUGGGUCUUGAGUCUGGUAGUCCGGAGAUCUUUAGACUUUGAUGAAAGAGUCUGCAAGUCUUCAGACUAGACUGAUGAAAACGUUUUGUCAACUUCAAAACACGCAAGGAAGUUUUCUCCAACAACACAAUUACUACGCGUUCAAGCUCAAAAUACAACGCUCUAUGUACGCUUGGUUCGCGUACGUACGAAAUCGCGUAUCUCUUCAAGCUUCUCGCAAAGGACUUGUGGCUUCAUUGAUCGUCAUUCUGCACCUUCGUAGGGUUUCAUUUUAAACCGCUUCGCUGGGAAGAAAACAUGUGCCCAAAGGUCAAACAAUUGACUUGGGCCCACCAUCACUUUCAAUUUCACGUGUAGCUUCUUUCCUCUUCUCUCAUUGGCUAAAAGGAACAAAACUUGUGUGUGCUUGGCCUCACGAGGAUAACAACUUUCAACAAGAAUUCCGAAGAAGAAAUUCAUGUACUUCAUGUAGGUAACGGAGGCUUUACCUUUUAUUUAUUUAUUUAUUCUAUUAUUUCCUUUUUUGUAAUCUUUUAUGCAAUCCCAUGAUCAAAUAAUAAAAAUUUUAUCUAAGUGAAUUGCAUUUUGCAAACAUUCAAACUUGAGACAUAAUUUAACAAUUCUCCACAUUGACUCGAUGUUUGAAGCGAAGUUAUAGUGUUCAUCAUCCAUGCUGCUCUCCCAACGCCUCGACGGGCGCUCACUCUCCACAUACGCCAAUAGAGCUCAAGUAGAGCUUGAGCUUCGUCAAAGGAAUAGACUUAGUCAUCAUAUCUGCCGGAUUAUCUGCUGUAGCAAUAUUUUUGACAAUAACAUUACUCUUAACUAAGACAUCUCGGAUGAAGUGGUACAUGAUGUUGAUAUGCUUCAUUCGCUCGUGAUAAACUUGAUUAUACGUUAAAUAUAUCGCACCUUAGUUAUCACAGUAUAUAUCCACACUUUUUUGUUCUAACCCAAAGUCCAAGAGCAAAUUUUGUAACCAUAUCGCCUCUUUCGCUACAAAGGUUAGUGCCAUAUACUUUGCCUCAGUUGAAGACAAGGCAAUGUGAUUCUGUAAGGACGCUUUUCAACUAACUGCACCAUCCACUAGCGUAAACACGUACCCUGCUAAAGACCUACAAUCAUCCAAGUCACCGCCGUAAUCUGAAUCCACAAAACCAGUGGUCUCACUACUAUUGUUGUCCCUUCGGUACACUAUACUCACGUCUGUUAACCUCUUCAAAUAUCUGAGAUCCACUUCAUUGCUUCCUAAUGAGCUUUACUAGGACGCUUCAGGUAACGACUAACCACGCUCACAUCUUGUGAAAUAUUAAGUCUAGUGCACACCAUAGCAUACAUAAUACUACCUAUGGCACUAGAAUAACAAACACGGGACAUAUGCUCCUCCUCCUCCUCAGUUUGCGGUGAUAAUUUAUCUUAAAGUUUAAAAUGCUUCGCUAAAUGUGUACUUACAGAUUUUGCUGACUACAUAUUAAAAUGUAUCACAAUCUUCUCAAUAUAUUUCUUUUGAGAUAGAUGUAAAAAUUCUACAGCCCCGUCAUGCAAAAUCUUCAUACCCAAUAUUUUCUUUGCAAUAUCUAAAUCUUUCAUCUCAAAUUCAGUAUUUAACCGUCUCUUUAGCACAUCAAUAUCAGCCAUAUUCUUAGCUGCUAUCAGCAUAUCAUCAACAUAUAAAAGUAGAUAAAUCAAAGAACUAUUCUCCAAUCUCUUAAAGUAAAUGCAGCUAUCCAUAUGAUUUUUUGAAUAAUUUUAACUAGCCAUGAAAGCAUCAAAACAUUUAUACCACUAUCUAGGAGACUGUUUCAGCCCAUACAAAGAUUUCUUUAACAAGCAAACAUGAUCUUUCUUACCCGGAAUAACAAAUCCCUCUGGUCGUCUCAUGUAAAUUUGCUCCUCCAACUCACCGUGAAGAAACGCACAUCUAGUUGUUCUAACUCGAGAUCCUGCGAAGCAACUAAGGCAAGUAAAACAUGAAUAGAAAUAUGUCUUACCACAGGAGAGAACACCUCAUUGUAGUCAAGGCCCUCACGCUGUGUAUAUCUCUUUGCCACAAGUCUCACCUUACACCUCGCUGACUUGACACCAGGAAUGCCCUUUUUUUCGUUUAAAUACUCAUUUACUUUUGACAAUCUUUUGGUUAUUGGGUACUUUGAUCAGCUCCCAUGUUUGAUUUCGAUAGAGUGAUUCCAUCAUUUCACUCAUAGCCCCUAGCCACUGCGACGACUCCGAACUAGCCAUCGUCUCAGAGUAAGACGAUAGCUCAUCUGUCUCCACCUCAUCACCUAUAGUCAAUGCAUAAGCAAUAUAUGUAUAACUAUAACGUACCUGUGAUUUAAUUUGUCUUCUCUGUCUAUCUGCGGCUAUAGUGUGUUGCGACUUUGCUAGUUGUUCACUAUCACCAUCUUUAGGAACUGCGGCCUCAUCUGUAGUCUCAACUUCAAUUACCUUCGAGGUCUCUGGAGUCUCCACCUGAAGCUCCACCUCACUAAUAAUACCAUGAUCUGUCUUCUCUGCUGGUUGUGUCACAGAACUCCUCUGUUGAAGCAUUACAGUCUUGUCAAAGAUCACAUCUCUGCUAAUUAGAAAACCGGGUGAUCUGGGAUCGGUGCACCAUAGCUGGUAGCCUUUCACCCCAUGUGCAUAAAUCAUAAAUAUGCAUUUCUUCGCCCUCGGUUCAAGCUUACCAUCACUCGCAUGAGCAUACGCAGGACAUCCGAAUAUAUGUAAUCUAGAGUAUCAAUAGGUUUCCCCAACCAUAUUUCCUUAGGAGUCUUCCACUCGAUAGUAGAUGAUGGAGAUCGAUUAACCAGGUAACAUACCAUGUUUACUGCUUUAGCCUAAAAUUCCUUGCCAAGUCCUACAUGCGAAAGCAUACAUCGAGCUCACUCAAGCAAAGUUUUGUUCUUCCGUUCUGCUACGCCAUUCUGCUGUGGUGUCCUAGGUAUUGUGCGGUGUCUCACAAUACCUUCUUUCUUGCAGAACUCGGUAAAAUCUUUACCACAGAACUCCAUGCCAUUAUCAGUUCUCAGGCACUUGAUUUGUUAAUCUGACUACUUCUCAAUCAAUACCUUAAAUUUCUUGAACUGUCUAAACACAUCAUAUUUGUGUUUCAGAAAGUAAACCCAUACCUUCAUCGAAUAAUCGUCGAUAAAUGUCAGUAUAUAUCGGGCACCUCCUUUCGAAGGAAUCGAAGACGGGCCAAGAUGUCUGAAUGAAUAUAUUCAACUGGUCGUUUGGUUGAAUGAAUAGCUGUUGUAAACUUAACUCGGUGCUGCUUCCCAUUGAUGCAGUGCUCACAUAAGUCAGCUUUCCUGUUUUCUGACCCUUCAACAACCUCAUUUCACUUAGCAUCGUCAUACCUGCCUCACUCAUGUACCCUAAAUGCAUAUGCUAUAACUGAGUUAAGUUAGAGUUUGACUCACUUGAUGAAAUUGCAGCGGUUUCGGUCACGGUCUCUCUCAGUAUAUGAUAGAGAGUGUUCACUUUCUUCCCCUUCAUCACUGUCAUGGCACCUCGAAAGAUCUUCAGUACUCCACCUUUAGCGGUGUACCUACACCCGAUGUCAUCGAGUGUCCCUAGAGAAAUAAGGUUCUUCUUAAGCUCCGGUACAUGCCUCACAUUUGUUAAUGUGCACACCACCCCAUUGUGCAUCCGAAUCCGAAUUGUCCCUAUCCCCACAGCCUUACAGACUGCAUUAUUCCUGAAAAGAACUCUACCACCAUUUGCAACCUGAUAAGUAGUAAAUCAGUUCUUAUGAGGUGUCAUGUGAUAAGAAUGUCCCGAAUCUAGCACCUAGUAGCAAUCACACAUAAAACAGCUUAUGCAUCACUAGUGCUCCCCUUAGCAACAUUUGUUGGCAUUCUGCCUAUCAGCUUUAUUCCUCAGCUUUGGACAAUCUCUCCCGAUGUGCCCCCCUCGUGACACUCAAAAUAUUCACGCGUCCCUUGGACUUUCUAUGGCGUGAUUUUGAUAUGCUGUUACCUCUGCUGCUACUAGGCCCUUGAUGUUGUUCUCUACCCGAAUCGUCAGUGCUUGCGCUACUCCUUGCGCCUGACUGUCAUCACGCAACUUUCUUUGCCACUCUUUAGAGAAUAAGGCGGACUUUACUUCUUUUGAGGUAAUUGUAGUACGCCCCUACAACAAUGAAUUAGUAAAGUGCUCCCAUGACUCUAGUAAAGAUGCUAACAACAUCUUGCCCUGUUCUUCAUCAUCCAGUAUCUUAUCGACGUUCUUCAAAUCCAACAUGAGUUUAUUAAAUUCAUCUAGGUGGGUUUUGAUAGACGUACUUUCAGUAUAUCUAAAUUGAAACAUUUUCUUCAACAUGUACAAGCGAUUAUUCAAACCUUUCUUCACAUAAAGUACUUGAAGUUUUGCCCAUAAUGUUGCGGCAUCCUUCCCCUCAACAACCUUUAUUAAGACAUCAUCCAUCAAAUUUAACAAGAUUAUGCUUUUUGUUUUUUUCAUUAGCUCCGCCCUCUAAGAGGCUUUCAUAAUAAUAGGCAACUCAUCUUCACCAUCCAAUGCCUUGACCAAACCUUGUGUUGUCAAUAAUGUCCGCAUCUUGAUGCUCCAUAACACAAAGUUGUUGCUCCCAUUAAACUUCUCAAUUUCAGAUUUCCUUUAAGAUAUAAUUGCAAUAACAGAAUUUCCAGAUAAUAAUCAGACAAGCAAAAGCUCCAAAUCACAAUCAAGAAAUCCAACUCCAAGCUCUAAUACUAAUUGUUGGGAUAUUAUACGCGAAAACGACAGGAUUUUGCAAUUUACGUCAACGCGAAAUCGCCAGAGAAAUAAACUAGAAAAAUAAGGACACCAAAAAUUUACAUGGUUCGGUCCGAGUAUCGGUAUUUACAUCUACGAGAGAGCCAACAGCAAAUAAUCUAUUAUAAUCGGAGUAUCCAAGUUUACAAUCGCUCAAAACACUCAAGUAUUUCUCACAUAUAGAUUUAACCCAAAACCCAAAGUGUUUAUAAAUAAACAACUCACUUGGAUAUAAACUCACGGUACACAAUUACCACUCGUUCAAGCUCAAAAUACAACGCUCUACGUACGCCUGAUUUGCUUACGUACGAAAUCACGUAUCUCUUCAAGCUUUUCGCGGAGGACUUGCGGCUUUGUUGGUCGUUGUUGUGCGGCUUCGUAGGGUUUCCUUUUAAACUACUUCGCUGGGAAGAAAACGUGUGCCCAAAGGUCAAACAAUUGACUUGGGCCCACCAUCACUUUCAAUUUCACGUGCAGCUUCUUUCCUCUUCUCUCAUCGGCUAAAAGGAACGAAACUUGUGUGUGUUGGGCCCCAUGAGGAUAACAACUUUUAGUAAGAAUUCUGAAGAAGAAAUUCGUAUACUUCAUGCAGGUAACAGAGGCUUUACCUUCUUCUUUUUUUAUAUUCUAUUAUUUCCUCUUUUGUAAUCCUUCAUGCAAUCCCAUGAUCAAAUAAUAAAAAUUUUAUCCAAGUGAAUCGCGUUUUGCAAACGCUCAAACUGGAGACAUAAUUUAACACCAUCUCAAAGCCAUGCAUCAGACAAGCAAAAGCUCCAAAUUACAAUCAAGAAAUCCAACUCCAAGCUCUAAUACUAAUUGUUGGGAUAUUAUACGCGGAAACAACAGGAUCUUGCAAUUUACGUGAACGUGAAAUCGCCAGAGAAAUAAACUAGAAAAACAAGGACACCAAAAAUUUAUGUGGUUCGGUCCGAAUAUCGGUACCUACGUCCACGGAGAGAGCCAGCAGCAAAUAAUUCACUAUAAUCGGAGUAUCAGAGUUUACAAUCGCUCAAAAUACUCAAGUAUUUCCCCACCUAGAUUUAACCCAAAACCCAAAGUGUUUAUAAAUAAACAACUCACUUGGAUAUAAACUCACGGUACACAAUUACUGUGUGUUCAAGCUCAAAAUACAACACUCUACAUAUGCCUGGUUCGCUCAUGUACGAAAUCGCGUAUCUCUUCAAGCUUCUCACGGAGGACUUGCGGCUUCAUUGAUCGUCGUUGUGCGGCUUCAUAGGGUUUCCUUUUAAACUGCUUCGCUGGGAAGAAAACGUGUGCCCAAAGGUCAAACAAUUGACCUGGGCCCACCAUCACUUUCAAUUUCACGUGCAGCUUCUUUCCUCUUCUCUCAUCGGAUAAAAGGAACGAAUGUCACGCCCCAAAUCUCGAGCGUGCGCACAUCCCUCGGUGGUCAAUAGAAUUUUGCGACGUUCCCAGGAUUCGUCGCCGACCCCUUUCAUUUUAUUGCACAUGCGGAAGCGAAUUAACUAAUCACUUGACAACAACAAAUAUGAGAUAGAAAAGUAGGACAACCGGUUUCAAAUCAAAUACAUUUUCAUAAACACCUCAAGCUUAUACAGAAGGUGUAUCUCAUAAGGUACUACUGAGCCACCUAUGCUAUUGACCCUUCUGCUUCAAGCUUCGGGUUCUUCACACUGGACACCUGAAAAUGGUUAUUCAAUAACGAGUGAGAUGUAAAUCUCAGCGAGUUCUUCCCCUAAUUCCUCGAUUAGUAUACCAACUCAACUCGGGAUAUCUCUUCAGAACCAUCCUACAACAAACAUGAGAUUAACAAUCAACAAUCAAUAGUUGAUUCGCAUACAUCCUUACCUGAUAUGCCAUACCCUGCACGUCAUAACUUAGCACGAUACACGCAAUACACAUGGCCAUUAGAUGAUGCAGUUCAUUAAUCAUAUACGAAUCGCGUUACAAGCGAUCUCACCUGGCCAUUGCCACAAGAACGCGUUGUCUGGGGUAGAGGCGCGGACGCACCGCCAUCCCUCAUCCUAGCUCAGUAUUGUCCUCUUUGGGCUCCGCACUGGAGUGGACGAACCGCUAUCCCAGUCGAGCCACCCCUCAAGGCUUAGUUCUCAGUAUAGCGGAAGCAUAUGUGAAACGCGUUAUCGAUUCAUGUAUACGUGGCAUAAACAGUGUGCUCAAUUCAUGCAUGACUAGGACUAAAGAUGCCACGAUUCUCAUGCGUUCUUAUACAUUAUUGUGCCACACAGCACACAUCGAUCAAUCACAUGGAUCCCAGUCAAUGCAACAUAUAACAGUCUUAUGGCAAACCGAGCAUCGUCUCGCACCAUCGAGCACGACAACGUCUAUAAUUAGAAGGCAUUCCAUAUAGGAGCAUCGGCCCAGCCUCCACUGCGAUCGGCAUCCAUUGACGUGGGGCAUUCCCAAAGGAGCAUCGACCCAGCAUCCACUGCGACUGGCAUCCGUUGACUUAGGGCAUUCCCGAAGGAGCAUCGUUCGACCCCAAAGGCUCAUGAAGGCAUCUCAUAUCAUUCAUGCAUUCAUUCAAUUUUGGCACAGUAUAUCAUGCAUUGCACUUAAAUACCUCAAUUAAAAUAGUGAUCCCGGCCUAUUUUCUUCAUAUUAAAAAUGCAUGGUAAAAUAAUCGUGUGUGGGGACACAGUCAGAUCGAACCAGAAAAUUUGUGUCAUCUCUUUAAAAUCCCAGUUUGGUAUAGUAUUUAAAAAUACUUUCAGCGUCCAAAACCUGACACUCAGAAUUUUCUAAUUAAAUACCAACAGUUUCCAAUCACUAUACAAUUGCACAAAACAUCACCUAAUUCAUGCAGAUGCCUAUGCCUUUACACAUCCAUUCACUUCAUAAAAUCAAUAUACAUGAAAUUAGACCACUUUUCAUUCCCGGGUGAACAGUGCUCGUGAACAGUAACUUGCGAACAGUAUCGCGUGAACAGUAACUCGUGAAUAGUACGUCAUGAACAGUGAAAUUCUAGAAUUCAAUAACUAAUAAAUUAAAUCCACAAGUCAUUAAAAACACUAAUUAAAGAAAGCAAAGUAUCAAGAACCAUCAUUAAACUAAAAUCGGUCUUAAUUGGUAGAAACCAGGCCUUCGCGCGUCUCCAAAUUUAAAUCUAGAAACCUAACCAAUUGAGCUCGGAAAAUUUUCAAAUUUGAAUAUGUUAUAAAUGACACAUAAAAGAACAUUUUUCAUGAGACACCUAAACCUAGAUCCUUCCAGAUUCAGCGCAGUAAAUCACUCAAUCCAGCGCCAAAAUUAGGUCCGUUCUCAGAAAGUCAGUUUUUCCGAAAUCAGUUUGGUUCGAGGUCUUAAACACAUCCGUUUGAUCUGAAAUUUGAGUAUGUUAGACUAGAAGAUGUAAAAAACAACUUUUGUGAAGGAAACAUUUUGAAAUUCGAACCCUAAGGGUCAGUAAAUACCCCUAGAAUCCUUACAGGUCACUAAUUCCAGCGAAAACUGAAGUUCUGUUCGAAGAUGACGAUGCUGAUAUCUCCUACUUCUGGGUUCCCAAAAAUAUUGAGAAAAAUAUAUGUUGUAUCUAAGGAUGUCUAAAAAAUUUCUAGAAUGCAUCAACUUCAAAUUUGCGCCCGAUUUUGAUUUACAAAAAUUACAAACGGCAAGCGUCCAAGAAUCAAUUCUGCAAAACAGUCACUGUUUUGGACCAACCCAUCCUCUAUAGUGCUAAUCUCACUCAUUGUACUAAUAAUAAUCCACUCUAGACUAUCCUUAGUCCCUACUUGAGUUAAUCUAAACUAUUAUUAAGCCUAACCAACCUCUUAAGCAAGUUUAGGCACUAAUAAAAGGAUUAGGAACUAAAAUCACCCGACGACAAUUCCGACGACAUGAGCGUGAUGGCGGUGGCGAUGGCUACUCACAGUUAUGUCCAAAAUGUCACGGAGGUGCUCGGCAAACAUGGGUCUCGAUGGAGGUGGUUUCCGAUUUGGCAAGAACGGCGGGCGGACGGCUCGUGGAUGGGUGGUGUGGCUCUUCGGCGAUGGACGGCGGUUUGUGGACAGUGAUGGCCCACGGCCAUGGCGCAAGAUGGUGGCUGGUUUGGGACAGGACAGUAGCACAUGGUGCUGUUUUGAGAGCAAAACAGAAAAGAAACUAAAGAGAAAAGAGAAGAAGAAGAGGGACGUGGGAGUGGGGGUUGUCAAGAGGAGGAAUGGGGAAAGAGGAGAGAGAAACAAUAAAGAAAUGGGAGGAAGUUGAGGGGAAAUUGCUACAGAGGGUUGGCCUGAGUGAGGGGGUGGAAAAGUGGGAAAGNNNNNNNNNNNNNNNNNNNNNNNNNNNNNNNNNNNNNNNNNNNNNNNNNNNNNNNNNNNNNNNNNNNNNNNNNNNNNNNNNNNNNNNNNNNNNNNNNNNNAAAGAACUAAAGAGAAAGAGAAGAAGAAGAGGGACGUGGGAGUGGGGGUUGUCAAGAGGAGGAAUGGGGAAAGAGGAGAGAGAAACAAUAAAGAAAUGGGAGGAAGUUGAGGGGAAAUUGCUACAGAGGGGUUGGCCUGAGUGAGGGGGUGGAAAAGUGGGAAAGAGAGGGAUAAAAAGAAGAAAGAGAGAAGAAAGGAGAGGGGGAGGAAAUUGCGUGCGAAGGAGGGGGAAAGAAAACGUGAGAGAGAGGGAGAGAGAGAAGAAAGAGAAAAGAACAUGGAGGAAGAGGACUUUUGGCCGAAGGAGGAGGAAGCGUGAAGGAGAAGAGAAAGAGGAGAGAGAGAGAAGAAAAAUAAUAAUAGUAUUGUUAUCAUUUUUCUUUUUCUUCCAAUUUCCGAUUUUUCAUCCGAUAAUUUAUUUUUCCGAAAUUUCGGUAUGUUACAACGAAACUUGUGUGUGCUGGGCCCCACGAGGAUAACAACUUUCAGCAAGAAUUCCGAAGAAGAAAUUCGUAUACUUCAUGCAGGUAACAGAGGCUUUACCGUUUUUUUUUUUAAUUUUGUUAUUUCCUCUUUUGUAAUCCUUCAUGCAAUCCCAUGAUCAAAUAAUAAAAAAUUUAUCCAAGUGAAUUGUGUUUUGCAAACACUCAAACUCGAGACAUAAUAUAACACCAUCUCAAAGCCAUGCAUCAGACAAGCAAAAACUCCAAAUCAUAAUCAAGAAAUCAAACUCCAAGCUUUGAUACCAAUUGUUGGGAUAUUAUACGCGGAAACGAUAGGAUCUUGCAAUUUAUAUUAACGCGAAAUCGCUAGAAAAAUAAACGAGAAAAAUAAGGAUACCAGUCAGUUCGAGUAUUGGUACCUACGUCCACGGAGAGAGCCAACAGCAAAUAAUCCACUAUAAUCGGAGUAUCGGAGUUUACGAUCGCUUAAAAUACUCAAGUGUUUCCCACACCUAUAUUUAACUCAAAACCCAAGUAUUUAUAAAUAAACAACUCACUUGGAUAUAAACUCAUGGUACACAAUUACCGCGCGUUCAAGCUCAAAAUACAAUGCUCUACAUACGCUUGGUUCGCUUACGUAUGAAAUUGCAUAUCUCUUCAAGCUUCUCGCGGAGGACUUGUGGCUUCGUUGAUUGUUGUUGUGUGGCUUCGGAGGGUUUCCUGUUAAAUCGCUUCGCUGGGAAGAAAACGUGUGCCCAAAGGUCAAACAAUUGACCUAGGCCCACCAUCACAUUCAAUUUCACGUGCAGCUUCUUUCCUCUUCUCUCAUUGGCUAAAAAGAACGAAACUUGUGUGUGCUGGGCCCCACAAAGAUAACAACUUUCAGCAAGAAUUCCAAAGAAGAAAUUCGCAUACUUCAUGCAGGUAACAUAGGCUUUACCUUUUAUUUAUUUAUUUAUUCUAUUAUUUCCUAUUUUGUAAUCCUUCAUGCAACCCCAUGAUCAAAUAAUAAAAAAUUUAUCCAAGUGAAUCGCGUUUUGCAAAUGCUCAAACUCGAAACAUAAUUAAAAUCAUUCAAUCGCAGUCCUGCCAUAUCCAACGCAUAUUUGAUUUGAUAGUAGGAGGAUGUCUAACAAAUUCCUAGAGCAAUUAAUUAAAAUCAAGAGCAAAAUCACAUUUAUCAUGGGGAGCACGAAUUCACGGGUCAAUUCUUCUAGAGCAAAAUAGCCGGUAAACCUACCUAAUUGUAAUUUAUAGGUGUUUGGGGGUGGGGACGGACGAUAAUUGUGCUUUAAUCCAUAUCCGAACACCUGUAUAAUUGUCUAAUCCCUAACAAUAAGGGUUUACCAAAAUUAUCCCCUUCUAAUCUCUAGCUCCCUUGAUCACGUCUUGCUACAUUAUUACUGUCCAAUUAAGGAAUAAUCAUUACGGCAGUCGGCUACAUGCACUCAAAGCGAACCCUACCAUCAUAUUCGAUGAUUGGGAUAUGAUUAUGUGCAUGCACGUGUUAUCGUUGUCAUUCCUUUUACUAUUUAUACUGAUUCCGAACAUCAAGUUGUAUAUAAUUAAAUUCCCAAUCUCAAGCUCGAAUUCCCUCUUUUGAUCCUCAUCUUCAUUUAGAUUGACAAGCUCGAGCUUGAAUUCUCUCUUUCAGUCCUCAUCUUUGUUUGGAAUAAUAUCAACCAAGUUUUGGUUAACAUUAUCACUUCAUAUUAUUAGCCUUCUUUUACUUUUGUUUCAAGUAGGGUCUCUAUUCGCGCAUGGACUACGGCCUUGCAGAAGGUCACAUUUUUCUUUAUCACGCAUAUAAGUGGGAUCUCUAUUCGAGUGCGAACUACCACCCCUACAUAAGAUCACAUUAUUAUUUUAAUUACUGUUCAUGCAUGUCAGUGGAAUCUCUACUCGAGUGCGGACUACCUCCCCUACAUGAGAUCACAUUGUUAUUCUAAUUACUUUCAACUAUGUUUCAUAUUAUUUUAUGACUGAAAUCAUAAUUAGUUUAGUCUUCAUCUAUAUUUCAUUUCCUCACCUAAUUCGUUUCUUAUUUAUUAUCAUUAUCACUCAUGAAUUAUUAUACUUGAUAUUAGAUAAUUUCACACAACUAGCAGAUUUUUACGAUUAUAUUAGAGAUAUAGAACUUACAAAGUUUUUCCACAUAUUAACCAAUCCAAACAAACGUAGAUGUUUAGAUUUAAAUCACAAUUCUCUUAAUAAUUUUCUAUAUAUAUCGAAAUCACUCUACGUUAUUUCUUAUCCUUUAUACAGUACCCCAAAUCCUAAGGGCUAUAUGGUAUCGGAGCUGGGGGAUAUAUAUAUUAGAAUGCUCCAUAGCUAAGCACUUUACUUUUGCAGGGAUGUACACCUCUUCACUUGGCAUCUGUGAACGGAUACGUAGAAAUAGCGAUGAAAUUGUUACAAUCAGACCCCCUUGCAUGGCUUGUCCAUGAUGAAGAUGGAAGGACCCCACUUCAUCUGGCCACGAUGAAGGGCGGAAUCAACAUCGUGAUAGAGCUUGUCGUAAUGUAUAUGCUUUCGAGUUUGAGCCAUACCUCUGGAGCGGAUUUGAUUUCCACCACGUAUUGAAGGGCCUCAUCUAAUAGGCUCAAUUGGAUCGUGUUGCACGCCCUCUCCUCCAUGUUGGCCCAGUCAUCGUCGGUGAUGGUGUUCGACUUGUUCAAUCUUCCCAGAAGAACCUUUGAUAAACUCGGUUGAACUAACAGAUCCUUCAUUCUUCUCCGCCAUAGUGUAAAAUUAUUCUUCUCGGUGAAUCAUUCGAUAUCAAAUCGAACAAUCAAACCUUUCCAGCCAUCUAGUCAAAAGUCACAAUACAAGAAUGGAGAACUUGGAUUGCUUCAAUACCAAUUGUUGUGCGGCAGAGCACCCUAACUAGAUGAGAUGAAAAGUUGAAAAACAAGAAUAAUUAAGAAAACAAAGAUUUACGUGGUUCGGCGAAAAUCCACCUAUGUCCAUGGGAGAGAGAGAUGAUUUCUUCUUUCUUGAGCGUCUUUAGAUACAAGAUAAAAUGCUGAAUAAAUAGAUCAUCAUAUCCCCACUUCCCUAAUCCCAAUAAGAGAAGAGUUCCACCCUAAAGAUCUUAUCAAUUUUGAAACUAAGAAAUUUUUAGUGAUUAUCCCCUAAAUAUUAGGGAUAUCAUGACAUUUUCUAGUUACAUCAAAUUUGGACUAUUUCCCUUGAAAUCCCUUGUAGAUAGGUCCAAAUCUAGGAAAUAUAUCUACAUACGUAUGGCUUGCAAGCGCCGAACCUUUCUAGACUUCCCGAUCAACUUUCUCAAGUCUCUAAUCAAUGGAAAUUUCUUGGAAUUGAAGACAACAUCAGCAAAGUCAAAGAGGAGGCCUUGUCAACUUUUCUGAUUAGAUGGAAAUUUCUUGCAAUUCAAGACAACAUCAGCAGCGUCAUGAGGCCUUAUCAACUUUUCCAAGUUUCUAAUCGAGUGAAAUUUCUUGGACUUUUCGAUGAAAGUCUCGUCGAUCUUAAAUGCAUAAUGAUCUUCUUGGUUCAAUGAAUUCGUCUUGAAUACGGGUUGCAUCAUCGUAUUAUUCCACACUCUUUACUUUUCAACUCUUUACUUUUCAUGCAAGAAUAUUCUUUAAUCCCACGCGUUUGUGUCGCUGCUUUGCUCUUUCCAGCAUGCUAUGUAAGAUUCACGUUAUAGCAUCUUAUAAAUAGUUAACAAUCUAAACCCUUGACAUUCCAACUCCAAGGCAAUCUAGUGAAAGAAAAAGAGAGAUCGUGUGUGGACCGAAAGCUUUAGGUGAUUAACCCGAGCGAUUUCGAGUUCACCCACAAGCUGCGAACAAUGCCAUCGAUCACAAGCCCAAGAAGAAGGUCGCCAUCCGCGCAGUUGCAUCAACAAGCUUCCUUAGCAUCUGAAAGAACACGCCGAGAGAAGAGGCUCUAUGAAGCAUCGCUUGGCGGGUGUGUCGAGUCGUUAGCUCAGUUGCUGCAAGAAGACCGACUCAUCCUGGCUCGGGCUUCUGUCACUUGCUUCAACGAGACACCAUUGCAUGUGGCCUGCAUGCUCGGUCAUGUACCCUUUGCCAAGGCUCUUUUGGCUCAUAAAAGGGAUUUGGCUAUGGAGUUGGACUCGCAGGUAUGUUGAAGCGAAAACCUUGGUUGUGGUUGUUUGAUAUUAGACUAUCUUGCUUGUCAAAUUAGAUUUUGCACAUGUAAUGUAGUAUUUUGUUUUCCAGUUUUCAUGAUCCAUGAGAAAUCAAACCCAUCAUAUGUCUCAAGGAAAUUAACAAAAUUCAGACAGAAAUCAAGUCAUGGGUUUCUAGGUUAAUUCAGCCUAAAAAAUCUUACAGACACUAGUGAAUUUGAGCAGCUCGGUCUAUUUGAUUUGAAAAUGCAAUAUAUAUAAAUCACAUGAACGUGUCCCUCGAUAAGAUUGCUCCAUUAUCAAGCACUUUACCUUUGUAGGGCCGUACGCCUCUUCACUUGGCGUUUGCGAACGGAUAUGUCGAAAUAGCGAGGGAACUGUUACAAUUAGAGCCUCGUGCAUGCCUUGUCCAUGACGAAGAUGGGAGGACCCCACUUCAUCUAGCCACGAUGAAGGGCCGAAUCAACAUCGUGAAAGAGCUGGUGAAGGCAAGUCCGGAGGUGGUGAGAUAUGGUGAUUUGGUGAAUGCUCAAGAUGAUGAGGGUAAUACCAUUUUGCAUUUGGCCGCAGCAAACAAGCAAAUAGAGGUAAUCCUUUUUGCUUUGAAUUGCUUCGAAAUUGUGACGAUAAAAUCCGGCUUAUUCUCAUUUUUCUAUAGACUCAAGCUUUCUGCAUUCAAACUUCAGUGGAUUUAUCGAUUGAUAUAGGAAAUAUCUUUGUUUGUUGUUUCUUUUAUAAUUGAUAAGAAGCUCAUCCUUUUGUGCAGACAGUGAAAUGUCUGCUUCAAAGAAGCGAAGUGGAUGUGAACAUAGAGAAUAGAAAUGGCUUCUCUCCUUUGGAUAUAGUGGAAUAUUUUCCAAAGGAUUUCAAAGUCAUUGUAUUGAGAGAACUGUUAGUACAUGCUGGAGCUCUGAGAGCCAUAAGAUUCCCUGCAUCGACAACUCACCAAGCAAUUGUUGAUAACACAAAUGAGGAGAAUUCAACUGUUGUAGUUGACCUAGCAUCUGUAGCACCUCCCUCCACCAAUACUCCUCCAGUAAAGGCGUUUCCGCCAGAGUCUUUCUCGGGUGAUAUCAGUAAGCAGAAGGAAGACAAACAUGAGGAAAGGAUCGAGAAGAUGCGCAAUUCUCUAAUGGUAAUGUUUUAGCUAGAUGUCUUGGAGUAGCAUUUGCUGAAAACUUAGAUCAUAUUGAUCAUAGCUCACAGCUAAUUAAAUCGAACUCUUUGUUUCUUUCAUGAAAAAUGGAUGAUUAAGAAAUUAUUUUCCUAAAAAUGAUCAUUUGUGUCGCUUAAAAUAAAUAGUUAUGCUUUCUUAAAAAUAUUUUCUACAUAUGUACUAAAUUGCUCAUAAUUAAAUAGCUAUGUAGAGAAAGAAGAUGAGUAGUUACAAUAAUAGAUGGCUUAUGAUUAAAAAAGAAAAAAACAGAGGGUAAUAUAAGAAAUCUAAUAAUGAGAAGAGAUGAAACAAGUUGAUGAAUAUUUAAGAAAGUAAUGGUACUCAAGAAUCUAAAUGUGGAGCAAUUGGGUGAUUUUCUUCAAAUAUCUUUACUAAUACAUAAAGUAAAGAGGAUUUCUAAAAGACUCAAUCUUUUGUCUUCUCCUAAUAUUCUCAACGACUUGGAGUCUGUUUGGUAACAAUUUUGUUUUCAAGAACAAUUUCUAUUUAUAAAUGAUGUUUUUUUUUUUUUUUGUUCUUUGAAUGAGUUUUUGAGUAACUAUCCAAAAUUUCUAUUCUCGGUAUAGAAAUGCGUUUGGUAAGACUUUCAAUUCUUUUGUGAUUUAGAAUUUCUUUUAAUUUCUUUAAUAAGUUUAUUAUAUAUAUAUAUAUAUAUAUAUAUAUUUUCCUUUUUCUUCUUCUCCUUCUUCCUCUUUGGCUGGUUGCCACCGACCGGCCAGAUGAGGGUCAGCAACCUCGUUGGAGCAUUGCCCUGACCCCUGGCAAGGCCGAGCAUUGCCAGCUGAGCCUCAUCGGCUACUGGGUGAGCUCGGCCUCGCUCAGACCUUGCCAACUUGGCAAGCCUCAUCGAUGGUUGGAAUAUAAGUGUAUUUUAUUUUCCACACAUUUAGUUAUUGAUUUUGAUUUUCUUUCUAACAACAAUAGCAACCUUUAUAAAAAGUUGUUCAAAUUUCGAAAUAUCUUCAUUUUUUUUCUCAUAUAUGUAUAUAUUCAUACACUUAGUUUUUUCACAAUUUAAUCCAUGAGCUCUAUUUUUGUAGAGAGCUCGCUACAAUUUUCUAGUAUUUACAUAAAUAUAGGAAAAGCCAUCAAUUGAAUUUGUGCAUUUGUUGGAAUGACUAACUUUGACUCGAUGAUCUUCGUAUGUAUAAAUAUAGUUGAAACACUAUUUCUUCAUUCACAUACUAAAACUUUCUUUCACAUCACGACAGGUAACUGCCACGGUGAUCGCAGCCAUGGCUUACCAAGCCGGCAUUAGCCCUCCUUGCGGCGUGUGGGACAUCGAUCAGAAAGACAACCAAGACAAGAUCUUAUACUUGGCAGGAACAUCGAUAAUGGCCGCAAACGAUCCAAAGGGUUACUCAGUGUUCUUGACAUACAACACCAUCUCUUUUCUUGCAUCCCUUAGCACGAUCUUCUUGCUCAUAAGUGGCUUCCCCUUGGGGAAGAAGGUUCUGACGAGGAUUCUGAUGGCCACAAUGUGGGUGACCAUCAUUUUCACGGCGCUGACUUACCUCCGGUCCAUGCUGGCCUUCUCGCACGGGCACAGGAAACCUGAAGACGCCACCCAAGCACCCGCCAAAGCACCCACCCACCGUAUGCCGUCCGACAGUAUCCCUUUGGCUGUGCCCUUCAUGUUUGUUUUUCUCUGCGCUGUAGCCAUUCUUUUUCUAUUUUACACCGUUCGAUACCUCCGAAAGAUCCGCAAAAGCUCAAGAAUUGGACAUCAGGAUGUGUGAGUUGGUGCAGAUCUAGGGGCAAUAUCAAGAUCUAGUAUAUUCAUCUGGUGGGACAAAGGAUUACUGCAUAGUCUUGAUGCCUAUGUUCUUUGUAACUCAAUCCUUAUGUCAUAAGAUCAUUCUGAGUACCGCCAGUUGUGCAAACGAUUUAAUGAGACUACUAAACCAAAUGCAGAGUCCAUCCCGCAUUAUUCUCGAGCUCUCCUCAUCAGAGAUGUCUCGCCCGCGUAGCCAAAUCUUUCUAAAGAGAAUGGGAAGGCCUGGCCACAAAGUAAUCUGAUCUACUCCUAUGUAUGCCGCAGAUAACUAGGUAAAAGCAACAUUGGGCCAUUCUAUGAUUUGUCUCACACAGCUUCACCAUUCUCUUUCCAAUCACGCCAAACAACCGAACCCACCUUCCUCAAAAGCAUCCGCAUUUCUUUUAUGCUUCCUUCAUAUACUUCUUCAGUGCUGAUAGAUGUCCAAAAGCCAUCUGAUAGAUGUCCAAAAGCCAUCUGAUCAAAGCUAGUGAGCCUCUCUGUCUGAUCUUUCCUGCCUAAUUUUAAGGAAGUGAUACACAGAUUUCACAGAAAACACUCCAUUAUUAUUCGCAGGCCGUGGAAUCAAAGCAGCGCUAGUUUCAUAUGUAAUGUUCACAUACCAGAACGUGUGCUUCUUCCAAAACAACGUUCAAGCUCUGAUAUUAUGACUUCUUGCCAAACGAUCUUUUCUUCUUUAUAUAGACAAGUAGAGGAGGGACAAGGCAGAAAUGCAACCUAAAAUCCCAUGGACCGAUCUGUUGUUCCUAAUCACAAGACAAAGGAUUGGUAGCGUAUCAUCCCACACAAAACACAGAAAAUUACUGUUCAUAUGCAAACUGAUUACAGGGGAUCGAAGAACAGAGAGAUGAAAACAAUUGCAUAGACAGAUCUUUUGUACCUUACUGGUGAUAAUCAGUCCAUAACAAUUGGGAAGGUAAGAGAGUUCUCAAAGGCCGGAGCCAGUACUUUCAGUCUUAGACGACCACAAUGUGUGGUUUCAAGCAGCAAGCCCACAACUAACGUAGCUCAUAAACUUCACUCAACCCAGCUUGGCAAACCAAGCCUCUUUCAAGAAGUUCCAUUUCUCACCCCCAACUUAAUGCAACCUGACGGUUUUGUUUGGGAGAAUAAUAUUGGGGUUGCGUAUGUGUGGGUUAAGAGCCGCCAAUUCCUUCCAUUUAGCACCAGUUCAAUGAACGCGGGAUGAGAUGCUCCACAAUGUGUCACCAGGCUGUGCCUUAGUUGUUGCUGGGGCAGUAGAUUUAGAAGAAGCAGUCUUUGACUUCAUAAACGGAUGCUUAUCGCUCUUUCCAUUCCAUUAGCGAGCAACCAACGGGAACCAGAUUGUUGCUGGUUUGAACUUCCCCGGACCUUUCCCUUCCCAGGAUCAGUCUUGAGACCAGCAACAUGGACUUCAGUAAUCUUGCCCUGGGGAAUUUAUCCCUAAAAAUUUGUGUGCAGAUGAUAAAAGUUCUUGCUUACAAUCCCAGGACUCGAGGUGAACACACCAAACUCAAGUGGCCUCACAGCACUAGACAUUCUUGAGCAGGGUCCCAGAGGCUCGAGAGUUCUUGAAAUUGAGACAUCCCUUCAAAGCUCAGGAGCUUUCACUUGAUAACGUUCCUAGUCAGCAAUCUUAUCUUUUGUAUCUAAUUUAAAAUAUUAUUGAUUAGGUUCUCAUAUUUUCUCUGCUUGCCUUAAGAAUCCUCAAUCAUCCCUAAUUUAGGGCUCUUGUAAUAUCCUUAUAUAUAGUGUGUACAAGAGAAAUCACAAUACAAUAUACAAAAACUACAAUUUCUUGGUGACAUUUCUAGUCAGCAAUCUUAUCUUUUGUAUCUAAUUUAAGAUAGUGUUGAUAUUGUUCCCAUAUUUUCUCUGCUUGCCUUAAGCAUCCUCAAUCAUCCCUAAUUUAGGGCUCUUAUAAUAUCUUUAUAUAUAGUUUGUACAAGAUAGAUCACGAUACAAUAUACAAAAACUACGAUUUCUUCGUCACUCUCCAUAGACAUCCAAAGAAACGGAGUACUUUAAGGAAACCCCUAUCAAAGAAACUGAGUGCUCUAAGAAGACCCUCGGUGGAAGCCGAUUGGCUGAGCCAGGAGAGAUUCACUAAUGGUGGUCGCUUCGCUGCUAGCGACGGUGGCGUUCCAAGUUGCGACCACGCCACCAGGAGGCGUCUGGCAGGAUGACUACAAGGUCGAUGCCAACGGCAACCCAGUGAAGGAGCCGCACAUGGCGGGCACCUCUAUCAUGGCCCACAUCCAGCGGAUGGCCUACGGAGAGUUCAUGAUCUUCAACCCACUGGCCUUCCUGUCCUCCCUCAGCAUCAUCCUGCUCCUUUUGAGCGGGUUUCCAAUAGAGCGGCGACGCUGGAUGUGGACCCAGAUGGUGAUCAUGUGGCUAGCGAUCAUGGGCAGGCGAUCACCUACUUCAUAGCGCUGCGCAACAUAUCGCUGGCUGACACGCGGGGGAUGCUGAAGGACGUGACGG